rnacentral:lncRNA from 1 species
AUAGACAAAUCGAGUCCCUUAUUUUAUUAUUCAUAUCCAUAAAAAGUAACCACUACGCUAGUCCCCCGAACUUAGCAUAAGACGGUAAUUUAAAAAAAGAAAAAAAAAAGAACGUUUCUAGACACCAAAACAAAAGCAAAACAAGCACAAAGCGAGACAUACAAACAAAUUUUAUGCUACUGCAUUCAUGCAGAAGCCAUCAACUGUUCACGACGAAGUUUGACAGCAACCGAUAGUUCAUCCUGAUUAGGAAGAUUUUCUUCAAUCACAGGGACUUGCUUGAAAGUUUCAAGCCAGGCAUGCAAGCGAGGGAAUUUGUGUGAUUCAAAUAGUUUAGCUCCCACUGCAUCUUCAAUGACUUGCAACCAAUAAACAAUUGAACCAAACGCUAGGUCCACUAAGCCAAUAUUGUCUCCAUUGAAAAAUUUCUUCUCUCCCAAGCCAUGCUCUUCAAUGGUUUGUAGCAUUUCCAAGGCUUCCUUCAUUGUGUUUUGUAGUUCUUGUCCAGUGCUUCGAAACAUUUUCCAAACAGCAACACCCUGCCACAAAUAUUUUACAUCUGAUUUUAUCACCGACAUGAUUAAUUAAUAAUAUGCAUAUAAAAGUGAAAUAUCGUUAGACAAUAUGCACACGUGUCACAAGAACCUUUAAUUAGAGGUUUAAUAAGUUAAUUAAGAGAGUUCAACCACUGAGUUGUAAAAUCUGUCAUUAGCUAGUAAAUUCACUUUUUCCCAAUGUUUCAAAAGUCAUCAAAAUUCACCGUCAAGUUAAAAACGGUUAUGUUAACUUUAACUUAUUACAUCUUUUCAUAUUUAAUGAUAAAACAGUGAAGGCACCAGAAAUUGAAAGUUUAGAGAACUUUUUACAAAUAAAUAUGAAGGAGACCCCUGGGUGGCUGGGCUCGACUGGCUAUGAAUUCACUUCCGCCAUCACCCGAGUUCGAGUAUAUAUGGAGAGUAAGAUUUAGUGUUUGGUGGGUGGGUUUCAUUAUCCUCGUCACCUAAUCUAGAUCUUAAAAUAAAAAAAUAAAAAAAUAAAAAAAUAAAUUUGAAAAGAAUGAACUUAAUUACAAACGUGUUUGCUAGUGUUGUGAGCAAACCUUGUCUUCGGCGAAUUUAAUCCAGAAUCGAGCAAGAGCUCUAUCAUAAGGAUUGUUUGGCAUCAAGGGAUUCUGUGGCCACGUCUCUUCGAUGUAUUCGAGAAUAACCAUGGACUCACAAACUGGUUUUCCGCCAUGGACAAGCACUGGGAUCUUCUUGUGAACUGGAUUGUACUUCAAAAGCGAAGCACUUUUGUUUGAGAGAUCUUCUGCAACAAAUUCAUAUGGCACGCCUUUCAAUUUCAGAGCCCAAAUCACCCUGUAAACAAAUGGACUCGGCAGUACUGCCCCAUGAAGCUUCACUUCAGCCAUGAUAAUUCUUAGAUUGAAUUUGAAUAUCAGGUUUUUUGGUCGAUCCUGAGUAUAGCUGAUAACUCAUUACACAUGUUUCUGAAUUUAUAGUGAUUUAUGGAAUGCGCUUUCUUGAGCAGAAAGCUUCGAUUUCCCACUAAUAAAACGAUUAAUUAAUGAUGAAUUCAAAGAACUAGUACGAUGACUUUAAUUAAAUAUUUUUUUACGUUGUGUGCGAGUUAUGUCGGCAUUUCGAGGUUAAUUUAAAAGAUAUUAUUUUCUUCUGAUCUAAAUUUUUAUAUAAAAAUAUAGUUAUUAAAUAGAAAUAAAAUAUAAAAUAAAUAUUGACUGUAUAUAAAUAAAAAAUUCAUACAUGUUAAAAAGAUUUUUUAAAACUCAAAUAAAUGGAUCCAAUUCCUAAUUUUAAAGGCUAGCCAAUGAGAUCAUUGAUUUGGUCAACCAGUCAGAGACAACCAUUCAAUAAUUAGUCAAAAUUUUGCCAUUUAUUUUACAUUUAAGACUUUUGCGUCAUGCAUGAUGAUCAAUUGAUCAUGGAUCAAUUAGUCAACAAGACAUUUGCCUUUUGUGAAUGUGUUCACAUUGGACGCAAAUAUAAUUUGUUAUAAAAAAAUUGGACUAAAUUACAAUUUUUUUUUAAUAAUACACCUGAUCCUAGAGGACCUGUUAUUUAGUUCGUGAAUCUUAUAACAGGAUCCAUGAUUAUUAUUUUUUAAAUCUUAUGGGUCCCCUAUUAUUUAAGGGAAAUUUAUGAAAAUAAUCAUGAAUAUUUUGUUAUUUUCACAACUAACCCUCUCAACUUUUUUCUAUCAACAUUAGCCAAACACAAGUCUUUCUUCCCAAAUUACCCUUCUUUACAGACCAAAAGCAACAAUCUUUCUCCCAUAUCGUCAAACCAAACGCAGCUUAAUCAUCAACCAACGGCGACGGCAAAAGACAACGGUAAAAGUGAAAUCCGAUCAUAAUCUAUCCGAAUCCAACACUAAUCGGCAUCACUUAAUAGUAUGAGUUAUUUUCUGAACUUGCUGAACUGAGUCGUGGGUGAAUCUGGCGACAGGCAACCUGUCGCACCAAGAGUUGGUGCGACAGGCACCUGUCGCACCUUGCUUGGUGCAACAGGCACCAAUUAAAAAAAAAAACAAACUUGAGAAUUAUGUAUGACGUGAGCCCAUAGCCAGUUGAACCCAAUUUUCACUUUCCAAUAUUAUAUGUGUUGAACGAACUUUAUGUGUAAGAGGCCCCACGCGAUUUCAUGUUAGUCUCAGAGGGUUUAUAGUUAUAUACCAUGGCUUCUUUAUCAAUCAACACAUGCAUGUAAAGAGAGAUUUGAAAAAACAAGAGUCAGUUUGAUAGAGAGUCUAGUGUUUCUUAAAAAUUAGCAAAACAAAUGUCAGUUGAUAGCCAAUGCAACAAAGAAGCCGUAAUUUUUGGAAACCGCGUAAUCAUUUUUUUUGUAAUAUUUGUUCGAUUUACAUUUUCAAAGUAACUAAACCCUCUGAGUUCAAGCUCACGCCAUUCUUGAACCAUCGCACAACAGCAACACAUGAGAUGAGUUAAGAAGUCAUCGCACGAACCGCCCUGCAAAAUAGAUUUAAGUCGAGAGGUUCUUUCAUUUUUAAUCAUCAUAAUCGAGGCCUCAGAAUUCACCUAAAAUGGGGAAGAAGGCACCUGAAUGUUGAAAGUUUCUCGCAAUUUUGUCCUUAUGCAACAGCUAUAACAGCAACAUCCGCAGAAGAUAAAAUAUGCCAUGAGAGUAUUGAUUGCUUGCUCACGAGCUGUAGCAACAAUUGAACAGGCAGCUUCAUCAGAAUCUUGUUGGAUUUACACUACUACAUUGACAAUUGCAUAAUGAUACUCUAUCCGCUUACAUAUUUUCCCUUCUGUCACUGCAUUAGCUAUCUUUGAAAAUGUUCCACAGGGAUAUAUGCAAGUCUUCAAGCCUGACUCUUGUUUUUUCUGACAUUUGCAGAGGGUAUUACAGGUACUCCAAAAAAUUGGUGCGACAGGCGCGCGCCUGUCGCCCCAAAGCUGGUGCGACAGCGGGGCGCGCAUGGGCGCGCGCUGCUGUCCAGCGAUGGGCGCGCGCGCGCGCCCUGCCCCCCUCCCUCCCCACCCCCAAAAUUAAGCCACAACACUCCAAAAUCGAAAAACAAUACUCCCAAACACCACCAACCACCACAAACAUCACCACCACCACCAUUAUUCUCAAGGUAUAACUAUUAUUAUUCUAAAAUCUCAUUUUAAAUUAAUGAAAAUAAAAAAAAUAACUAACCUAGGUUUUGUUGAAGGUUGUAGAUCGUAGAUCGGAUGCCGGUGAGAGAUGGAGCCGCCGCCGACGAGGGUUGAUGUCGCCGCCGAUGAUGGGAGUUGGAUCGGUUUGGGAGAGAUGAGUGAAAGGGAGUGUUGGGGGAGAGAUGAGGGAGGGGUAUUUUGGUCUCAAAAGUUAUUUUAUGGCUAAUGUUGAUAGAAAUAUUUUUGGGGGGUUAAGAUGAAAAAAAGCAAAAAAUUUUUGGUUAUUACUGUAAAUUUCCCAUUAUUUAAUUUGUGGAAUUGACGGAGGUAACUUGCAGUUUCAUUUUUGUAAUUUACAGCUUUCAAUAAAUUCAGAUAAUAUUAGGCAGUAAAAGUCGGCCAGGUUGGAGGAGUAGAUCUAUAAAAUUUGCUAGCACUUUGCACUAUCUGUUUGGGCCUUGGGGCCCAGAAACACACAUAUAUAUCAUCCACUUUUUAUUUAACGCUGGGUUUUUAUUACCCAUAAUAGUUUCUCUUUGUACAUCCACUUUUUAAUAAAAAAAUUUAUUGUCAAGAUAACUUUUUAUUAAUUACUUCACUAAUCCUUCUUUUUUUUUUGGCCAAUUUCUCUUUCGCAUCCGACAAAAUUUAAUUCACAUCAUGUGCUGGUAUGAUUGUAAAUAAAUUUGAAGUUAUCUCUCACAAGUUGUUCAAAAAUACAUAGACAUAUCAUGUGUAUAGAACUAAAGAACAAUAGCAACCCACUAUCCUCUAGGCGAUCGCUGCUAUUAGGACGGCAAAAUUUGCCGUCAAUAUGUAAAUUUUGUAGAUUGCAGGUAAAUUUGGUAUUUUAAAUUUAAGUUCAUUGCAGGUUACAAAUGGAUUCAGUAUUGAGAAAAAAAUCUGGCGGGUGUUUGCCGACCCACAUUUUUUUUAAUUAUUUGUGUUUUUAAUUUUAAUCACAAAGAUUGUCUUAAAAAAAUUUAAUCAUAAAAAUAUAAUAGUUAAAGUUAUUACUCUAAUCUUUCAAAUUCCUAAACCUAACCUAACUCAUUACAGUUACACACCCUACUCCUUCAAGUAUGUAUGAAUGUAAAUGUAUAGCUGUAUACACACGCACACACACAAAAAAUAAGCUUUUAAUAAGUAGAUUUAGUAUUUUUCAAGUUUAAUAUUAAUGAUAUUUUAAUUUAAUUUAAUUACUUUUGUUUGUUUCGCUUUAAUGACUUGAACUUAGUGAUUGCUGGCUAAGAUUGAAUUUUUAUUUGUCUAAUUAAUGGUCAAUAGUUGUCCAAAAUAUAUUUGUUAAUAUUGUUAACAAUACUUGUAUAUUAACUAAAAGAUAGAGCAAGGCAUUAAUCUUAGUAAUGAUUAUUUGCCUACAACAAAAUUAUUUUGUGUUAGAAUGAUAUAUUUUUUGUAUUUGUUUUAAUAUUGAAACUUUAAUUUCUCUUUUACAUUGAUAAAAUCUAAAAUUGAGUAAUUUAUGUAGAUUUUUUAGGUUGCUACUAUAAAAUUAUAUUUUGAAUUAUGUAAUUCAAAUUAUUAGAUAUAAUUUUUUUUAAUAUUUGUGAUUUUAAAUAUAAAUAUCUACAAAAAAAAAACCGCCUGCGUGUUGUGGAUGGAUUUACUAAUUAUUAAAAAUUAUAGCGAACGAACUUAAAAAAAAAAAAAAAAAAAGGCAACUGGUUACUGGCCAGUUUAAUAAUGACAAACCCAUAAUAAGCGAUACUCAUUACCAUCAGCAGCUUCUAUUACGGAGGGCCGGGGGCGGUCUUGAAUUGUUAGAAGUUGCAACAUUAAUUAGCAAAAUUUUCAGCGGCAUCCCUGAAGUAUAGCAUAGAAUUAGAUAUAUCCCCUUGUUUUCAAAAAGUUAGUCUCUGAUACCCAUGUUGUUUACUUAAUUUUUUUUUUCCAUUUCAAUUGGAUAUACAACUUCGUAAUGUUGCGCCUUGUAAAAUGUAUGCUUAAAAUGCGUGCUUCUUAUUUUUUAUAUACUGCUAAGAGAAGUUGAGAAUAGAAAUAUAUAAAAUGGAGUCUCAUUUAUUAAUUAUUUAUAUCCACUAAAUAGCUCUUUGAAGCUCACUUCAAUAGUAAAAUUAAUUAAACAAAAUAGAAAGAAUAUUUUUAACACCAGUACAAAAACAUAACAAGUGUAAAAGAAGACUCACAAACUUAUUUUAUGAUAUUACAUUCACACAAGUACCACCAAUGUUUUCCGACCACGUUCGAAAGAGAUCACCAGCUCACGCUGAUUUGGAAGAUUUUCUUUAAGUAUAUAAGUUAAAGUUAUUACUCUAGUCUUCAAAAUUCUUAAACCUAAUCUAACUCAUUACAGCUGCAUGCCUUACUCCUAGUAUAUGCAUGCCUUGCUCCUUCUAGUAUCCGUAUGUAUUUUAAGAUGGAUACAUUAACUUUUUAAUAAGUAAAAUUUUGUACUUUUCAAGCUUAAUAUGAAUGAUAUUUUAUUUUAAUUUAAUUACUUUGAAAUAUUUUGCUUUAAUGACUUGAACAUAUAGAUUGUUUGCUAAAGUUAAAUUUUUCUUUGUCUAAUUAAUUGGUGAUAAGAGUUGUAUAAAAUUUACUUAAAAUUAUGAUAAGAGCUUAUGAGAUUAAAUAAGUACUUAUAACCAUUAAAUAAAUCUUACCAAACAAACACUUAGUAAUAACAAAUCUGCAGCAGCCAAUACCCAUUACCAUCCCCAGCUGCUAUAAUGCAAGGACACGGGCGGUCUUAAUUGUUAGAAGGUGCAAAAUUAAUUAGCAAAAUGUUCAGCGGCAUCCUUGAAUUUUAGCAUAGAAUUAUAUAUAUCCCCUAGUUUUCAAAAUUAAUUUUUGAUUUCCCUGUAUAUAUAUAUAUAUAUAUAUAUAUAUAUUUCAAUUGGAUAUAUAACUUUGUAAUGUUGCGCCUUAUAAAAAUGAAUGCUUAAAAUGCAUGCUUAUUACUUUUUAUAUGAUGUUAAGAGAAACUGAGAAUAGAAAUAUGUAAAAUGGAGUUUCAUUUAUUAAUUAUUUAUAUUCAUUAAAUAGCACCCAACAUGGAGUUUGUCUCAAUAGUAAAAUUAAUUAAACAAAGUAGAAGGAUCUGUUUUAGCAACAGUACAAAAAUAAAACAAGCACAAAGUGAGAAUCACAAACUUAUUUUAUGAUAUUACAUUCACGCAGAUGUCACCAAUGUUUCCCGACGACGUUUGAAAGCGAUCACCAUCUCAUGCUGAUUUGGAAGAUUUUCUUUAAUUACAGGGAAUUUCCUGAAAUUUUCAACCACUCAUGCAAGCUUGGGAAUUUGUGAGAUUCAAAUAGUUUCACUCCCAUUACAAUUUGUGAGAUUCAGAUAGGGUCCCACCUAACCCCACUUUUUUGGUGGUUAAAAAAAAAAUCAGGGAUCAAACCUAGGUCAUCAAGGUGAAACAUCAAAUAGGUUGUAAAUUUAACAUAUGAAUGUAAAAGCUUAACAAAACAUUUGAUGAAGUUGCUUCACAACAUAGAAAUACAAGCAAAAAGAGAUGCUAAACAACACAAAAAUUUGAUUGGGGGGGAGUAUUGUUCAUGCUAGCAUAAUAAUGAGGUGCCUGAGAAUACCUAAGACUUUCUUGAUAAAUAAUAUCAUCUAAAAGGUUAGGAAUCACAUAUGAUUGUCCACGUAUGAACAAAUAGGGAUGGCAAAAGUCCUAGUUGGGUUCGGGUUUGGGGUUGCCCGGGACCGACCCGCAUGAUACACAUAGCUGUCUGGACCCGGACCGUGCCCAGAUUUUUCAUAUGCGGGCCGGAUUAAGCCCGACACUAUCCGAGCACGGAUUUUUUUAUCCGGGUUUCCUCUGCCCAUAUAAAUUGAAUUAAAAGGGAAGAAAUCCUGUAAUAAAUUAUUACAACAUCUUAAUUAUUUCAAUCUACUUUGUAAAUUUGAAGUAAAUAAAAUUCAUUCAAUCUCUUCCUAAAUUCAUUCAUUUCAAUCUCCAUCAAAAACUUAAAUUAAGUAGCAUAAUAAUUACAAUUGACAAAUAAAAUACCAACUAUCAAUAUAAUAUAUGAAAAUUUUAAAAUAUCAAACAACAAAGAACAAACUAACAAGACGGUUGCUGCACAAACAUGGCUAUGAUGUGGAGGUGUUGUGCACGGUGGGUCACGGACCAAAUCUAAGAAGUGGGAAAAGAGAGAGAGAAAAAAGAAGAAACAAGAAUAAGAAUAAGAAAAUAUUUCUAUUAAUUUAUUCUUGGAUUGAGAUUUAAGGUUUCUUUGUGCGUUUGAAAAGGAGGGGUGAGGGUUGUUGCUGCUGGGCGUUGGCUACUUGGCUUGGAGAGUUGAAGAUGAGGGAGUUGACUUGGAGUGUUGAAGGGGAGGGAGCGGCGGCUUUGGGAGUGUAAGUUUAUGAGAGUUUUAGGGUUUGUAAAUGUAAUGUGAUAUAUAUAUUUUUAUUUUAUUUUUUAAAAUUAAAAAAUUUUAACCGGGCGUUGAUCCGGGUUCUGGGUUUUUGGGGUUCUGCCCGGAUCCGUGCCCGGAAUUAUCCGGGUAUUAAUUUCCAAAACCCGGAACCGGUUUCUUUUUUAAUACGGGCCGGGUAAAACCCAGACCGUAUGAGCUGGGUCCGGUCCGGAUCCAGACCGGGCGGAUUUUUUUGCCACCUCUAUGAACAAACCUUGCUCAAAAUGUGAAAUGUGUUAAGAUUUUCAAACAUUUAAAUUAAUAAUUAAUAAUUUCAGACAAAGGAUACUUAGAGACCCUAAAGUUCACUAAUUUUAUGUUAUGACUCAUUGUCUCUCUCAACAAUUUAAUUUCUAGAUUAUUUGGCUCCUAUCUAUUAAAAGACAACACCGUUACUAAAAUUAUAAAUUAUAACAGUUAAACCUAAACCUACAUCGUUUAGCAAUUUACAAAAGAAAAAAUAUAUAACAAAAGCCAAUUGUUGGAGUAGCAACGUGCCAACGAGAAAACCUCAAGCCAUGUAAUAUCCUGUGUCAACAACUAAAGAAGAACAAACCACCACCCUCUAGGUCGUCGCUGCACUAACGCUGGACCCGAUUUGAAUAGUUAGAAGUUGUAACAUUAAUUAGAGAUUGAGGGUAAAAUUUUGGACUUUGAUUUAAUAAAAUUGAUUUAAAUGAGUCCCAAUAGAAAUAUGAUUAUAAAUAUAUCAAUACAAUUAUAACAUGUUAAAAGAAAAAAAGUUUAGUUUCACACAAAACAAAAAACACAACCCUUGGAUGUGGGAUGUGUCUAAAAAAUAAUAGGGUGGAAAUAUUAUCACCCUCAAAUUAGAUAUAUAAAUGUUUAAUGUUUUACUCUUAUAAUUUGUAUUUAUUUUUUUGAAUAUUGUUAAGAGAAAGAUAGAAAUUAAUAUAUAGACAAAUCGAGUCCUUUUUUUAUUAUUCAUAUCCAUAAAAAGUAACCACUAUGCUAGUCCCACGAACUUAGCAUAAGACGGUAAUUUAGAAAAAAGAAAAAAAAAAGGAACGUUUUUAGACACCAAAACAAAAGCAAAACAAGCACAAAGCGAGACAUACAAACAAAUUUUAUGCUACUGCAUUCAAGCAGAAGCCAUCAACUGUUCACGACGAAGUUUGAGAGCAACCAAUAGUUCAUCCUGAUUAGGAAGAUUUUCUUCAAUCACAGGGACUUGCUUGAAAGUUUCAAUCCAGGCAUGCAAGUGAGGGAAUUUGUGUGAUUCAAAUAGUUUAGCGCCCACUAUAUCUUCAAUGACUUGCAACCAAUAAACAAUUGAACCAAACGCUAGGUCCACUAAGCCAAUAUUGUCUCCAUUGAAAAAUUUCUUCUCUCCCAAGCCAUGCUCUUCAACUGUUUGUAGCAUUUCCAAUGCUUCCUUCAUUGUGUUUUGUAGUUCUUGUCCAGUGCUACGAAACAUUUUCCAAACAGCAACACCCUGCCACAAAUAUUUUACAUCUGAUUUUAUCACCGACAUGAUUAAUUAAUAAUAUGUAUAUAAAAAGUGAAAUAUCGUUAGACAAUAUGCACACGUGUCACAAGAACCUUUAAUUAGAGGUUUAAUAAGUUAAUUAAGAGAGUUCAACCACUGAGUUGUAAAAUCUGUCAUUAGCUAGUAAAUUCACUUUUUCCCAAUGCUUCAAAAGUCAUCAAAAUUCCCCGUGAAGUUAAAAACGGUUGUGUUAACUUUAACUUAUUACAUCUUUUCAUAUUUAAGGAUAAAACAGUGAAGACACCAGAAAUUGAAAGUUUAGAGAACUUUUUACAAAUAAAUAUGAAGGAGACCCCUGGGUGGCUGGGCUCGACUGGCUAUGAAUUCACUUCCGCCAUCACCCGAGUUCGAGUAUAUACGGAGAGUAAGAUUUAGUGUUUGGUGGGUGGGUUUCAUUAUCCUCGUCACCUAAUCUAGAUCUUAAAAUAAAUAAAUAAAUAAACAAAUUUGAAAAGAACGAACUUAAUCAUAAACGUGUUUGCCAGAGUUGUGAGCGAACCUUGUCUUCAGCGAAUUUGAUCCAAAAUCGAGCUUGAGCCCUAUCAUAAGGAUUAUUUGGCAUCAAGGAGGGAUUCUGUGGCCACGUCUCUUCGAUGUAUUCGAGAAUAACCAUGGACUCACAAACUGGUUUUCCGCCAUGGACGAGCACUGGGAUCUUCUUGUGAACUGGAUUAUACUUCAAAAGCAAUGCACUUUUGUUUGAGAGAUCUUCGGAAACAAAUUCAUAUGGUACGCCUUUCAAUUUCAGAGCCCAAAUCACCCUGUAAACAAAUGGACUCGGCAGGGCCCCAUGAAGCUUCACUUCAGCCAUGAUAAUUCUAAGAUUGAAUUUGAAUUAUCGGUUUUUCUGAUCGAUGUUGUGUAUGGCUGUUAACUCAUUACAUAUGUUUCUGAAUUUAUAGUGAUUUAUGGUAUGCACUUUCUUGAGCAGAAAGCUUCAAUUUUCCAUUAAUAAAACGAUUAAUGAUGAAUUCAAAGAACUAGUGCGAUGACUUUAAUUAAAUAUUUUUUUACGUUGUGUGCAACCGCUUUUUGAGGUUAAUUUAAAGGAUAUUAUUUUCUCCUGAUCAAAACUUUUAUAUAAAAAAAUAUACAAUAAUGCUACACAUCCCAAAUUUUUUAUCCCAAAAAGUUAUCCCAAAUGAUGUGGCAUUUAUCAAUUGGUUGGUGAAAUAAUACAAUUAGUUCACUUGGAUAUUAUAAAUAAUUAUCAACCACUCAAUUAAUGACACAUCAUUUGGGAUAACUUUUUGGGAUAAGAAAUUUGGGAUGUGUAACAUUAUUGAAAAACAUAAUUAUGUAAUUGGUAGUUAUUAAGUAGAAAUAAAAUAAAAAUUAAAUUUUGACCGUAAAUAAAUAAAAGUUCAUAUAUGUUAUAAAGAUUUUUUAAAACGCUAGCCAAUGAGAUCAAUAAUUUGGUCAACCAGUCAGAGAUAACCAUACAAUAAUUAAUCAAAAUUUUGCCAUUUGUUUUACAUUUAAGACCUUUGCGUCAUGCAUGAUGAUCAAUUGAUCAUGACAUGGAUCAAUUAGUCAACAAGACAUUUGCCUUUUGUGCAUGUAUCCACAUUGGACACAAAUAUAAUUUGUUAUAAAAAAAUUGGACUAAAUUAUUUUUUAAUAUAUUUUUUUAAAAUAAUACAUUUGAUCCUAGAGGGCCUGUUAUUUAGUUCGUGAAUCUUAUAACAUGACCCAUGAUUUUUUUUUUAAAAAAAAUCUUAUGGGUCCCCUAUUAUUUAAUUUGUGGAAUUGACGGAGGUAACUUACAGUUUCAUUUUUGUAAUUUACAGCUUUCAAUAAAUUCAGAUAAUAUUAGGCGGUAAAAGUCGGCCAGGCUGGAGGAGUAGAUCUAUAAAAUUUGCUAGCACUUUGCACUAUCUGUUUGGUGCCCAGAAACACACAUAUAUAUCAUCCACUUUUUAUGUUAAGACUUUUAAGUCUUUAAUCACAGCAAGACUCACAAAUCUUGAUGAGUAGAAACACCAAGAACACAAUCCAAUCAAGAAAGCCAGAACAGAGAAGCUAUACCAGAAACAAAACAAAGACACAGACCAGCAAACUUAGAAGGAAAAUUUACUCAUUAUUAUUGAUCAAGAACUAACCCAAUCACAAGUGAUUUACAGAAGAUUAUGCACAGAUCACAAUGGAACAGAUUCUAUGCAAAAUGAUGAACUAAUGAAGACGAUAUUAGCUCUCUAUCAGGCACCACCCAUCAGCCUCUGUUUUAUAUCAGUGUGCUGGGCUCGUUAUAACAGAUUAUAACGAAUCCAUGCCACGUCAGCAGACGAUAUCAAAUAGACCCCAUCAACUGAAGUCAAUCUGCACAACAACUCACAACUUUUCCAGUUUCUUCAUUUCAGUCCACAUACACAUAUCUUCACAUUUUAUUUAGCGCUGGGUUUUUUUCGACCCAUAAUAAUUUCUCUUUGCACAUCAAGUUUUUAAUAAAAACUUUUAUUGUCAAGAUAAAUUGUUAGUAAUUACUUCACUAAUCCUCCUUUUUUUUUGGGCCAAUUUCUCUUUCGCAACUGACAAAAUUUAAUUCACAUCAUGUGAUAGUAUGAUUACAAAUAAAAUGAAGUUAUCUCUCGCAAGUUGUUCAAAAAUACAUUGACAUAUCUUGUGUAUAUAACUAAAGAACAAUACCAAAACCACUAUCCUCUAGCUGAUCGCUGCUAUUAGGACGGCAAAAUUAGUCGUAAAUAUGUAAAUUUGUAAAUUUGUCUAAACCCAUCUACAAAAAUCUUUCCACUGCGAAUAAUUUUGUAGGUUGCGGAUAAGUUUGAUAUUUUUAAUUUUAGUUCGUUGCAGGUUACGGAUGGAUUCAGUAUUGAGAAAAAAAUUGGCAGGUGUCUGCCGACUAGCAUUUUUUUAAUUAUUUAUGUUUUUAAUUUUAAUCACAAAGAUUGUCUUAAAAAAAUUUAAUCAUAAAAAUAUAGUAGUUAAAGUUAUUACUCUAAUCUUCCAAAUUCCUAAACCUAACCUAACUCAUGACAGUUGCACACCCUACUCCUUCAAGUAUGUAUGUAUGUAAAUGUAUACACACGCACACACACACAAAAUUAGCUUUUAAUAAGUAGAUUUAGUAUUUUUCAAGUUUAAUAUUAAUGAUAUUUUAAUUUAAUUUAAUUACUUUUGUUUGUUUCGCUUUAAUGACUUGAACUUAGUGAUUUCUGGCUAAGAUUGGAUUUUUAUUUAUCUAAUUAAUGGUCAAUAGUUGUCCAAAAUAUAUUUGUUAAUAUUGUUGACAAUACUUAUAUAUUGACUAAAAGAUAGAGCAAGGCAUUAAUUUUAGUAAUAAUUAUUUGCCUACAACAAAAAUAUUUUGUGUUAGAAUGAUAUAUUUUGUGUAUUUGUUUUAAUAUUGAAACUUUAAUUUCUCUUUUACAUUGAUAAAAUCUAAAGUUGAGUAGUUUAUGUAGAUUUUUUAGUAUGUUACUAUAAAGUUAUAUUUUGAAUUAUAUAAUUUAAAUUAUUAAAUAUAAUUUUUUAAUAUUUAUGAUUUUAAAUAUAAAAAUUUAUUAAAAAAAAAAACUACUACAUGUUAUGGGUGGAUUUGCUAAUUAUUAAAAAUUAUAGCGAACGAACUAAAAAAAAAAAGAGGCAACCGGUUACGGGCGAAUUUAAUAAUGACAAACCCAUAAUAAGCGAUACCAUUACCAUCGGCAACUUCUAUAACGCAGGGCCGGGGGCGGUCUUGAAUUGUUAGAAGUUGCAACAUUAAUUAGCAAAAUUUUCAGCGGCAUCCCUGAAGUUUAGCAUAGAAUUAGAUAUAUCCCCUUGUUUUCAAAAUUAGUCUCUGAUUCCCAUGUUGUUUACUUAAUUUUUUUUUUUUUUUCAUUUCAAUUGGAUUUAUAACUUCGUAAUGUUGCGCCUUGUAAAAUGUAUGCUUAAAACGCGUGCUUCUUAUUUUUUAUAUACUGCUAAGAGAAUUUGAGAAUAGAAAUAUAUAAAAUGGUGUCUCAUUUAUUAAUUAUUUAUAUCCUCUAAAUAGCACCUAACAUGCAAGCUCACUUCAAUAGUAAAAUUAAUUAAACAAAAAAAAAGCAUUUUUAACGCCAGUACAAAAACAUAACAAGUGUAAAGGAAGACUCAUUAACUUAUUUUAUGAUAUUAAAUUCACACAGAUACCAUCAAUGUUUCUCGACAACGUUUGAAAGAGACCACCAACUCACGCUGAUUUGGAAGAUUUUCUUUAAGUAUAUAAGUGAAAGUUAUUACUCUAGUCUUCAAAAUUCUUAAACCUAAUCUAACUCAUUACAGCUGCAUGCCUUUCUCCUUUUAUUAUAUGUAUAUAUUUUACGAUGAAUACAAUAACUUUUAAUAAGAAGAAUUUUAUACUUUUCAAGCUUAAUAUUAAUGAUAUUUUAUUUUAUUUUAAUUACUUUGAAUUGUUUUGGUUUAAUGACCUGAACAUAUUGAUUGUUUGCUAAAGUUGAAUUUUUAUUUGUCUAAUUAAUUGACGAUAGCAAUUGUGUAAAAUUUACUUAAAAAGAUAAAAUCUUAGUAGAUUACAAAAAGAUUUAGUAAUGACAAACAUGUAGCAGCCAAUACACAUUACCAUCCCCAACUGCUAUAAUGCAGGGCCAUGGGCAGUCUUAAUUGUUAGAAUGUGCAAAAUUAAUUAGUAAAAUGUUCAGCAGUAUCCUUGAAUUUUAGCAUAGAAUUAGAUAUAUCCCCUAGUUUUCAAAAUUAGUUUUUGAUUCCCCUGUUGUUUACUUUAUAUAUAUAUAUAUAUAUAUUUCACUUGGAUAUAUAACUUUGUAAUGUUGCGCCUUAUAAAAUGUAUGCUUAAAAUGCAUGCUUAUUACUUUUUAUAUGCUGUUAAGAGAAAUUGAGAAUAGAAAUAUGUAAAAUAGAGUUUCAUUUAUUAAUUAUUUAUAUCCAUUAAAUAGCACCCAACAUGUAGUUCGUCUCAAUAGUAAAAUUAAUUAAACAAAGCAGAAAGAUUUGUUUUAGAAUCAGUACAAAAAUAAAAAAAGCACAAAGCGAGAAUCACAAACUUAUUUUAUGAUAUUACAUUCACGCAGAUGUCACCAAUGUUUCCCGACGAUGUUUGAAAGUGAUCACCAUCUCAUGCUGAUUUGGAAGAUUUUCUUCAAUUACAGGUACUUUCCUGAAAUUUUCAAACCACUCAUGCAAGCUUGGGAAUUUGUGAGAUUCAAAUAGUUUCACUCCCAUUACAUCUUCAAGGACCUGCAACCAAUAAGCAAUGGCUCCAAAUGCUAGGUCCGCUAAGCCAAUAUUGUCUCCAUUGAAAAAUUUCUUCUCUCCUAGGCCAUGUUUUUCAACGGUUUGAAGCAUUUCCAAGGCUGCCUUCAUUGCAUUCUCCAGGUCUUGUCCAGUGCUGAAAAACAUUUUCCAAACAGCUACUCCCUGCCACAAGAUUUUAUAUCUAAUUCUUAUCACCACAUGAUUAAUAAUAUAUAUGAGGUAAAAAGAAAUUAGAUAAUAUGUACACACGCGUCAAAGUAUCUUUUAAAGCCUAGACGUUUCAAACUGUCAAAGUAUUUAGGAGAGUUUAUCCACUAAUUUUUAGACUAGUUUAGUAUAACUUUUUAGAACUUAUUUAAGUAGAAUUUUUAUUAGUAAAAUUUUAAUUUUUAUAAAAAAAUUAAUUAUUUAAUUGUUAAUGAAAUUUUUUUAAAAUUAUUUUAAUAGACAAAUUUUUAAAGUUAUGUUAUGAAAUAAAUAAAAUAAGAUUAUAAAAUAAAUGAUGAAUAUUUUAAACAAUUUAACUUUUAAAAAAAUCCUCAACCCUCUAUUUCUAAAAGUGUAAAUUCAAACUUUUACUAAUAUAAGCAAAAGAAUUUAUUUAAUCCCAAAAAGCUCUACUAAAAAUAAAACUAAAAAAUAAUAAAAAUUUUGAAAAGAGUUUUUUUUUUAAUUAAAUAAACAGGUAUGAGUAAUAAAUAAGCCAUAUCAAACAAAUACUUAAUGAAAUAAAAGGAAAAAGAUUAAAAAAAAUCCUCUUAUUGUUUUAGUAAAUUAUAAUUUUGCUUUCAUGUUUCAAAAGUCCUUGAAAUUCCCCUUGUCGCUAAAAUUAUAUUUUAAUAUUUUACCCUUGAUGCAGUAAAAUCCACGGUUAAUUAAGAAAAAUUUCUAAAGAUAAAAAAUUUAAAGUAAUUAACCGAUUUUUUUUUUAUAAAUCUCUAAUGUAAAAUAAAAGGUCCAUUGAGCUUCGUCGGCCGUGAAUGCAUUUUGCACAUGCGAGGACAUUAGUUUGAGCAUUAAUAGAAGAUAAAAAUUAAUGUUUAGAGAGUCAUAUUUCUCAUAUACAAUGAAAAAUUAAUUAAAUUUAUAAACGUGUUGGCAAGAAAAGUUGCGAUGCGAACCUUGUCUUCGGCAAAUUUAAUCCAAAAACGAGCUUUAGCUCUAUCAUAAGGAUCACUUGGCGUCAAGGAGGGAUUGUGUGGCCACAUCUCUUCAAUGUAUUCGAGAAUAACCAUGGACUCGCAAACUGGUUUUUCGCCAUGAACGAGCACUGGUAUCAUCUUGUGAACUGGGUUAUACUUCAAAAGCGAAGCACUUUUGUUGUAGAGAUCUUCUUCAAUGUAUUCAUACGGGAUGCCUUUCAAUUUCAGAGCCCAUACCACCUUGUUGCUAAAUGGACUCGCCCAUCCCCCGUGGAGCUUCACUUCAGCCAUGUGUCUCAGAUCGAAUUUGAAUAUGUUUGUGGUUGUUUUGCUUAGCUGAUGAGUUAUUGCAUACGUACAUCUGAAUUUAUAAUGAUUAAUGUUGGAAUGUCGAGUGCGCUUGCUUGAGCAGGGAGCUUCAUAUUUCCAAUUUAUUUAAUAAAACGAUUAAAUUAAGUUGAAUUCAAUGAGCUAAUGCUGCGACUUUUUAACAAUUCUGUUAUAUAUUCAACGAGAAGAGGUAUCGUAUUUGACGGGAAUCUCUUGAAACAGUGCUGAAUUAACAAGUAAUCUUAUUUAAUUUGGUCAACUGGUCAGAUGUGGAUUAAUUAUAUGUUUGGCGUUUGUUUUAGGUGCCCAGCUAGCCCUGCUGCUGUGUUUUUGACUUUACUAUGGGGUGGAGUCGUGGAGAUAUCAUCAUCCCAACUGAAGACAUAUUAUGAUAUUCUCCUGAAAACUUUGUGAGACUCAUUUACUUUACAAUUUUAGCAUUUUAGGCCCAAUAACUUCAUAUAUAUGACGUUUUGUCCCCCGGCUCCACCUCUUCUUUAUAAAUCCGAACACCUGAAAAAUGACGAGACCGGAACAACUCUCCGUCUUAAGUCUAUGCAAAUUUUACACACAAGAGAAAGAGAGGGAGAGGGGCGGCCAUGAGAGACAACGAUACAGAAAAGAAUAUGGAAAAGAGUUUAUUAAUACCAAAAGAGAGUUUAUCAUCAACAUCCACAACAUGGGAUUUGUUGAGUGGAGAAGUGAAAAAGCAGGGUUACAUAGCAGCACCAAUGGUGGCUGUAACUUUAUCACAGUAUUUGCUUCAAGUUGUUUCCAUGAUGAUGGUUGGUCAUCUUGGUCAACUUGCUCUUUCUAGCACCGCCAUGUCCAUCUCUCUAGCUAGCGUUACCGGCUUCAGCGUCCUUGUGAGUCCUAUAAUCCAUAUAUAGUUAUAUACACAAUAUUGUUUAUUCUUUCUUUUGAUAGGUAUUUGCAUCAUUGCAUGUGGGAUUUAAACAAAUAGAUAUGCCAAAUUUCUGAUGUUAAAAAACAUGCAAUUAACUUAUACCCUGUUAGUAAAAAUGCCAUUAAUUUUUAAAGGACUUGAUUUGCUUUUUUUUUUAAAAAAAAUAUAUUCUACAGCUAACUUGAAUUGUGUAAUAUUUUCUUUGAAACAGUUAGGAAUGGCAAGUGCUCUGGAAACAUUAUGUGGGCAAGCAUAUGGAGCUCAGCAGUAUCAAAGAAUUGGAACUCAAAUUUACACUGCAAUAUUUUGUUUAUUCUUAGUAUGUUUUCCGCUUUCCUUUCUAUAGAUUUACAUGGGAAGGCUGCUAGUUUUGGUGGGCCAAGACCCCCAGAUUUCACAUGAAGUAGGCAAGUUUAUAAUCUGGCUUCUUCCAGCUCUGUUUGCUUAUGCAGCAAUGCAGGCGCUUAUUCGAUAUUUUCAGUCUCAAAGUUUGAUCAUUCCCAUGUUCUUAAGCUCCUAUGCCGCUCUUUGUUUGCAUAUUCCCAUCUGUUGGGGUUUGGUAUUCAAGUCUGGACUAGGGAACCUUGGAGGAGCAUUGGCAAUUGGUAUAUCGUAUUGGUUGAAUCUAACUUUCUUGGCAAUUUACAUGAAGUUCUCCACUGCUUGUGCAGCAUCCUGGGCUCCAAUUUCAAUGGAGUUGUUCCGAGAAAUUGGAGAGUUCUUCCACUUUGCUAUCCCUUCUGCAGUAAUGGUUUGGUAUGUUAAUUAUCCUCUGGAGUUUUAUUUUCCCUUCUCAUAGAUAUCGUAGACACGUCAUAAAUUUUCAUGCUUCUUCUUUUGUUUAUAAUUUUGCAGCCUAGAAUGGUGGUCAUUUGAAUUGCUCAUUUUAAUGUCAGGGCUGUUGCCUAACCCACAGCUUGAAACUUCAGUCCUAUCUGCAUGGUAUGUUGACAUAGACUUUGUAUGUGAAAGUUCUAUACAGAGAAGCACCUACCAAAGGAAAUAGAUUUUUUUUCUUUUUUUCUUUUUUUCCCCGACUGCUCAUUAUUUGUCAACUUCUUUGGGCAGUCUCAGUACUAUUCAAACCCUCUCUGCAAUCCCUUAUGGACUUGGUGCUGCAGUGAGGUUUGUUCAUAACAAUCAUUUAAAUAAUAAUUGUUUUAUAUCAACUAAUUAGCAGAUUAACCAUUAUUUCCUUCUAUAGUACUAGAGUUUCAAAUGAACUAGGAGCUGGGAAUGUGCAAAGAGCCCGUGUAGCUGUCUAUGCUGUGGUCUUUAUGGCAGUCAUGGAGACUAUCAUAGUAAGUGCAUCUCUCUUUGCCAGCCGGCGUGUUUUUGGUUAUGUUUUCAGCAAUGAGGGACAAGUUGUGGAUUAUGUCACAACCAUGGCUCCUCUGGUUUGUUUGUCUGUCAUCAUGGAUAGCUUACAAGGAGUCUUUUCAGGUUAAAUUAACUUCUUCAACUCUUUCAAUUGCUAAAUAGUUCUCUUUAAGUAGAAAUAAAUUUUUUCAGGUUUCUAAAUUCUUUUAAUUAUUUUUAAGGUGUUGCAAGAGGAUGUGGGUGGCAGAAUAUAGCUGCUUUUGUGAAUCUUGGGGCUUAUUAUUUGUGUGGAGUCCCAACUGCUGCCAUUUUGGGUUUCUGGUUAAAGUCUAGAGGAAGGGGCCUAUGGAUUGGGAUACAAGCCGGUGCUUUUACACAAACACUUCUGCUUGGCUCAUAACAACAUUUACAGAUUGGGAAAAACAGGUCUGUUUCUCAACAUUUAAUCCCUUAAAAAUUAGAGAAGCUUAUUGGACUAUAUAUGUAAAUAUGUAGCAAUUUUUUUUCCCAACAAGUAUAUGAUACCUUCUGACUGAAAGUUCAAGAUUAAAAUCAUUCAGCUUGAUCUGAAAUGGUUAGUAUUAUCAUCUUAUGCAGAAAUGGUUUUGCUCAUUGAGAAAAUGAUAUUCAAUAACAGACGUGCAAACUCAUUUGAAAAUUUGCUUUUUUGGAAGAAUUAUAACCAUUUUCUAGUUUGUUAAUUGUUACAAGUUCUGUGUUUCUAAGGGGUUUCUCAUGUUGCAGGCAAGUAAAGCAAGGAAAAGAUUAUCAAAGGGAAGAUCUUUGGCAGAUAAUAGAGUAGUAUGUGAGUGACCAGAGUCAAUCAAUGAGCUGAUACAUACAUUUUCCAGUUGAAAGAGAUAAUCAUUGCUUGAGAAAAUGAGCUGAUCAUAUGUCAAUUGAUGGCCAAGAAGGUCCCCCAAUCUGAUCUAUGGAGCAUGACAUUUCAUGAAACUCUGUUUCUAGAGAAAAAAAAAAAAAAUUAACAGCUUCUUAGGAUUGCACAUUGCAGCAUCAGGUGACUUAGCAUUUCCAGUAUGAAUGAAUUAUAAGAUAGAUGAUGCUGCAAAAAUGAAUAGAGAUAAAAAUUAAGCAAGAGAAAAUGUUUGAAUGUUAUUAUUUAAACCUUUUCCAGUGAUUGUAGAGAUAAUUUGCUUUGUAUUGAAAACUUUCACCAUCUGAAAGAUAAGGAAAAUAUUAAAAGAAAAAAGAAAAUUCUUAAAUCUUUUCCAUGUCAUUCUAGCAAAGUUGAAUUGUGAUUCUUAACCCUACACCACAAUGUAAGGUGGCCUGUGGCCUGUGGGUAACACACAAUUUGACAACCCCAUAUAUUAAGUAAUCUAGAUGGAGGACAUUAAAUUUUUCAAUUUUUUAAUUUUUGUUCAUUUUUUUUUUUUUAAAUUCAAACGACACCUCUUUCAUUGUGGCAUUGGAAUGUAUAGAGAUUUGCACACUGAUUUUGGACCAUACUUCACAAAUAAUGCGACGCACAUCUUUCUUUCAGUACUUCUUCAGGAGGACGUUGUUGUCCUUUUACCUGAAGCAAGUGCGUGUGCAUGCAUUGUUGUUGUCUGUUAAUCUGCUGCCACUUUGCUGCCAAAAAACUUGAAAAAUAAACUGGGAAAAUUUUCAAUAAGCAAAGUCAAACAACUAACCCCUGUUUUCAGUUAUAUUCCUAAGAAAACUUUUAACACUCAAAUAAAGCACACAGCUAAAGUAUUUCUAUCACAUUAGCGUUCGAGUGAGGCUUGAUUUACAUUUAUAUCAGAUAUACCAAGUGUUUUUUAUUCUUUUAAUUAAUGUUUAUUCCUAAGAAAACUUUUAAUUGAUUAUCCACAUAUAUAAACAAACCUAGCUCGCAAUGUGAAAUAUAUUAAAACAGCAACCAUAAUAUUUUCAAAUAUUUAAAUUAACGGUGAUGAUAUUUUCACCCCAUGAAUUUUAUAAACCCACCCAUUUUUAAAAAAAUUAUUAUAAUCAGUUCACAUUAUUUUUAAAAAUUUAAAUUAAGAAGAAAUUAAAAAAUUGAUCAAUUGAAUUCAUAUUCAUUUCUUUUUUAAACUGCGUUUCUUUAUUAUAUUUAAUCAAUAAGAUUGCUUUAACAUAAAUUAGUAUGACUAUUUUACCCUCAUAAGAUAAAAGUAUCAAAAUAUCUAAAAAUUCACUUUAACUUCAAUAAAUUUUUAUGCAAUUUUUUUUAUAUUUUAAUGAUGUAUUAGUAAUUGUUAGUACAAUUAUUAUUACUCCACUAAACUAACAAGAUAUAAUUAGGACAUGUGGUGAAUUGAAAAUAAUUAAAUUUUAUAUAAUACAUAUUGGAUUAUAAAAUAUAAAACUAAAUAUCUAAGCAAUUAGUUACAAUAAUAUAUAUAUAUAUAUAUAUAUAUAUAUAUAUAUAUAUAUAUAUAUUUCUUAGAGUAAUUUGGUAAUUUUAUAUUAUAAGGGUAAAAUAAUCAAAUUAAAUUUAUCUUGAAGCGCUUCAAAAGUUAAAGAUUGUUAAAAGGCUAAGUCGGAAAAAAUAUUAUAAAAUUGAUUUAAUUAAUUAAUUAUUUAAAAAUUUUAUAAUUUUAUAAUUUUAUAAAAUAAUGCAAACUUAUUGUAAUUAUUUUAUACAGAUGGACUGGGUUUAUAAAAAGAGUAAUGAUAUAGCCACAAACUCUUGUACAAACUUAUUUUGUACAAAUUGAUGUGGCAUGAUAAGAUUGGUUGAAUUAAAUAUCACUUGGCCCACAUGAUUUGUUUUUAUUAUUUUAUAUUUUCAUUCGACCAAUAAAUUAAUGCCACGUCAGUUUGUACAAGAGUUUGUGGCUGUAUCAUUACUCUUAUAAAAAUAGCAGGGUGGAUAUACAUACACCCCUGAAUUAAUAGUCAGUAUAAAUUUUAGAUACCUCCCCUAAGAUUUGACUUUGCUACACUUAGAGAAAAUGUAAACAUAUAUUGACAAUAUACCCCCUAGUCGUGUAUAAGGGUUAGGCACUCAUUAGGUAGUUGAGGGCAAUGACGUACAUGUUGCAUAUUUUUUUAUUUUUAAAUCUUACAAAAGCUGUUAUACUGUAACUAAUUAGACAAGAGCAGCGAAAAUGCAUACAGUGCUUUGAAGCUAGGGAAGCCCAAGGGGAUAGUAACCCAUUUUCAUUGUCAAUGCCUAGCUUCAUUUCUUCUUCUUUUUUUCUCAGCAUAACUUGAUGAGUGCUUAGCUUCAUUUCGAAGGUCGUGACACCAACUGAUUUUACCAAAAGCAGAGAUACUUUGUGAUGCAGUAAGCUAACAAGUUUCUGAAAUCAACUAUGUUUUGAACCAAAUUCCGGCGACGACCAGCAGCUGAAAAGCCGGUGAUUAAAGGGCACACUAGGUGCGUAAUUCUAUCAAAUCUUAAAACUGAAGUUAGGUUUUAUUAUUUUCUUGCAUUUUGUUGAAAAUUGCUGUUAGUUAGGUGCUUUAUUCUUUGUUCCAAUUAAUUGAGAAAAAUGUUUAGGGUUUAUAGAAAUUGAAGUAGUGACCGAAUAUAUCUGAAUUGAUUUUUAAGUUGAUAGUCACUCAACAUGUUGUGUAAACUAUGAAAAUAAUUUAUUUUUUGAUGAUUUUGGACUCUGGUUUUUGAAUGCCUACUGAAAUUUGCUUGAUCUGUUAUUAAAAUUGAGAAAAAUCCAAUCUUUUUCUAAGAAUGCAGAGGUGUUGCUGAGAAAAUGCUUAUGGUGUUGUUUUGUUUCUUUUUUUAUGUUACAAGUGUGCAGUUCAUGUAAGAUUGAGACAAUUGCUCUUGUUGCUUUUUGAUGUUUGUAUAGACUAAUUCCAAUCACUGAUUUUUGUUGGAAAAUGGAUGCUAUUAUUUUUCCUUUUCUUCGUGUAAAAAUUUGUAUUUCCGUUCCCGACAUAAAAUUCAGAUGCUUGCCUAUUACUUUUUGAGGUUGUUAUUUAGGUGUAAGAGAUAUAUUAGUUAUAGAGCUUGUAGGCAGUUGGUUUAUUGAAGAACUAGUACAGUUGAGAAAGUGUCUUUUAGGUCAUCCAUUUUAAUACACAUAUUAACAGAUUUAAUUACAUAAACACAAGACUUCAUUUGUUUAUCAAAGUAGUACUUUCUGAUGCUUUCGUAUAAUGAAUGCCAAAGAGAUGACAUUUGCAAAAAGGCCAUUUGAAUGUGCCAACUGCUAUCCUUGUAAACCUCUAUUGUGAUUCUGUUAUCAUUAUAUGUUGUUUAAUGAUCUGAUGAUUUCGAGAUAUCAAGAUGAGUUUAUUCAUACAAUAAAUGUUGUCAUUAGGUUCAUAAUUAUUGUAGUACAUGUUCAUUUAGCUACUUUAGGUACUGCUACAUGCAUUUAUUGUAUAAUGCCUACUUAGCAGCCAUAACUACACCCAUUGUUGAAGCCACAACAGCACAAAUGAGAAAAAAAACAUGUUUAGGAACAACAUUGUCUUUAUAUCAUUUCAUUUUACUCCAUUUUGUUGUGCUUUUUGCAUCAGUGACUUCAAAUCCUUCCUAUCCUUUUGCAUACUCAUCAGCAGUUCAUAAUUUGCUUGACAUGUUCCUAAACCAUCAAAUAUAACACCUUGGUCGAUAUCAUUUGAAGAUGGCAUCCAAAACUUGAAAUAGCCACAACCAUUUUUGCUAUCCAUACAGCAAUAAUAUAGCUUGUUUGGGUUGUCAUCUGAUUCCGCUACCUUCAUAGCAGCUCUUUUGUAGCAUUUACUAAUCUUGUUUGAAAAUCAAAUGAAUUUAAAAUAUUCUCAUUUAUUGUUUUUUGUAGCGUUCACUAAUCUUCUGAUAUUCAGUAUUGUUUUUAUAUAAAUUAAUUUAAAAUAUUAUCAUUUAUUUGUCUUAUUAUAUGAUUUUACACUAUCAAAUUAUUUGUUUUAAGGGGCAUUUUGGUCUUUUCAACACUCCAUUGAGUUUUGUCUUAUUAUAAGAAUAUGUAAUGUCAACAACAAUUAUCAUAAGGGUAUAAUAGCCUUUUCACCCCCCCAGGCGCGAAAAAAAAAAUUGCCCCAAAUAUAAAGAUCAUCUACAGUGUCAAAUAAUUUUGAAGGGCAUUAUUGUACAUUCACUCAACUACCUAAUGGGUGCCUAACCUUCAUACAUGGCCGGGGGUAUGUUGUCAAUAUAUGGAUACAUUCUCUCUAAGUGUAGCAAAGCCAAACCUCAGGGGUGGUUUCUAAAAGUUUUCCUAAAUAGUUAAUAAUUUUAUACAACAGAUUCUUGGAUACCCCUCAAGUUCAUUUAUUAUACGUUAUGGCUGACUUUCAAGAAAUUAAAUUCUACAUUAUGACCCCUAGGGAAACAACGUCGCCAAUAAAAUUAUAAACUAUAUGUGUGUAAUAGUUGUCAAACCUGAACCUAUGUUGUUUAGCAAUUUACAAAAUGAGAAAGACGACAAAAGCCAAGUGUUAGAGCGGCAGCGAGCCAACGAGACAAGCUCAAGUUCACUGUGUUUUUGUUGAACCUUCUGAAGAUCCGAAACUCGAGGUUUGUUUUUUCGUUCCCUAAUCGUUUGACCACAUUUUUAUUCUGUGCUACGUUCGUUAUGAACUAUUCAGGCUAAGUGUUCGACGAAAUUCCUAAGUGAGUAUAUAUAAUGGUUUGCUCUUGUAUUUAUUCUGUUAUAGAGGGUUUUGCUUUGGGUGGUUAAAUAGAGGAGAUUAGACAUUGAACUUUAUGCACUCGUAUGUUUUCAAGUAAUUGUUUGCUGAGGCACAUGUACUUUGAAUGGCUUCAUUCAUCUACAGAGAUAUCAUAACAUUUUUUGCUUAAUGUGAGUCUUAUUGUUGUUAAUUUGUCCAAAGUGAAGGCUUUUUUAACUUUUAUUUCUUUGAUUUAUUUAUUUAUUGGUGUGUCAAAGUUCUGUGUCUAAACUUUUAUUUGAUAAGUUCUUUCAGACAACUAAUUAGAAGAAAAAAAUGCUAGAGAGUGAGUAUGAGAGGGAAUGAUGUUUGGGCAAAGGGUGAUUGGUUCACUUGGCUCAUGAAGGACCCCAACUAUAAUGACAUGUAUCAAUUUCGCAGCCUAAUUGGAAGGUAAGCUCAUUUCUUGAUUUCCUUCAAUUUUCACUUCCAUUUUACUGUUUUCAAGUAGCAGGUAUUCUAAAUAAAAGUAAAAUCAGUAGUGAUUUGCUUCAAAUGCAUAUGGAUAGUAUAUCACAUGUGAGAAGAUUGUAUUUGUUAUAUGAAAAUCCUUAAUAACUUUAAUUAAAAAAUAUAUUCUCAAACCUGAUCGUGGAAUGUACUAUUUCUUAAUAUCUGAGUUUGGAUCAACACAUUUUUUGCCAUGCAAUUUGACAAGUUGUCAUGUCCUCAUUCUGCACUAUUAUAAGUUUUGCCAAUCUGCAUAGGUGUUUAAUAGAUUGAGUUAAUCUAGUUUCGAGAACAUGCCUUGCUAAAGGACGUCGAGUUUCUAAGUGAGGGCAAGUCAGCGGGGCAGGUCUGUUACCUCUAAAUUCUUUCAAUAGCUUGGGGACGUUAAUCCUAUUAAUGACAGCCACAUAUUAUAAGUCAAGAAAACUGAUUUUUUGAUUAUUGAAAAAUCAAAUUUUUUGUAUUAUUCUAUUGAUGAUCUCAGUAACCUACCUGUUGCGGUUGUCUUGUAUGGAUCAUUGUUUCUCUUUUAAGCUGUUAUGGUGACAAUUUUUAGCUCUUAUUGCAGUUCUUAAAGUCAUUGCAAGCACAUGCUCUGUCGAUCUCCAUAAAUUCAGAUACAUAUGCAUAGUUAGCUAUUCAAACAACCACACUGGUAUUCAACUUCAAUAUUCAGAAACAUGGCUGAAGUGAAGCUUCAUGGGGCAUGGGCGAGUGCAUUUUGUUACAGAGUGAUAUGGGCUCUGAAAUUGAAAGGCAUAGCAUAUGAUUACAUUGAAGAAGAUCUCUCUAACAAAAGUGCUUUGCUUUUGAAGCAUAAUCCAGUUCACAAGAAGGUCCCAGUGCUUGUUCAUGACGCAAAAUCAGUUUGCGAGUCCAUUGUUAUCCUUGAAUACAUUGAGGAGAUGUGGCCACAGAAUCCCUUGAUGCCAAAUGAUCCUUAUGAUAGAGCUCUGGCUCAUUUUUGGAUUAAAUUUGCCGAAGAUAGGGUUUGCUUCAGAACUCUAGCUAAUGCGUUUAUAAGUUCAUUAUUUUCAUGUUUAUUUGUUAUUAGAGAAAAUGAUCAGUAUCCCCCAUUGUACGUCAAAAUUAAUUAUUUCUUCUUUUAUGUUUUAAAACCUAUCAAAAUCUCCAUUGUCGUUUAAAAAAUUCUGUUAACUUUCAACUUUUUUUGUCUUUUACUAAUUUACCUCUGGAAAAAUUUUUAUUAAUAGGAAGUUGAAAGUUUAAUAGAAUUGUUUUAACGGCAAGGGAAAUUUUGAUGGCUUUUGAAAUAUGAGGGAGAAAAAGGAUUAAUUUACCAAAACAACAUUGUGGUUUUGUUGUUCAUUUACCCUUUGUCAUUCAAUGUAGUGGUUAACCUCUAGUAUAAGGGUGCUUGACAAAUGACAAGGGUAUGUAUUGUCCAAGUCUUUUAGUUCAUACAUAUUAUUAAUCAUGUAGUGAUAUUUUGGCAGGGAGCUACUGUUUGGAAAAUGUUUCGUAGCGUACGAGAUCAAGAGAAUACAAUGAAAGAAAUCUUGGAAAUGCUAAAAACCGUUGAAGAACAUGGCUUAGGAGAGAAGAAAUUUUUUCAUGGAGACAAGAUUGGCUUAGUGGACAUAGCAUUUGCUUCCAUUGUUUAUUGGUUGCAAAUCAUUGAAGAUGUAGCAGGAGUGAAACUAUUUGAAUCUCACAAAUUCACUCGCUUGCACGCAUGGUUUGAAAAAUUUAAAUGAGUCCCAGAAAUUGAAGAGAACCUUCCUAAUUGGGGUGAACUAUUGGUUUUUUUCAAACGUCGCCGUGAAAAGUUGGUGGCCUCUUCCUCAUUGCAUUAGCACAAAAUUUGUUCGUGCAAUUGUAUUGUUGUUGUCAAGAGGCCGCUCUUUGCUUAGUUUUUGAUUAUCUUGUGUGCUCAAUUGGGAGGCCGCCGCUUUGCUGGGUACUUUCAUAUGGAUUUGAGUAAUAAGAGGGACUUGACUUUAUAUUUAUGAAUUAUUGCAUGUAUUUCGUUAAUUAUUAAUGGACUACUAACGGUUAUGUAUUGUUUGGGCGGAAGUUUACAUGCUGAUAUAUACUAAUGACUUGAAGUAAAGUCAACUUGUUUGAACGAAUGGUAAUAUAGUUCUAAAAAAUAAGAAGAAAAGCUCCUUGUGGAAAAAGAUAGUUCUAGUAAACAUGCCCAAUAUUAAAGGGUAUUAUCGAAACUUAUAUUUUAAUGGUUAGAGCCAGCAUGUGAACAGUGCCCCAUUAUGAAAGAAUAAUUUUUUUUUUGCUAAGAAUAAUGAGCCAAAAGGGCUUUAGAGAUUUUUUUUAGAUCUAAUUUCUUGAGAGACUUCUUCAUCUUCUUCUUCCUUUAUGGUUAGGGUUUCUUUCUCCAUUUUAACACCACCAUGGAAAAUUUUAACCAUCUCAUCUCCCAAAGAAGCCUUUUCCCUUACUCUUUUCCUGGAAAACUCUCUAAUCUCUAUAAAACUCAUAUCUCCCUCAUGUCAUUAUUCCUCAUAAACAACCUUUAAUAAGGUUUUGUCGAUAUUAUAAUGCAAAUUAUGUAAUACUUCAUUUAUAUAGUGGAUUGGAGAUGAAUUACUCUUAUGGAUGUAGAUCAAAGGGUCAAACAACGUAAAAUCUUAUGUGUUCUUUAUUGUUUAUGCUUAUUUUCUAUUUAUUAGGAUGAUGAUAAUACUCAAAUCGUAUUUCAUAUAUGAGCUCAUAUAGAGGCAUACCACGAGCUCUACUGAGCUCCCCAUAUAAGCUCUCUAGUUAAAGCUAUCCUCGAAUUCGCUAGAGCUACUUCCUAAACUCUCUUGAGUCCCCAAAUCAACUCUUUAAACUAAAUCCCAUGAGCUUCACAGAGUUUACCUCCCAAAACACUUCAAUUUGCCUCUCAAAUUACCUCAGUUCACCUUCCAGAUUACCUCAGUUAUUUCUUUUAUCCCUAACAGCAGAAAAACACACCUAGAUUUUUACUAGCUCAAUCUCCUCUCAAAUAUAAAUUUAUUUAUUUAAAUUAUAUUUAACCUUGUUAAUGAUUCAAAUCAGAUCCUAGAGGAAAUCCGGUCAAAACAUGUAUCUAUGUAUAAUAUUUAACAUCACCCUAACGAUCAAUACGAGUGCACUUGGAUUUAUUCUUAGUAGUACACAAAGUGGAAAAAGCAUAACAAGCAACACUUGCACGCUCGAGGCUCAAUAUAAGUACGAACGUCAUAAUUCCAAGCAACAAACAAUGAUCAUCAGUACUAAUUUUUUCUGCAAGCCACCAAAUUGGAAAAGUACCGCGAAGUAAUUAAUUAACCACUGCGACUUGCCAGCUUAAGGUUAUCCAAUGCUGAGAGUUCAUUAUUCUUUGAGGUUUGGUUAUUGUAAAUGUCUUUUAGAGUAAUUGCAGGAUAGAGCGGAGGAUUUUCUUCUGAUAGCAACUCUUUAAGUGGACCAUAUCGUCUCGAGCAACUAUUAUUCAUGAAAAAACUUCCGAUUGAAAUUCUGGAGUCUUCCUUAUUUGAUAACACUCUAUGAUAGGCACUCUUGAACUUAUCGUUGGUAAUCAGCUGCAUAAACACGAACACGUUGGUAAUCAGCUGGAUAAACACACACUUCAUAUAAACCAUAAUUAAGUUAUCUGAUAGAGAUUCAUGCUCGGGUGUAGACGUUCACAUAAUUUUGUAAGGACGAUUCUUUCACAGUAUUGUGAAAGAAUGUGUCCGCACAAGAUUUAGUGCGAACGUCCCACUUGAGAAUUUUCAAUUUGAUGGAUAGUAUUUCUUAAUAAGUUAUCUAACACACACUUGCCUGCAUCAUGUAGCCUAAGUUUACAACUAGAGUUCCCGGAACAGGGGCAAUGCCAAACCAUUGAUCUUCGUGAAAGACUUGGAGGCCACCAAUUUGAUCUUGUAUGAGCACAGUGACAAAUCCAGGGUCAGAAUGUGUUGCUAUGCCGAUGGACAAUUAUGGUUGAGGGCAUUCAGGUUAGUAACCAUUCCCAAUAGUCAUUUCCUCUUCACAACCUAUGUCUUUCAGGUAAUUGGGGUCAAGCCCUAAAGCUUCGGAUAGAAGUUCAAACAGAGUGUCCCCUGUUUUCCACAUUAGGUUGUUGUAUGCGAUCAUUAUCUCUCUGCAAAUUAAUAAAGACAAAAAAUAAUCACUACUAAAAGAAAGGGAGAAUGACAUUUCGACUUUUAGAAAUUAUUUUUUUAUUGGGUUAACAACUAGAUGAAAUGAGAGUAAUAAAAACUUAUUAGGAACCCAAGUGAUGCAAAAAGUUCUAAGAAAGAUGCAAGUGUUAUCCACUGUAAAAGAAAUAAAAUCUAUUGGUCAUCGUCCACAUACCUGCAAGCUUCAGGCAAAUCUUCAGGAUUUGAAAAAUCGCGACCCACAACACAACUUAAAGUAUCUUUCCAAAAGAGGGUUGGUGCACUAUACAAAUUUAAAUUUGAACAAUAUUUAAUUUUUUUGGAGUAAUCACGAGAAUAAUAUUUCUGCUCAACCUCAACAUCUUGUUGAAAAAACCUAUGGAUCCCAUCAAUGGCCUGAUCCAAAUGCUUGUUGGGAUUCCAUGAUUGAUCACUUGAAAGAAACCCCACUUCUCACGAGCACUUCUAAUUUGGUCAAUUACCUGAGAACGCAAACUUGAAUCCCUGUGUAUUCUUUGAAGGUCUAUGAUAGGGAUGCUGAUUUUGGGGUCCCUGCAGAUUGGCUUAUCAUCAAACUUAUGUUUAGUGUGAUGAUCUUGAAGGAUGAUCUGUGGAAUGGUUGUGAUCCCAGCAUCUACGAGUCCCUUAACACCAGCUUUCGUGUCAUCAUAAGCUUUCAACUCGCUAACUCUGUCACAAGUAAUGCUUCCCAUUGCUUGGUGAAUUAUCUUUUACCUGGUGAAUUAUGAAGUACAAAUGCUGACUUGCGGGUGAUUGCUUUUGGUAUAUGCCGUUUAUAUGAAUAUGAUUGCUAGCUUGCCACGUGCAACAUGUUGAAAUAUAACGUUAGCAUGAAGAUAUGGAAAUUUAUAAAAUUUGAUUCUGCGUUAUUUAUCAUGAUUAAAUUAAUUAUAAAUUAUCAAUAAUAGUCAAUUCCGGGAACUACCAACUACUGGGUGGCACAUCACAAUAAUAAAUUAUCAAUAAUAGUCAAUUCUGCAUUAUUUAAUAUUUAUGUGGAUAAAAUUUCAAUUAGCUACACUACAUUGUUGUUUGAUAGUUAACGUUUCACCUUCUCCAUUUGUAAAUAUUAUUAUGGACUUAUAGUGUGGCUUAAAAGCUAGAUCUUAAAUGAAAAGAAAGCUUUAAUGGUGAAAUAAAAAUUUAAAUAAAUGAUAAAGAGAUUAAAGGUUAACCUAAUGUUAGCAAAAAUAAUUGUAAAAUAUACAUGUUUUAUCAUGUUAAUUGAUGUUUUUCCAGUAUGCACAUAAAAAAGAUCUAUUUUACAAUUGUUUCUGUUGGCGUUCGGGCAGAUUUUUUUUAGUCUAAUUAAGUAUAUCAUAAGUUAAUAAUAGUGCGUAUUUUAACUUUAAUAAAUUUGGCCACUUAGAUUUUUAAUUUUGACUCCUUCCCUAAUCAAUCAAGAAAAAGAAUGCUUUUCUCCAUAAAAAUUAAAAUAGAAAAUUCAGCAAGGACAUAACUGCGGAGAUGUUUGAUUCUGGAUUUAUAUAUCAAAGCAACAUCAAAAUUAUAAUACUUCCUUGUUACCAAGAAGAGAUAUAUUCAAGAGCACUAGCCUUAUAAAGCCUUAACAAUACUAAACUACCUACAUGGAAUCUAAUGCGUACAUGCAAUGCUUUCUAAAGUGAAACUGUCGCUUGAAAAUAGAAUUCAUGUUCAGCAGCCUCUCUCUAUCCGAGCUCCAAUUUUAUAACAAGGCAGCUAAAUAAGAUGAUUUAGAUGGCAUCGGCAUCUGUAGUAUCGUUUGUCUGCAGUCCCUCAUUAUCUACGAUCUGAUCGCUCCCUAUAGUAUUGUUUGUCUGUAGUCCCUCAUUAUCUACGCUCUGAUCGCUCCCUAUAGUAUUGUUUGUCUGUAGUCCCUCAUUAUCUACGCUCUGAUCGCUCCCUAUAGUAUUGUUUGUCUGUAGUCCCUCAUUAUCUACCCUCUGAUCGCUCCCUAUGUAGAGAAUCGACAAGAGCAAAUUGUAGCACACGUUCACAGAACUAAUAACUGUUAAACUCUUAUAGUACUUGUCAAGCCUACUAUCAUCCAAGGUUUCAGCAAAGUCGCCUUUGUUUGCCAAAAUGAAAAAGAUGUUAAAAAUGCUUCCUAUUCCGACGAAAAAAGAACUUAUUGCUGAUACAUGGUACUCCAUCCGUUCAGGAAAAUGAGAGCUCGAGUAUUCAUCACAUCCAUGCAAAGCAAGCCCUUCCAUAAGACCCAAUAGACAGAAUUGUGGAACAAGCCAAAACAUGCUCAUAUUUUCCAAUUGUUUGCUCUUUUCCAACCUGCGAACCUCAACCUGCCAUGCCACUACACAGCAAACUGUAGACAUCACCAUUCCAAUGAAUGUUCUCAAUACUUGAGCUUGUCUCUGCUUCGUUUCCGGAACAAAUUUGAAAAUUAAUUUUUUCGACAGAUAAGAGAUCGUCGCACGAAUUAUGGCUUCAAAAGUAAGUAGAAAGAUUAAGUAACGUUCAGAAAUCAUUUUGGCUCCCUGCUCAGGAAAAAAUGUAUUUCCCGCUGACAGAACCAAUCCAAACACAAUGAAGCUAGACCACAAUGGCAACAACUUAAGAAGAGAUUUUGACUCCCUGACCUGGGCCACAGUGCAAAGUGUGCCUGCCUCUUCUUGUUCUUUAGAAGUACUUGAUGUCUCUAUAAUUGCCGCUUUGUCUAUCCACCUGCAAUUCAAAGAAUUAGUUUAUUGGUAAUUUUUUAGGAAAAUAGAAAGCGACAGCUCAUGGUUUGGCAAAAUGAUCACACAGACGCUUUUAUAAAUACGCCCUUUUGGACAAAUCUUGGAGGUCGGUGUGACUAUUCCCGAACACAAAAGGGUAUUAAUGUGUCCAUAAAGAGGUUUAUAUAAUUAUUAAUAAAAAUAAGAGGGUCUCCCCGACAAUUUUGCCAGACCACGGGCCGGGUGUGGGUGUAUACAUGUUAGGCAUAUACCUGAGUAAUUUGAUUCUGGGUGACAAGUGUAAUACGUUUCCCUCAUCAUUACUGAAGAACAGCUCCGGAGAAAGAGGAUAAUUGAGAUGCUUUUUCUUCAGGGAGGUUUUAACAACGCGGAUUAUAGCAAAACGGUCAAUAGGAGGUAUUUCUGUAUUAUGAUAAAAGGGAAUACCUAACAACAGGAGGAUCAAACUGCCCCCCAUAAACAACAAUGUAAACAUGAAAGUCUUCUUCCGUGUCUUAAUAUUAUUUGCGUAGAAUGCCGCAGCUGUACCACAGCACCAGGCAAACCGCCACCACACUCUUUUCUGAGCCAUUACUUGAUCCUCAUUUGAAUUUUCUGUUCUCCCUCCUUCACCAUGUUGUCUUAAUUGAUAGGCAAGAAAUGGUCCCAAAAGAGGAGCCGCUCCAACUUCACCCACUGCUAACAGGAUAAUUCCUAUCAUGUUGAGUAACUCAAAGUUGGUUUCUGAAAAUUCUCUGGACGCUGUACAGAACAAUAGUCCCAAUGCCUGAAACAAAAAUUGUUGGAACUAAUUGUAUAGCAUAACAUUAUGAUCCUAGAAAUGCUUUUCUUAAUCAUUAUUAUAAUCAGAGUGGAGCCAAAAUGAAUUAAUGUCACAUUAAUUAUAACUUAUCUAUUGAGAUCUCUAUCAUUAUAUUUAUAGGGGUAAGGCUCCUAAUAUCCUCUUAUUACGGGUGUGUGUAUAUAUAUAUAUAUAUAUAUAUAUAUAUAUUUUAAUAUGCUGUGAAAUUUAACAUUUACUGCAAAAUAAUAAUUUUUUUAAUUUAGCCCAAAGUACUACAAAGUCCUGGGUCCGCCCCUGAAUAUAUAUAUUGCUUGCAAACCUAGGAUCAUAACAUAUGUUUUAAUUUCGUCUCUGUUUAGAAGUUUUGCAAAUUCAAAACAUAUUAACUUACAAGGAUGUAGGAGACAGUUGAAAAAAUGAGGAUUCUGAGAGGACGAAUGGCAUAACACGAAAUCCAGGCGGCAACAACCGUAAGAGUUGCUAAUAUUACAUCCUGAAUACUCGUAAAUAUUGCAGCUUUUUGAAAUGUGAAUACUUUUGAAUAUUCGGAGUCGGAGAAGUAAGUUAUCAAGACGCCCACUAUAGCCAAGUCUACCAGUUUGCGGCUAGGCUUAUCAACAAACCUGGAAUCAAAAUAAUCAUUAGAAAAAAUGUUCGUGCUCACUAAAAAAAGCAUACACGUGACGACUGCAAGAACAAUGUGAGAGAACUAUUGUCAUGUUUUUAUAAUUUAGCCCAACCUAAUCAAAGAUCUUAAGUACACCUCUCUUAACUGAAAUUAUUUUAGGGGAUUAUCUAUUUAGGAAUCUCAAAUUUCAUGAGCUCUUAAUACACACACUGUAGUGUUUUUGAGUGACAGAUUAUUGUACAAUCAACUCGAAACACUUGCCAAGAUCGCAAAUCAAACAACCAAGAUGUAACAAGAACCAACCCAGAACAAAUCACAGAGAACUAGGACUAUAAGAACUUAGCAGUAAAACAAGGAAAUUAACGUGGUUCAGCUAGCUUCCACUAGCUUACAUCCACGGGAAAACCAGGACCAAGUUUAUUGAUUUAUCAACCACAAUUACAGAGAAUCUCAAGAGCUGAUUACAGAGCUUUUCCAAGAAGCUUUCUCCUAAAACUUCUCUACCCACAUUAGCUCUCACACAUACGCUCCUGUUGCAACUAGAACCAGCUGUUUAUAACAGCUUCUUCAACGAACCAGGAUGAGCCCAGAAACUCACAUGAUUGGCAUUCGUGAUAAUAGACUCAUAACGAUCUUUCAAGGGAUGGCAAAACCCCGGGCCGGGUCCGGGUAUUGCAAUGACCGGACCCUGCCCGUGUAUUGCAAUGACCGGACCCUGCCCGGAUGCAACCGGUCCGGGUCCGGGCCGGGUUUUAAUCCGGGUAUCCAAAUUUUAUAUUUUUUUAAUAUUAUAUGUUUAUAUAUUUUAUAUUUUUUUGGUAAUUUUAUAAGUUUUAAAUUUAUUUCAAUAAAAUUUGACAUGAAAAUAUAAACUUUAAGUGUUUAAAACUUUAUAUAUGUAUAAUAAAUGAGUCAAAUAAAUAUAAAUAUUUAAAAUAAUAUAUAUUUUAUAAUUUUUUUUAAUAAAAUCCGGGUUCCGGGUUUAUCAAGUGAUGCCCAAGACCGACCCAGCUUCAUACCCGGGCCGGAUAAUACCCGGCCCACAACGCCCUAGUAUGGUCCGGGUCCGGACCGAGCGGGUAUUUUUACCACCUCUAGAUCUUUGAAAACAACUUAUUCGAGCACGUGAUUCUCUCGUCCAUUACUUAAACCAAAACGACAUUCAGACAGGUCGUUCCAGUAAUGAGAGAAUGCUGCUCUUCAAAACGCUCUGAUUUGCUUCACAACACAACACACACACAUACGUACAUACAUCAUCAUGUUGUUAAAGUAAUGAUGUUAGUAAAAUACAAAAAGAAUAUAGUUUUAAAUACAUUGGAGAUUCUAUCUUUUUUGUACUUUACUAACAUCGUGAUUAACAAAAUGAGGAUACCUUUAUUAAAGAAUGAUUAUAUAUAGAUAGUUUUUUUUUUUUCUCGUGAGCGUUCUCACAUAUUUUUUUAUGCAUACACACUAUUAAAUUGUAUGGUUUAAUAAAAUUAGUAUAGACAAUUAAACUACAUGAUUUUGUAGUGUAUUAAAAAUUAAUUCUAUUAAACCAUACAAUUUAAUAAUGUGUCUGUAUUAAAAAAAAACCAUAUAUAUGUAUACAGGUUUAUAUUCUAAAUAAAUACAUUUUUAAAAGAUACGAAUACCUAAGGCCCCACGUGCAAAAUUACCUGACAUAAAUGCAGCAGCCUUACAAAAGUAGACGUAAUAUCGUACCCAAGUCAUGAACCUGCUUUGAAUCUUCAACAACCGAGAAAAUGGAAACAUUGUAGUUUCUGAAACUGCUUCUUUUAUCAGCAAAUACUUCUACUUGUGACUUGUGAAUCCGGAGACAAUGAAGAUUUUGUAAUUAUACCAAAGUCUUCGCUAGUCUUCUAAAAAGGUAGUUUAUUCAAAUUAAAAAAUAAUAAGUCGCACUUCAAGACCACCUAUUGGUCACAUAAGUCUUUUUUUUCUUAUUUUUAGGGUUCUAAAAAGAUAGUUUAUUCAAAUUAAAAAAUAAUAAGUCGCACUUCAAGACCACCUAUUGGUCACAUAAGUCUUUUUUUUUCUUCUUGUUUUUAGUCUUCUAAAAAGUUAGUUUAUUCAAAUUAAAAAAUAAUAAGUCGCACUUCAAGACCACCUAUUGGUCACAUAAGUCUUUUUUUUUUCUUGUAACUAAAGGAUCCAGCUACGGUGCAACAGGUGCACCGUGCCCCUCUUUUUCCUUUUUUGACAGCACCCCUUACUUUCUUCUGUAUUUACAGUUUAUUAAAGUAAUUUCUUUUUCCUCUUUCUUUCACCCCUCAUCUUUACAAUCUUCAAUUUUUUUCCAUUUUGAAUUAAACCUAUAAUCAACCAAUUGCAAGCAAUAAGAAAGAAGUUGACAAGCUAUUUCUUUAUCACCUUAGGAUUCAUUUGCUCUAUAAUACAUAAGUAAUAAUGAAUUGAAGUUUUUAUAUAAAAAAAUCACAUAGAUGUAAUUUUUUUACACACACUAUUUAUCAUCUACAAUGAUUUUUUUGUCUUUUAUUAUAUAUAUUCUUCCCCUUUCUCCUCCGUAUGUCUUUCCAUUUUCUCUUUGAAUAAUCUAACCUAAGGCUUUCUAAUAAUUGGUUUAUUGUUAUUAUUUUUAUAAGUAAACCUUCUCUUUAUUAUGUCAAUAAGUUUAUUUUUUCAAGAAAAAAAAUUCGUAAAUGACCAAAAGUGAGAGCAUUAAUAAAAAUUCAAAACCUAUCUUAAUUUUUGUUGUCUUUGUUGAUGCAUCUCGCAUGUUUGAUCUAUUAAUUAUAACUUGUGAGAGUAAAUACUGUAAUACAAUGAUAAUAAAUUGAUGAUUAGUAAUUCUUACUAAGAGUAUUCAGAGAGAAAGAAGUUCGUGUAAAAUUUUAUAAACUUUGACUUUUCCAAAUUUUCACUAAACAAUAGGGAUUGCAUUAUUAAUAACUAAAUAAACACAUCCAUAACCUUGAAACUACAUUUGUGUUAGAUCCAACGGUGACAGCACAAAAAGACAAAAAGAGGGGUAUGGUGCACCCCUUGCACUGUAGCUGAAUCCUUUAGUUACAAAAUAAUGACUUACUGUACAGCUCAAUAAUUUUAGGUGGUAUGAAACACGUAUGAUGAGACGGUCAUAAUUACACUGUACCAUGAAUGAUCCUCAUUGAGUAUAUAAUCCCUUUCUUUUUUCAAACAAGAUUUAUGCUUUAAUUUUGGGAGGUUUGCUAAGUUCUUUCUUUUUGUAAUGGUUACGGAGACUGACAAUUUUCUAUUGAAGUUAUUUAUACAUGUAUUUCUUUUUCAGCAUGUAAUACAUUUAGGAAAUGAGUAAUGAUUAAGUACAAACACUUUUAGAUAAACAAUGUUGUACGAACUUAUGUGAUAUCUUUUUAGAAAAAAGGAUCUGAACAUCCUUAAGAUUUUAAAAAAUGGUCAUAUAUACUUUGAGUUUUCAAUAAGGAAUAUCAAGACACUUUUUGACUAUAGUAUCCUUAAUAGAUAAUAACAAAAAAUAUUGACUUUAAACAUUUUAAUAAAUAUAAAUAAAAUUUAAAUAGUUUGAUAUGUCUAGUAGACUAAUAAUAUUAGAACGUUUCUUAAUAUAUAAAUAAUUUUUAAAAGAUAAAUUAGUAUAUUUAUUUUAAUAAUAUAUUUUUACUUAUUAUAAAAAUUGUAAAUAAAUCUUUAGGUUAGAUAGAUUUUAAAUUUAAUAAAAUACAUGUCAUGUACUAAUAAUAUUAAAACUAUUUUAUAUAAUAUUGAAAAUAAUUUAAAUUUUAAAUUUUAAUAUUAUGUUUCGAUUUAUUUUGAAAUUUAGUUUAAUAUAAUUUAAUGUUGUAAAGUAUUAAAAUAUUUUAAAAAUAUUGAAAUUAUUUUAAAAUGUAUAUAUUGUUACAUUUAUUUUAAUAUUAUACUUCUAUUUAUUAUAAAUAUUAAAAAUAAUAUUUUAAUUAAAAGGGAGUUUUGGUGUCUCUUACUUAAAAAAUGGAGUGUACGUAAUUGUUUUUUCAAAUUUUCAAGGGUUUACAUGUCAUUUUUCUUACUUUUUUAUAAUCAGUUGAAUAAAAAAAAGUCAUCUGGCCACAUAAAUUAUUUCUAAUUUAUAUUUUCAAUUAACAAAUCAUAAUGUAUCAUAUCUAUUUGUAUAAGCAUUUAUGAACAUAAAAAAUUAAGUUUAGGCACUAGUCGGGUUGGAAAUCAACCCAUCCAACCCAUGUAUAGUGCUAGUUGGGUGAGUUGGACUUAUCUCGAAGACCCAUUUUCUGUCUUUGAAAUGUCAAUAUGAAAUUAAAAUAAUUAAAAAAUAAUUUAAUUGAAACAACUAAAAAUAGAAUACAAAAUUACAAAUAAUAACUAUCCCUCAAACUUCAUUGUUAAUAAAAAUAAUUAUUUGUAUAGGAUCCUAAUUACACCAUAAAAAGUAAUAGGAUGAAUUCAAGAGUUGGGUUUGAAAAUUACAAAUAAUAACUAUUCCUCAAACUUCAUUGUUAAUAAAAAUAAUUAUUUGUAUAGGAUCCUAAUUACACCAUAAAAAGUAAUAGGAUGAAUUCAAGAGUUGGGUUUGAAAAUUUUCAACACCUAGUAAAUAUAGUGCAUCUUCUCCACCCCUAUGAAAUUAGGGGUUGGCUUUCUACUUGAUUUUAAGUAGAGAAAAUGAUCAAAACUACCUUAUUGUUUUUUCAAACUAUAGGGUGAAUUUAAGAGUUGGGUUUGAAAGAUGCAAUAUGUUCAUAUUUAUAUAUAUGAACAUAUUGCAUCUUCACUAUCUUAUCCCCAGAAUUUUUGCACCAAAUCAUGGUAAAAGAAUAAAAAUUCGCAACUCGAAUCAACAAAGUAUUAUCACUAAGUUAUUCUGCAAGCCGCCAAAUUGGAAAAUGUCCCAAAUAAUUAAUUAACCGCAGCGACUUGACAGCUUAACUUUUUCCAACGCUGAGAGUCCUUCAUUCUUCCCUAUUGAGGAUUGGUUAUUGUAAACGUCUGUUGGAGUAACAUGGGGAUAGUGCGGAUGAUUUUUUUCGGAUAGCAACUAUUUAAUUGGACCAUAUUGUCUCGAGCAACUGUUAUUCAUAAAAAAAAACUUCCAAUUGAAAUCGUUGAGCCUCGCCUUCUUGAAAACACUCUGUGAUAGGCACUCUUGAACGCGACACUGGUAAUCAGCUGCAUAAACAUAUAAAAGAACACUGUAAUUAAGCUAUACGAUGGAUUCAUAAUAGUCAAAGUUGUGCAUAACAUCUACUUGCCUGCAUCAUGUAGCCUAAGUUUACAACUAGAGCCCCGGAAACUGGGGUAAUAUCAAACCAUUGAUCUUCACAAAAGACUUGGAAGCCACAAUUCGAUCUUCUAUGAGCAUAGUGACAAAUCCAGGGUCAGAACGUAUUGUUACGCCAAUUGUCAAUUUCGGAUGAGGGCUUUCUGGGUAGUGACUAUUCCUAAUAGUUAUUUCCUCUACAGAACCUGUGUCUUUCAGGUAACUGGAGCCAAACCCUAAAGUUUCAGACAAAAGUUCAAACAGAGUGAAUUAGCAAUUGGCGUUGUUGGAGAAAAAUCAGUUUUUAAAUUUAAAAAAAAAACUUUUUAGGGCCGAUCUCAUACAAUAUAUAAGAAUUCGUAAUCUAGAAAUCGUAUCUUGAAAAUCUGAGAAAAUGAACAAUCUUUGCUUUUUCCACUGAAGUGAAACUAAGCUCCCAGAUCACGAUCCGUCACCACCACGCCUGUUAGAUCAUAGUCUGUCACCACCACGCUUGUUAGAUCACGAACUAUCACCAAUGAUCUUCCAGAUUAUGACUCAGGUUUGAUCUGCAUUUGAUGUGUGAGUGCCUUUAUCACUACCAAUAGCAACUAGUAGGAGAAAAUUUUUCUCUCAAGAUUAGAGAGAAAAAUUCUUUUUCUCUGAUCUGUAUAAUGUGGUCUUAUAUCGUUUCAAGAGAAAAUAAGCCAUUUUAUAUCUUAUCUAGUGGAAACCCUAAGCUCUAUAUUUUCUAUUUUUUAAUUCUAUUAACACAAGACCCCUUACACAUAAGCAUAUUACAUGGAGCCUCCCACUAAAUAAUAUAUUUAAACUUUUAACCCAAAUAACUAGUUAUCUUACUUAUUAAUUUAGUAGCAGCGCAGUCAAUUAAAUGAGCUAACCCAGGGAUCAUUUGGGAACAUACAAUAGUGGCUACAAUAAUUAGGCAUGUAAUCAAACUAGCUCAAUUAAUUAAUUUCAAAUCUACUCCACUAAAAGAUUGGAACUGACCUCCAUAAUUGUAUGCUCGAAUAAUAAUUCAUCCCAAGCCACAUUGAUUUCUUUACUGCACAAUCCUUUAUACCACAUCAUUAAUUAAAUCGAUAUCUCAACUGUCCAAUCAAUUUAAUUACAUCUUGUUCCUCGAUUCUUACUGGUUUUCUCUAAUGAUCAUUUCAACAUACUAAAUAUGUCGACACACUCUGACAAAAGAAUUCUAUGAUCAAGUGCCGAAAACUCAUCAAGAGAUGUGUUGUACAAAUUCUAUAUUGUCAAUCUAUAACUCUAAUACUCAUAAUUGCUCUCAUCAAGAUACCGGGUAAUCUUGACUACAAGUAUGUGUCGUGCCCAUUGGUAAUUCAAAUGAAAUAACAAUUACAAUCAUGAAAUCAUAAUUAACUCAAGAUUAAGAUUACAGUAAAAUCAAUGUCUAUGAGAUUUAAUAAGUCUGACAGUAAUUACAAAGUUAAUUAAAUCUCAUAUGUGAUCAUGUUCAAUGUAGUCUUACUACAUCAAUAAAUUCAUACAUGAUUAAGACAAAUUAUUCAAUGAAUUCAUUACAGUCUAUACCUAAAUAAAGUGCCCAACUUUAUUUAUCAACUGCGAACUAAAUUUAUUUAAUCAUAAGAUAACUUGUAUUUAUGUCUUCUGUGAAUUCACAUGUUGAUUCUUGUCCAAAUUUAUUGAACUCGCAAGUGCACGAAUAUAUUGUAGAAUAGAUUAAUGGUGACGAAUGUCGAUUCCACGAGGAAGUGGAUUUUAAUUAUGUGUAGAAUUAAUUUUCUAUGAGGGUGGUUGGAUUUGUGGUGAAAAUGAUUUGGAAUAUUCUAAACAUUAAAUUAGAAUGGCAGGAAUAAAUUAAAGCGAAAUAUAUUGAAAUGAAGCACUUAGUUAUUUGGAUUUGCAUUAACAUGCACCAUGAGCUAAAUAUUCCUUAGUAAUGUCAAUUAAAUCAUGAGGGGGGUUUCUACUCCUUAUGAACCACACUCUAAUCAAUAUGGUGCUAAGGGCUUAUCGUACCAAAUAAUAAUAACCUUGUAUUAGGGAGUCGGUUAAACCGGUGCGGUAUCAAGACAAGAUUAUUACUAUUUAUUGACGAAAAGUCAAAACAUCAAUAAUAAUUAGAGGGGAAGAGAAAGUAAAUUUACCAAAUAAAGCCCAUGGCACAUGUUGAGACUUCACCAACCCAAGCUUGAAAGAAAAUUAGCUACUCAUAAUUGAACUAAGGGUAAAAUGAGAAUUUAUUAAAUACAUAGAAAAUACAAGAUGGAGAAGGAAUUACAUAAAAUAGAGCUCAAAAAUGAAUUCAGGGAUGCCAAAUUAAAGGGGAGCCCUCCUUUUAAUAGAUACACUAAGUAAAUCAUGGCCAUCAGAUUAAAAACAUUUUGGACGCUCAAGAUUGUGCCACGUCAUCGGUCAAUAGUACGCGGUUUGACCAUGCAGUUUGGUUUUAAAUAAUCCCGUGUAUUAUGCAUGUACCGUACGCACUAUUUUUGAUCCACUAACAUACUGCCACGUCAUUGAUCAACAGUACAUAAGAAUUUUGUCUAAUAAAAUCGUGACAUCUCAUCAGUCAAUGCCACAUCAUCGGUCAAUGCCACGUCAUUGUUCCGUAUAUGUGAACAGUGUCGUGAAUAGUAACACAGUACCGUAUCUGUGAAUAGUACCGUACAUGUGAACAGUGCCAUUUUCCUUUUAAACUCCUCCUAAGGUUUUCAACUGUCCUAAUCUCAAAAGUGAUGUCCGUUUUGCUGUAUGAUCUCUCGUUCAUUGUGAAAUGACCAUGAUGCCCCUAAGAUACAUAAAAUACUUAAUUAUAAUACAACACACAUAAUUAAAUCACAAGAAACUUAAAUACAUAAAAGUAGGAAUGUUAGUGAAACUUGAAGUGUAAAAUGACAAUUUUCUCCUUCAUAAAUAUACACUUUCGAACACUCAACAGUGAUCACAUAAAUACAUAUAAUAUGAUUAAAUGGACUUUAAUCAAAAUAUUAAUACAAUUAAGAUAUUUGAAUAAAAUACCUCAUUUAUUUUAUUAAUCAGAAAAAUUAUUUAUUAUAAUUAAAUAAACACAUAUGCUUUUAAAGAGCAUAUUUUCCCAACAGGCGUAUCUCAUAAAGCCAACUUCGGUGGUUGGGGUAUCCUGCUGUGCAACGCUGUAUCUCUUAUAGCCAACUUUUACGACUUGGACAAUUUGUAUUUUACCGAUUGUCCAUUAAAUUAAUUUGUUUUUGCUGAAAAUGAAUAUUAAAAAAAGAUUAAAAUAAAUAAAAUUAUAAAUAAUUAAAAUCACUGAUUGUCCCAGACCACCAAUAAAACCUCUAAAACUAAAAUUAUAAGCUCCUCUGUAAGAUCCACCAUUAUAUUUCUGAUUACCACUAGCAUUCUUUCAAGGAUUAAAAUGGUUUUGAGUUACAUUAGCUAACAAGUUAUGUGUGACAUCACUAGCAAUUUUACCUCUUGUCUGUUCAACUCUAUUCUCCUGAUUUAGCAGUAAAGAAUAAAAUUCAUCAAGACUGAUCUUAUCAACUCCAGCUAACACACUAAUAACUAAAGAUUCAUAAUCAAAUGAAUCUAGUCUAGUCAAAAUAUAUUGAACAAAAUCACUUAACUCAACAGAUUUUCUAGCUAAAGCCAGUCUGUCAGACAAUCUCUUCAUUUUAACAAAGUAAUCAAUCAUAGACAUUGAUCUUUUUUUGAGUGUUUGAAUAUGCAUCUUAAAGGCAUUAUUCUAGCUUGAGAUUGUAAAGUAAACAUACUUGUGAGUGUAUCCAAAAGCUCUUUAGCAAUGGAGCAAUGAAUGAUUGGAGCGAGUAGAUUUUGCUGAAUAGAUGACAACAUCCAACUCAAAACUAAUUGAUCUGUCUUCAUCCAGGCUGUGUAUGCUGGAUUGACCUUUCGAUUUUUAGUACUAGUUGAGGACCAACUUCAGUGCUAGCUGGUGUGAGAAAUUACUCCGGACGAGUUUGAUCACCAUUAAUGAAAUUAUCCAGAUCGUUUCCUUUGAUCGAUGUUAAAACCUGAGUUUGCCAGACAAUGAAAUUAUUAUGAUCUAGCUUAACAGGAUUGAUAAAACUAUAGGAUCCAGAAAAUUGAUUAGAACUCACCAUUGUAGGCUCUGAUAUCAUGAUAGAAUUUGUAAUAUAUAUGUUUGGAAAGCAAGAAAAUUAAGGAGAAAAAGAUAGAAAGAAAAGAAGAAGAAUUUAGAAUAUGUUAAUUGUUCAGCACAUUACAAAUGUGAUUAUAGCCUUUGUAUUUAUAUUGAGUGAAAUGCUUAACUAUAAUUUGUUAUAACUGGAAUACGUGCUAAACAGUUCGUUAGCCAGAAGGCUGAGAUGGCUAACUAAUUAUUCCACGUCAGCAAGAGCACUCGUGUAUGGUCCUCAUCCUUACUGUAAUUAUCAUACUCUGUAACACUUCUUCUACAUCUUCUUGCUCUUCAGGACCAAGUGUACUUCGUGGGUCUAUAAUUGCUGCUUUGUCUAUCUAUUUGCAAUUCAAAGAAUUAAUUUAUUGGUCAUUUUUUUAGGAAAAAAGAUAACGAAACAUAGUUGUUUGGUAAAAUAGUCAUGUGAACUCUUUCUUCAAAACAUAUAUAAAAACAAACCUUGGAGAUCAGUAUUGUCUAUGUGAUAAUUUCUAAAAAUAAGAGGUUUAACUGACAAUUUUUUCAAACCAUGGGAUGUUGGUAUAUACUCUUUAAGUAAGUACCUUAGUAAUUUGAUUCUAGUGACAAGGGUAAUUCAUUUUCAUCAUCAUUACAGGAGAACUGAUCUGCAAAAGAAGGAUAAUUGAGAUGCCUUUUCUUCAGGGCAGCUUUAAAAAGACAGAUUAUAGCAAAACCGUGAAUAAGAGGUAAUUGUUUACUAUGAUAAAAGGGAAUACCCAACAGCAACAAGACCAAACUGCUCCCAUAACCAAUAUUGUGAACCUCAAAGUCCUCCGUCAUGUUUCCAGAUUAUUUGCAGGGAAUGUUACAACCACAUUACAACACCAGGCAAGCUGCAGCUAUACUUCUUUUUGAGCCUUUACUUAUUUCUCAUUUGGAUUUUUUGUUCUCCCUUCAUCACCAUGUGCUCUUAAUUGAUCGACAAGACAUGGUCCUAAAAGAGGCCCCAUUCCAAAGUCACCCACUGCUAACAAGAUCAUUCCUAUUACGUUGAGCAGUUCAAAUUUAGUUUCUAAGAAUUUACUGGACGCUGUAUAGUACAAUAGCCUUAAUGCCUCCAACAACAAUAGUCGGAACUAAUUGUAUGGCAUAACAUUAUGAUCCUAAAUAUGCUUCUUAAUCAUUACUAUAGUUAGGAGCGGAACAAAAUUGAGAUUUAGGGGGCCAAGUGUAAUUAAGGUAAUUAUUUCAGGAUUAGAGAGUAUUAGUUAUUUUCUGGGGUUAGGGGAUGGGGUUCACGUUUAUGAAACCACCAUAUAAAGAAAAACAACUAGUUUGAAAGUUGAAAUUACAAAUUUAUAUAGUGUGAGAUUAUUUCAACCUACUAAAAUAUUUGUUAUUUUAAAGGCUAAUGAGCUUGCGGCUUUGAAAAGGUUGGAAUGUUAUUUGGUUGGAGAGGGACUCGGUUUCAACUUUAGCUUGUCUUACGAGUACCAAAUUCAAGCCGCCGUAGCAUCUGCAUAUCAUAUAAUUGAAUUGUUUGAGAUUUAUUCGUGGAAUACACUUUGCUAGUUUACACAUCUAGAGAGAGGGGAUUCAGUGGCUGAUAGUCUUGCAAAUUUGGAGUUAAAUCUUAAUGCUCAUAAUUGGUGGGAUAAUCCUCCUAUUUCAAUUCGUCAGAGUUUGCAUGAGUGUAUGCUUGGGAUAUCCCUAAAUAUCAUUUCAAAUGAGUGUUUUUGCAUUCUUUCUUCUCCUUCUUUCCUUAAUAAAAUUGAGUAUCAUAAAAACAAAAACUACCAGAAUGCUUAAUAAAUGUAUUUAUUCAAUAAAUUCAUUUAAAAAUUUAAAUUAUUUUAUUUUAUUUUACCAACCAAUUUUUAGUAUUCAAUAUGUCCUUAUUUGAAAUUCACAUAAUUCUUUCAUCUUUCUCUUUCAAGACUUUUAGGCUUUUAAGGCUCUUUUACAUUCGUGUCUCCCUAAUAUUCUAUUUUUCACUAUUUCAUAAGCACAUCUUUCUUUAAAAUUGUGGGCAUACUAUAUAAUUUACGUAUGUACGUAAAUUAUAAAUAAAUAGAUUUUUAAACGAUAUGAUUACCUAAGGUGCCAUAAGCAAAAUGUUACCUGAGGUAAAUGCGGCAGCCCUACAAAAACAGAGGUGAUGUCUUACCCGUCUUUUGAACCAAUCCUGAAGCUCCUGAGAACAUGGAAACGCUGUGGCUUCAGAAAUUGCUUAUUUUAUUUGCAAAUAUUUCCACCUGUGAAUCCUGAUUCCUGAUACCGUGGAAAUUUGUGUGGGCUCGAUAUACCACCUUAUUACGUCAAGGUAGUGCAUUCGAACAAUAAAAGUUUAUUAUUUUGAUAGGUUUAGUAGGUUUAACGUGGGACCCCACUUAUUUAAUUAAAAAAUAAUAGAUAUAAAAAGUAAUAGUACUACUUCAUCACCGACUGAAUUAAAAAAUAAUGAAUCUUACUUCAAUUGUCUUUGAGACUUAACUAUCGUGGACAGACCGUGGAAGUCUACCUCCUUAUUUUUAAGUACAAAUUAAAGAAUGAAUUGUACUUACUAACAAGCCAAAAUCAUUUAUUGCACAGCUAAAUAUAUUUUAGAUGGUAUAAAUGACCAGCAAUAUAUUGCCAGUUGGGUGCACAUACAAGAUCAUAUUUGGCUUAAGUAUUAUAAAUUAGGAUAAUGCCUAAGAUUUAAACCUAAGUUCGGAGAAUGUCUAAUCACAAAACACAUUUUUUUUUUUUUUGAGGAGAACUAUUGCUUUUUAACUCUCUCAAAUAUUCGAGGGAUGCCAACUCCCCUUUUGAAAAAAAAGACUGUCUUCGCUCAAGCUCUGAAGCUCCAAGAAAGAAAAUUUAAAUUAAACCCCCUACAAUAGGUCUGCAGGGACUCGAACUACUUCGAGCACUUGUGAGAGAGUGGCUCUAGCCACUUAGGCCAAGCCCUAGUGGUUCACAAAACACAAUUAUAAACACUAUAAAAUCUAAAAUUGAAAGGAGAAUAAAAGAUUCUACACAUUAAAGUCCUAUGAAAAACUAUAAAAAUUUUAAGGGACUAGCCUACCCGUCUUAGUUAUUAUAAAUAAAAACUACCUUCUAAUCAAAAGAAAAAUCCAGUACAGUGCCUGCAACAACGACAUACACUACCACUAGUACCACUAAACUAUUACCAACGUCACAAAACAACUCAAAUAUGAAUAUACAUCUUAAACAAUCACUGUUAUUCUACAAAAAUAGAGUAAAUCAUCGGCGGUUUAAUUAACAUUUAUUAAGGGCUCAAAUAAUAUUUUACAAAGGCUAUAAAGAGAGAAAAUUUUCCAUUGGGGGACUUUAAUCACUUGAGUCCCUUUAGGGCUUGAGAGUAAAACAAACAGCCAAGACAAUAUAUAAUAACAAAAUGAAUGAUUAGAAGAGUCUAUGAAUAAUAAAGCCUCGUAAGCAUUGUGGAAAAUUUACUGGGAUAUUUAUCCAUUUUCAUUGGCAACAGGUCAAUAAUACAACUGGCAACUUCACUCACAAAAUGCGAAAAUCCAAUUCAAUAACCAGUUAACCACAAAGUAAUGGACUUGCAUGCCACAUUUCAAGUAUAUGAAGCAUAUAUAUUAGAAAAGUUGACAAAACCCAAAUUAUCACUUAAUUAAUCGGCAUUUAACCCCUCUCAAACUACAAGGGGGGAAAAAAGAACUUACAAAUGUGCAUGUGAAGAUUGUUUAUCUGGGCUCAUUUUGUCAAAGUCAUCUUCGUCAAUUCGAUCUGUUUUGAUUUUGGGCUUUCUAAUUAUAUAGCCAGUUUGAGCUUCUAACAUCCCUUUAAAAUUCUUGUGAAGUCCUACUGUUGCAUUUGUAACACUUGCUUUUAAGAAAUUAUUUAAAAAGACAGAAUAAUAUGAUAGAGUUAAUUAAAAUUUAACAUACUUUUUUAAAAUAAAAAAUCUAUCAUUAGGUAAUUUAUUUCUUCAUUGUCUCAAAAUUAUUUGAGUUUGCAUAAGAAAUUUAUUAUAUCAUAAAUUAGGAUUGGUGAUGAUACAGCCACAAACUCUUGUACAAACUUAUCUUGUACAAAUUGAUUUGACAUUAAUUCAUUGGUUGAAUGAAAACAUAAAAUAAUAAAAAUAAAUAAUGUGCGUCAAGAAAUAUUUAAUUCAACCAAUUUUAUCAUACCACAUCAGUUUAUAUAAAAUAAAUUUAUACAAGAGUUUGUGACUAUAUUAUUACUCAUUAGGAUUUAAAGAUGGGAUAGUUCAUAAUUAGCAGGUAUAAAGAUAUUUUAAUCGAGUUAAAUUCAUAAUUGUCCUUCUCUAGCAGUAGAACUAUGUUCACAAAAAAUGCGGAUUUACAAGGAUUUUAAAGGGGUGUGAAAAGCAUUAAUUACUCUUACACGACAUCACCCAAAUAAUCAAUUCAAACGCACUCGGCUAGAUUUGUUCCAAGAUUAGACCUUUUGACACCCCUCAAAAUUCCUCAUAAAACCCCUUGUUAAUAGAAGUUACUUAAAUAAUCAAAGAUAAAUUAAUUCAUUUCUUACUUUAACUAGAAAUCCGAUUAAACAAUUAAAAAAUUUCUAUUAAAUUUUUUUUCACCCAUCCCAUUUCAUAAUUUAUAUUUAUAUUUAUAUUUUAGUUUUUAAUUUUUUAAAAACUUAUAAGAGUUUAGAAUUAUGGAGAUAGAAACUAUAUAAUAAAAAGAAAAUAAUUUAAAUUUUAAGAAAUUUUAGUACUUUAUAAAUAAAACUUAAAAGAAAUAUUCAUUUAGAGUUGGUAAGAUAAUUGAUUUUAAUAUAUGAAUUUGUAUUUUAUAAAUUAAACUGUGAUAUUUUAAAAAAUAAAUUUAAAAGAAUAUUAUAAGAAUUUUAACGAAGUGUUAAAAACUCCACCCUUAUCUCAAAGAGUUAGUAUGCAAAAGUAAAAACAUAAGCAAUACCCGUUAACACCAUUGGACCUUUGACCUGGUGAUAAAGAACCUAUUGGGGGCACAGGUUCAAGUUUUUGUUUUAUUUAUCCAAAUUGAGUGAAAGUAACAUCAUUGAAUCCUAUAUUACAUAACUGCAAAAUCAUAGAACUAAAAAAUUUCGAAUUAAUUCAAACAAAUAAUACAAGGGCAAUCUAGAAAUCAUAUUAUCUUGAACUAUUACUUUAUCAACUUUAAAUGAAUACUGCAACUUAAGUCCAAAAUCAGUACCAAUAAAUGAGACAUGGACAGCCUUAUUAUGCUGCUCUUGUUCUGUUUUCAGCAUAAAAAGCCAAUUCUGCUGUUCUUAAACUGUUUCUCAACAAGAUGGAACAUGAAGUUGUAUUCAAUGACACAUGGACAUUUCAUGAUUAUAAAAAAAUCUAUUUACUUCAGCUAACCUCAAGGAAAUAAUCUAGUAUUGUAGUCAGUGAUGCAUAGAAUAUAUUAAAUGAGAACAUAUUUUUCUAUAACAACGAAAAAGGAAUUGCUAUUAGAGCAGAGUACAUCAAACGGAAAGAUUACUCACAGUGAACACUGGAACUUGUGUGCCUUGCCUUCAAUUCUUUUCAAUUUAGAUUUGUUCAAGAAUGUGCAAUUGGUAUCAGCAACUUUGGGUUGUAAGAAUAGAGACAGCAAACAACUAUCAAAAAAAAAAAAAUGUGGAACUUAGUUUGAAGAAAUAUUGUGGAUCAUAUCAAAUGCCAAAUGUUGGAUAAUCUUUUCCAAAUGUUGGAUAACAAGAAAAGGGAUGCACACAAGACCGCUGACUGAAAACAGAAAUAAUUGGACAAAUAAAGCCCAAACCACAACUCAUCCUAAUCUUUAUGUUACUAAUGGAAGCUAAAAGCACAUAAGUCAUCAACUAUUUACAUUUUCUGAUAGAUACGGAUGCUUAAUACUUUCAUCAUGAUAUCCAGAAACAAUAAAAUUAAGCUAGUACAAAGAUAUCUAAAUGAAGAUGAUAAUAUCAUAGGCAAAAUAUGGUCCAAUGGAUUAGGAAAAUCAAGCUAAGGUCAUUUUUUUAUACUAAAUGCUUAAUUAAAAAGACAUCAUUAUAUGUUUUAUACAUGCACAAAUUGUCAUUUAUUUGAGGCAUGUCUAAUAUUUAGUGGAGUGACAAAUAUACUUGAAAAUUUAUAAAAAUUAUCAAAUAAUAUGUAAGAAAUAUAGUUAUUUUUGUUGUAAUAUUAAUGCAAUAAAUUUUUAUCGUAUCAUAUCGGCAUGUUUAAAGAGGGAAAAAAAAAACUCAGAGACUCAAAAACUCCAAACUUUAAUGUAUAGCUGGCAUUUAUUUGUAGGCUCAAUUGAAGUACAGAAGUCACAAUUCCAAACAACAAACAAGCUAUCAUUACUAAUCCACCAAAUUGGAAAACAUCCUCAAUUAAAUUAACCACCGCGCCUUUCCAGCUUAAGUUUUUCCAACGCUGAUAGUCCUUCUGUUGAGGAUUGGUUAUUGUAAAUAUCUUUUAAAGUAAUUGCAGGAUAGAGCGUAGGAUUUUCUUCGGAUAGCAACUCUUUAAUUGGACCACAUCGUCUCGAGCAACUGUUGUUCAUAAAAAAACUUCCGAUUGAAAUCCUUGAGCCUUCCUUUUUUGACAACACUCUGUGAUAGGCACUUUUGAACUUGUCAUUGGUGAUUAGCUGCAUAAACACACAAUAAAAAAUUCCACUAUAAUUAAGUUACAUGAUGGAUUAAUAAUAGUCAAAUUGAUACAUAACAUGUACCUGCCUGCAUCAUGUAACCUAAGUUUACAACUAGAGCUUCGGGAACAUGGGUAAUUACGAUCUGCAGUUUCCUAAUUUAACUCAUGCAUACGCGAGGCUUUUGUUUACCCUAGUUUUUAGUAUAAAAAGAGGCACGCAUCACAUAAUACGGCGGCAAGGAAUUAUCAUUAGAAAAAUUGGAGAGAAAAAGAAGAAGAAGAUCAUAAUUCAAGGGAACGGCUGCAGCAUCAUUGAAGAAUCCAGCAGAGUUAUUUGGAUUCACUUUUUGCCGUUCUCGACUUAUACCUUUCUUCUUUCUCUAACUGAUCUAAUGUAUUUCAUGAACAAUAUGUUGCUGAUUGUUUAUCUCUUUCAGAAUAUGAACUAAACUUGCUUGUAUUUGAGUGACAAAUAAUCUAAUGGGUUCUUGACUGUUCUUAUGAGUUGCUAUGUCAUGGCUGUAGCAUUUUACUCUAGUAGCUAUUAUUAUAACUGUUAUUUUGGUUGACCACCCAUUUAAUGGUUUAAGUUAAGAUAGGACUGUAAAAGGGCAUGUCUUAGUGGAUAUUAUUAGAGAAAUACUUUAUCUUAAUUUAAGUUUCCUAUAUUAAGUUUAUCUUGAAUCCCAUAAGGACCAUACUUGAAGUUAAGAUUUGUGAUAAACUAGACAUAAGUAUUCACCUUGUAGGGUGGAGAGAAUGGAUGUUCAUAAUGCCAUGCCAUAGGUAAAAUAGCAACUGGUCAUUGCGAAGAUGUUUACGAGUAUGAGACUUCCAAUAUGCGAUAGCUGAGGAUGCAAAUUAAAUUCUGCCCAGUGCUAUAGAAAUUGUUGUAGCAACUGGUGUUAACUUGAUGAAAAGCAGUCAGCCUAUAAAGAGAGUUUGAUCAUUCAACUACCUUAUUCUCAUUUGAUUCUUCGACGCAUUUUAUUUAAUUUGUUUCAUUACUGCAUUGUUUAACUUUAUUAUCUCACAAUUAUCAAUUUCAAUAGUAACCAACUUUACAUUUGUUAAUUUAGGAAUCAAGUUAGAUUACACUAUCGUAAUUGCUGUAGCAUUUCUAGUAACAUCAAUCCCUGUGGAGACGAUCUUGAAUAUUAAUCACGUUAUUACUUGUUGUGUAUACUUGCACAUUAGCAUAAAUAGAAUUUGAUAAAAAAUACCAACAAUGAGAUAGGGGUAAACUUCAGGAUGUGCUGCAGUUUUUAAUUGUUGUGCAGAUUCUUUUGAUUCCUAUCUCUAGUGGAGAACCAGAUGUGAUUUUGUGGGACCUUUCUCCUGAUGGUAGUUUUUCUUUGAAGACAACUUCAAAUAUUGUGCAUUGGACAAUGCCAAGUGAUGAGGCUUUUUUUGUUAUUUGGCAGCGACAUAUCUUUUCUUGGAUAUCUUUUUUUCUCUAGAGGUUGUGACACAAAUUCUUGACCACAGAUGAUGCCUCAUGUUCGGGGGAUUUCUGCAUAGUUUCUUAGUAUCUUUGCAGUUGGGCUUAUGAGACUUCUAGGUAUUUUCUUUCUUGAUUGCCCUCGAUUUGCGCUAUGUUGCUUUUUUGUUCCCUCGUACUUUAUUUCUUAAUUGGUAGUGAUGUGCCCUUUCUUGGAGCCAUAUUCGAGUUCUUCUUCCUUGUUUCAUUUUGUGGCGAGUUUAGAAGGCCUGUAAUGCAUUGAAGUUUGACUCAAUGGCCUUUUUUUUGUUGAUGUUGUUAUUUAUCGGGCAAUGUUGGAUCUUAGGCUUGCCAAUUCUGCCUUUGGUCUUAAACCAUCCCAACUGUGAGGAGUUCUAGGUUCUCGAUUUGCAAAGUGCUUGAGAGUUGUUGUUUCAUCCAGGAGGCUGAUUCUUUUAGUUUUUGGUUGUGGUCACCACCUGGGGUGGUGAAGCUGACUAUUGAUGGUUGCUUUAGGAGUAAUCCUAGGAUGGCUGCUUCAGAUAGUAUUUUACGUGAUGAUUAGGUUGUGGCUUUGGCUGCUUUUGGUUCCUUCCUUGGGUGCUAACUGAUCUUUCAUGCAGAAUUCAUGGCUGUUUUUGAGGGGUUAGAGUUGCUGCUCAGCUCCAUUAUUCUGUGCUUGACGUAGAGUCGGACUCAGCCAUGGUGGCUUCUUGGAUUCUUUUCUAAGGCCUUGUUCAUAUAGACUAUACCUAUUCUUUGCGUCGAGUGUGUAGUUUGACAUUUUCUUCUACUUCAUGGUUAGUCAUGUGCUUCGAAAGGCUACUUCUACUACUGAUUUCUUUGGCCUACACUCUUUAAGUUCAUCGGCGUUUCUUGGGUUCUCAAGAUAUCUCUGCUGGCUUAUCUAAUAAUCUUCGUUUGAAUUGUGGGUAAUUUAACAUAUCAGGCAAUAUAAUUGCUUAUUUUUGUGUUCUAUUUUUUAUCUUGUAUUUUUCACUUUUUCAUUCUUAUGUUCUUGCAAUUGCGGUUUUGAUUUAUAUUCACCUCCUUAUAUAUUUGAUUCAUUCUAUGAUUUAUAUGAAAGAUAGGAGUCCCACCUAAUCCUACCUUUUUGGUGGUUAAAAAAAAAAAGAUUAGGAAUCAAACCUAGGUCAUCAAGGUGAAACAUCAAUCAGGUUGUAAAUUUAACAUAUGAACGUAAAAGCUUAACAAAACAUUUGAAGUUGCUUGACAGCAUAGAAAUACAAGCAAAAAGAGAUGCUAAACAACACAAAAUUUUGAUUGGGUGGGAGUAUUGUUCAUGCUAGCAUAAUAAUGAGGUGCCUGAGAAUACCUAUGACUUUCUUGAUAAAUAAUAUCAUCUAAAAGGUUAAGAAUCACAGAUGAUUGUCCACGUAUGAACAAAUCUGGCUCCAAAUGUGAAAUGUAUUAAGAUUUUCAAACAUUUAAAUUAAUAGUUAAUAAUUUCGGACAAAGGAUACUUGGAGACCCUAAAGUUCAUUGAUUCUAUAUUAAAAGACAACACCGUUACUAAAAUUAUAAAUUAUAACAGUUAAACCUAAACCUACGUCGUUUAGCAAUUUACAAAAGAAAAAAAAUAUAACAAAAGCCAAUUGUUGGAGUAGCAACAUGCCAAAGAGAAAACCUCAAGCCAUGUAAUAUCCUGUAUCAACUAAAAAGGAACAAACCACCACCCUCAAGGCCGUCGCUGCACUAACGCUGGGCCCGAUUUGAAUAGUUAGAAGUUGUAACAUUAUUUAGGGAUUGAGGGUAAAAUUUUGGACUUUGAUUUAAUAAAAUUGAUUUAUAUGAGUCCCAAUAGAAAUAUAAUAAUAAAUAUAUCAAUACAAUUAUAAUAUGUUUAAAAGAAAAAAUUUAUUUUCACACAACAAAAAACACAACCUUUGGAUGUGGGAUGUGUCUAAAAAAUAAUAGGGUGGAAAUAUUAUCACCCUCAAAUUAGAUAUAUAAAUGUUUAAUGUUUUACUCUCAUAAUUUUCUAUUUACUUUUUUGAAUAUUGUUAAGAGAAAGAUAGAAGUUAAUAUAUAGACAAAUCGAGUCCCUUAUUUUAUUAUUCAUAUCCAUAAAAAGUAACCACUAUGCUAGUCCCCCGAACUUAGCAUAAGACGGUAAUUUAAAAAAAGAAAAAAAAAAGAACGUUUCUAGACACCAAAACGAAAGCAAAACAAACACAAAGCGAGACAUACAAACAAAUUUUAUGCUACUGCAUUCAAGCAGAAGCCAUCAACUGUUCACGACGAAGUUUGAGAGCAACCAAUAGUUCAUCCCGAUUAGGAAGAUUUUCUUCAAUCACAGGGACUUGCUUGAAAGUUUCAAUCCAGGCAUGCAAGUGAGGGAAUUUGUGUGAUUCAAAUAGUUUAGCGCCCACUAUAUCUUCAAUGACUUGCAACCAAUAAACAAUUGAACCAAACGCUAGGUCCACUAAGCCAAUAUUGUCUCCAUUGAAAAAUUUCUUCUCUCCCAAGCCAUGCUCUUCAACUGUUUGUAGCAUUUCCAAGGCUUCCUUCAUUGUGUUUUGUAGUUCUUGUCCAGUGCUACGAAACAUUUUCCAAACAGCAACACCCUGCCACAAAUAUUUUACAUCUGAUUUUAUCACCGACAUGAUUAAUUAAUAAUAUGUAUAUAAAAGUAAAAAAUCGUUGGACGAUAUGUACACGUGUCACAAUAUCCUUUAAUUAGAGGUUUAAUAAGUUAAUUAAGAGAGUUCAACCACUGAGUUGUAAAAUCCUUUAAUUCACUUUCUCUCAAUGCUUCAAAAAUCAUCAAAAUUCCCCGUGAAGUUAAAAACGGUUGUGUUAACUUUAACUUAUUACAUCUUUUCAUAUUGAAGGAUAAAACAGUGAAGACACCAGAAAUUGAAAGUUUAGAGAACUUUUUACAAAUAAAUAUGAAGGAGACCCCUGGGUGGCUGGGCUCGACUGGCUAUGAAUUCACUUCCGCCAUCACCCGAGUUUGAGUAUAUAUGGAGAGUAAGAGUUAGUGUUUGGUGGGUGGAUUUCGUUAUCCUCGUCACCUCAUCUAGAUCUUAAAGUAAAUAAAUAAAUAAACACAUUUGAAAAGAAUGAACUUAAUCAUAAACGUGUUUGCCAGAGUUGUGAGCGAACCUUGUCUUCGGCGAAUUUAAUCCAGAAUCGAGCAAGAGCUCUAUCAUAAGGAUUAUUUGGCAUCAAGGGAUUCUGUGGCCACGUCUCUUCGAUGUAUUCGAGAAUAACCAUGGACUCACAAACUGGUUUUCCGCCAUGGACAAGCACUGGGAUCUUCUUGUGAACCGGAUUGUGCUUCAAAAGCAAAGCACUUUUGUUUGAGAGAUCUUCUGCAACAAAUUCAUAUGGCACGCCUUUCAAUUUCAGAGCCCAAAUUACCCUGUAAACAAAUGGACUCAGCAGGGUUCCAUGAAGCUUCACUUCAGCCAUGAUAAUUCUAAGAUUGAAUUUGAAUUAUCGGUUUUUGUGAUCGAUGUUGUGUAUGGCUGUUAACUCAUUACAUAUGUUUCUGAAUUUAUAGUGAUUUAUGGUAUGCACUUUCUUGAGCAGAAAGCUUCAAUUUUCCAUUAAUAAAACGAUUAAUGAUGAAUUCAAAGAACUGGUGCGAUGACUUUAAUUAAAUAUUUUUUUACGCUGUGUGCAACCGCAUUUUGAGGUUAAUUUAAAGGAUAUUAUUUUCUCCUGAUCAAAACUUUUAUAUAAAAAAAUAAUUAUGUGAUUGGUAGUUAUUAAGUAAAAAUAAAAUAAAAAAUAAAUUUUGAACGUAAAUAAAUAAAAAUCAUAUAUGUUAUAAAGAUUUUUUAAAACUCAAAUAAGUGCACCCAAUUCCUAAUUUAAAACGCUAGCCAAUGAGAUCAAUAAUUUGGUCAACCAGUCAGAGAUAACCAUACAAUAAUUAAUCAAAAAUUUGCCAUUUGUUUUACAUUUAAGACCUUUGCGUCAUGCAUGAUGAUCAAUUGAUCAUGACAUGGAUCAAUUAGUCAACAAGACAUUUGCCUUUUGUGCAUGUAUCCACAUUGGACACAAAUAUAAUUUGUUAUAAAAAAAUUGGACUAAAUUAUUUUUUAAUAUAUUUUUUUAAAAUAAUACAUCUGAUCCUAGAGGGCCUGUUAUUUAGUUCGUAAAUCUUAUAACAGGACCCAUGAUUUUUUUUUUUUUUAAAAUCUUAUGGGUCCCCUAUUAUUUAAUUUGUGGAAUUGACGGAGGUAACUUACAAUUUCAUUUUUGUAAUUUACAGCUUUCAAUAAAUUCAGAUAAUAUUAGGCGGUAAAAGUCGGCCAAGCUGGAGGAGUAGAUCUAUAAAAUUUGCUAGCACUUUGCACUAUCUGUUUGGUGCCCAGAAACACACAUAUAUAUCAUCCACUUUUUAUUUAACGCUGGGUUUUUUUCGACCCAUAAUAAUUUCUCUUUCCACAUCAACUUUUUAAUAAAAACUUUUAUUGUCAAGAUAAAUUGUUAGUAAUUACUUCACUAAUCCUCCCUUUUUUUUGGGCCAAUUUCUCUUUCGCAACUGACAAAAUUUAAUUCACAUCAUGUGAUAGUAUGAUUGCAAAUAAAUUUGAAGUUAUCUCUCGCAAGUUAUUCAAAAAUACAUUGACAUAUCUUGUGUAUAGAACUAAAGAACAAUAGCAAAACCAAUAUCCUUUAGCCGAUCGCUGCUAUUAGGACGGCAAAAUUAGUAGUAAAUAUGUAAAUUUGUCUAAACCCAUCUACAAAAUUCUGUCCACUGCGAAUAAUUUUGUAGGUUGCGGAUAAGUUUGAUAUUUUAAAUUUAAGUUCGUUGCAGAUUACGGAUGGAUUCAAUAUUGAGAAAAAAAUUGGCGGGUGUCUGCCGCUAGCAUUUUUUUAAUUAUUUAUGUUUUUAAUUUUAAUCACAAAGAUUGUCUUAAAAAAAAUUUAAUCAUAAAAAUAUAAUAGUUAAAGAUAUUACUCUAAUCUUCCAAAUUCCUAAACCUAACCUAACUCAUGACAGUUGCACACCCUACUCCUUCAAGUAUGUAUGUAUGUAAAUGUAUACACACGCCCACACACACAAAAUUAGCUUUUAAUAAGUAGAUUUAGUAUUUUUCAAGUUUAAUAUUAAUGAUAUUUUAAUUUAAUUUAAUUACUUUUGUUUGUUUCGCUUUAAUGACUUGAACUUAGUAAUUGCUGGCUAAGAUUGGAUUUUUAUUUAUCUAAUUAAUGGUCAAUAGUUGUCCAAAAUAUAUUUGUUAAUAUUGUUGACAAUACUUAUAUAUUGACUGAAAGAUAGAGCAAGGCAUUAAUUUUAGUAAUAAUUAUUUGCCUACAACAAAAAUAUUUUGUGUUAGAAUGAUAUAUUUUGUGUAUUUGUUUUAAUAUUGAAACUUUAAUUUCUCUUUUAUAUUGAUAAAAUCUAAAGUUGAGUAGUUUAUGUAGAUUUUUUAGUCUGUUACUAUAAAGUUAUAUUUUGAAUUAUAUAAUUUAAAUUAUUAAAUAUAAUUUUUUAAUAUUUAUAAUUUUAAAUAAAAAAAUUUAUUAAAAAAAAAAACUACUACAUGUUAUGGGUGGAUUUGCUAAUUAUUAAAAAUUAUAGCGAACAAACUAAAGAAAAAAAGAGGCAACCGGUUACGGGCGAAUUUAAUAAUGACAAACCCAUAAUAAGCAAUACCAUUACCAUCGGCAGCUUCUAUAACGCAGGGCCGGCGGCGGUCUUGAAUUGUUAGAAGUUGCAACAUUAAUUAGCAAAAUUUUCUGCGUCAUCCCUGAAGUAUAGCAUAGAAUUAGAUAUAUCCCCUUGUUUUCAAAAUUAGUCUCUUAUUCCCAUAUGUUGUUUACUUAAUUUUUUUUUUCAUUUCAAUUGGAUUUAUAACUUCGUAAUGUUGCGCCUUGUAAAAUGUAUGCUUAAAACGCGUGCUUCUUAUUUUUUAUAUACUGCUAAGAGAAUUUGAGAAUAGAAAUAUAUAAAAUGGUGUCUCAUUUAUUAAUUAUUUAUAUCCUCUAAAUAGCACCUAACAUGCAAGCUCACUUCAAUAGCAAAAUUAAUUAAACAAAAAAAAAAAAAAGCAUUUUUAACACCAGUACAAAAACAUAACGAGUGUAAAGGAAGACUCAUUAACUUAUUUUAUGAUAUUAAAUUCACGCAGAUACCAUCAAUGUUUCUCGACCACGUUUGAAAGAGACCACCAACUCACGCUGAUUUGGAAGAUUUUCUUUAAGUAUAUAAGUGAAAAUUAUUACUCUAGUCUUCAAAAUUCUUAAACCUAAUCUAAGUCAUUACAGCCGCAUGCCUUGCUCCUUUUAUUAUAUGUAUAUAUUUUACGAUGAAUACAAUAACUUUCAAUAAGAAGAAUUUUAUACUUUUCAAGCUUAAUAUUAAUGAUAAUUUAAUUUAUUUUAUUUUAAUUACUUUGAAUUGUUUUUGUUUAAUGACCUGAACAUAUUGGUUGUUUGCUAAAGUUGAAUUUUUAUUUGUCUAAUUAAUUGACGAUAGCAAUUGUAUAAAAUUUACUUAAAAAGAUAAAAUCUUAGUAGAUUACAGAAAGAUUUAGUAAUGACAAACAUGUAGCAGCCAAUACACAUUACCAUCCCCAACUGCUAUAAUGCAGGGCCAUGGGCAGUCUUAAUUGUUAGAAUGUGCAAAAUUAAUUAGUAAAAUGUUCAGCGGUAUCCUUGAAUUUUGGCAUAGAAUUAGAUAUAUCCCCUAGUUUUCAAAAUUAGUUUUUGAUUCCCCUGUUGUUUACUUUAUAUAUAUAUAUAUAUAUAUAUAUAGUAGUUUUAUGGUCAGGGAUUUUAAAGUGCGGGAAAGUCCGGGAAAACUUUAAAACCGCAUGGUUUUCAAGGUUUAAAACUGUAAGUCUUUAAAACCAUGCGGUUUUAAAGGUUUCCUGCACUUUCCCGUACUUUAAAAUUCCGGACUGAAACAUAUUUAUAUAUAUAUAUAUAUAUAUAUAUAUAUAUAUAUAUAUAUAUAUAUAUAUAUAUUUCACUUGGAUAUAUAACUUUGUAAUGUUGCGCCUUAUAAAAUGUAUGCUUAAAAUGCAUGCUUAUUACUUUUUAUAUGCUGUUAAGAGAAAUUGAGAAUAGAAAUAUGUAAAAUGGAGUUUCAUUUAUUAAUUAUUUAUAUCCAUUAAAUAGCACCCAACAUGUAGUUCGUCUCAAUAGUAAAAUUAAUUAAACGAAGCAAAAAGAUUUUUUUUAGCAUCAGUACAAAAAUAAAAAAAAGCACAAAGCGAGAAUCACAAACUUAUUUUAUGAUAUUACAUUCACGCAGAUGUCACCAAUAUUUCCCGACGACGUUUGAAAGCGAUCACCAUCUCAUGCUGAUUUGGAAGAUUUUCUUCAAUUACAGGGACUUUCCUGAAAUUUUCAAACCACUCAUGCAAGCUUGGGAAUUUGUGAGAUUCAAAUAGUUUCACUCCCAUUACAUCUUCAAGGACAUGCAGCCAAUAAGCAAUGGCUUCAAAUGCUAGGUCCGCUAAGCCAAUAUUGUCUCCAUUGAAAAAUUUCUUCUCUCCUAGGCCAUGUUUUUCAACGGUUUGAAGCAUUUCCAAGGCUGCCUUCAUUGCAUUCUCCAGGUCUUGUCCAGUGCUGAAAAACAUUUUCCAAACAGCUACUCCCUGCCACAAGAUUUUAUAUCUAAUUCUUAUCACCACAUGAUUAACAAAAGAAAUUAGAUAAUAUGUACACACGCGUCAAAAUAUCUUUUCAAGGCUAGACGUUUCAAACUGUCAAAGUAUUUAGGAGAGUUUAUCCACUAAUUUUUAGACUAGUUUAGUAUAACUUUUCAAAGCUUAUUUAAAUAGAAUUUUUAUUAGUAAAACUUUAAUUUUUAUAAAAAAAAUUAAUUAUUUAAUUGUUAAUGAAAUUUAAAAAAAAUUUGAAAUUACUUUAACAGAUAAAUUUUUAAAGUUAUGUUACGAAAUAAAUAAAAUAAGAUUAUAAAAUAAAUGAUGAACAUUUUAAACAAUUUAACUUUUAAAAAAAAUUCCUCAAACCUCUAUUUCCAAAAGUUUAAAUUUAAACUUUUACUAGUAUAGGCAAAAGAAUUUAUUUAAUCCCAAAAUGUUCUACUAAAAAUAAAACUAAACAAUAAUAAAAAAUUUAAAAAGAGUUUUUUUUUUAUUAAAUAAACACUUAUGAGUAAUAAAUAAGCCACAUCAAACAAAUACUCAAUGAUAUAAAAGGAAGAAGAUAAAAAAAAAAAUCCUCUUAUUAUUUUAGUAAAUUAUAAUUUUGCUUUCAUGUUUCAAAAGACCUUAAAAUUCUCCCUAUCGCUAAAACAAUUAUAUUUUAAUAUUUUACCCUUGAUGUGGUAAAAUCCACGAUUAAUUAAGAAAAAUUUCUAAAGGUAAAAAAUUUAAAGUAAUUAACCGCAUUUUUUUGAUAACUUUCUCUAAUGUAAAAUAAAAGGCUCAUUGAGCUUAGUCGGCCGUGAAUGCAUUUUGCACAUGCGAGGACAUUAGUUUGAGCAUUAAUAGAAGAUAAAAAUUAAUGUUUAGAGAGUCAUAUUUCUCAUAUACAAUGAAAAAUUAAAGUAUAUAAAGAAAUCCGACAAGAUUAAUUAAAUUUACAAACGUGUUAGCAAGAAAAGUUGUGGUGCGAACCUUGUCUUCGGCAAAUUUAAUCCAAAAACGAGCUUGAGCUCUAUCAUAAGGAUCACUUGGCAUCAAGGAGGGAUUCUGUGGCCACAUCUCUUCAAUGUAUUCGAGAAUAACCAUGGACUCGCAAACUGGUUUUUCGCCAUGAACGAGCACUGGUAUCAUCUUGUGAACUGGAUUAUACUUCAGAAGCGAAGCACUUUUGUUGUAGAGAUCUUCUUCAAUGUAUUCAUACGGGAUGCCUUUCAAUUUCAGAGCCCAUACCACCUUGUUGCUAAAUGGACUCGCCCAUCCCCCGUGGAGCUUCACUUCAGCCAUGUGUCUAAGAUCGAAUUUGAAUAUGUUUGCGGUUGUUUUGCUUAGCUGAUGAGUUAUUGCAUACGUACAUCUGAAUUUAUAAUGAUUAUUCAUUAAUAUUGGAAUAUGGAGUGCGCUUGCUUGAGCAGGGAGCUUCAUAUUUCCAAUUUAUUUAAUAAAACGAUUAAAUUAAGUUGAAUUCAAUGAACUAAUGCUGCGACUUUUUAACAAUUCUGUUAUAUAUUCAACGAGAAGAGGUAUCGUAUUUGACGGGAAUCUCUUGAAACAGUGCUGAAUGAACAAGUAAUCUUAUUUAAUUUGGUCAACUGGUCAGAUAUGGCUUAAUUAUAUAUUUGGCGUUUGUUUUAGGUGCCCAGCUAGCCCUGCUGCUGUGCUUUUGACUUUACCAUGGGGUGGAGUCGUGGAGAUAUCAUCAUCCCAACUGAAGACAUAUUAUGAUAUUCUCCUGAAAACUUUGUGAGACUCAUUUACUCUACAAUUUUAGCAUUUUAGGCCAAAUAACUUCAUAUAAAUGACGUUUUGUCCCCCGGCUCCAUCUCUUCUAUAUAAAUCCGAACACCUGAAAAAUGACGAGACCGGAACAACUCUCCCUCUUAAGUCUAUGCAAAUUUUACACACCAGAGAAAGAGAGGGAGAGGGGCAGCCAUGAGAGACAACGAUACAGAAAAGAAUAUGGAAGAGAGUUUAUUAAUACCAAAAGAGAGUUUAUCAUCAACAUCCACAACAUGGGAUUUGUUGAGUGGAGAAGUGAAAAAGCAGGGUUACAUAGCAGCACCAAUGGUGGCAGUAACUUUAUCACAGUAUUUGCUUCAAGUUGUUUCCAUGAUGAUGGUUGGUUAUCUUGGUCAACUUGCUCUUUCUAGCACCGCCAUGGCCAUCUCUCUAGCUAGCGUCACCGGCUUCAGCGUCCUUGUGAGUCCUACAAUCCAUAUAUAGUUAUAUACACAAGAUUGUUUAUUCUUUCUUUUGAUAGGUAUUUGCAUCAUUGCAUGUGGGAUUUAAACAAAUAGAUGUGCCAAAUUUCUGAUGUUAAAAAACAUGCAAUUAACUAAUACCCUGUUUUUAAAAAUGCCAUUAAUUUUUAAAGGACUUGAUUUGCUCUUUUUUUUUUAAAAAAAAAAAUUCUACAGCUAACUUGAAUUGUGUAAUAUUUUCUUUGAAACAGUUAGGAAUGGCAAGUGCUCUGGAAACAUUAUGUGGGCAAGCAUAUGGAGCUCAGCAAUAUCAAAGAAUUGGAACUCAAAUUUACACUGCAAUAUUUUGUUUAUUCUUAGUAUGUUUUCCGCUUUCCUUUCUAGGGAUUUACAUGGGAAGGCUGCUAGUUUUGGUAGGCCAAGACCCCCAGAUUUCACACGAAGUAGGCAAGUUUAUAAUCUGGCUUCUUCCAGCUCUGUUUGCUUAUGCAGCAAUGCAGGCGCUUAUUCGAUAUUUUCAGUCUCAAAGUUUGAUCAUUCCCAUGUUCUUAAGCUCCUAUGCCGCUCUUUGUUUGCAUAUUCCCAUCUGUUGGGGUUUGGUAUUCAAGUCUGGACUGGGAAACCUUGGAAUUCGAGAGUUCUUCCAAUUUGCUAUCCCUUCUGCAGUAAUGGUUUGGUAUGUUAAUUAUCUUCUGGAGUUUCAUUUUCCCUUCUCAUAGAUAUCGUAGACACGUCAUAAAUUUUCAUGCAUCUUCUUUUGUUUAUAAUUUUGCAGCCUAGAAUGGUGGUCGUUUGAAUUGCUCAUUUUAAUGUCAGGGCUGUUGCCUAACCCACAGCUUGAAACUUCAGUCCUAUCUGUAUGGUAUGUUGACAUAUCUUUGUAUGUCAAAGUUCUAUACAGAGAAGCACCUACCAAAAGGAAAUAUAUUUUUUUUCUUUUUUUCCCCGACUGCUCAUUAUUUGUCAACUUCUUUGGGCAGUCUCAGUACUAUUCAAACCCUCUCUGCAAUCCCAUAUGGACUUGGUGCUGCAGUGAGGUUUGUUCAUAACAAUCAUUUAAAUAAUAAUUGUUUUAUAUCAACUAAUUAGCAGAUUAACCAUUAUUUCCUUCUAUAGUACUAGAGUUUCAAAUGAACUAGGAGCUGGGAAUGUGCAAAGAGCCCGUGUAGCUGUCUAUGCUGUGGUCUUUAUGGCGGUCAUGGAGACUAUCAUAGUAAGUGCAUCUCUCUUUGCCAGCCGGCGUGUUUUUGGUUAUGUUUUCAGCAAUGAGGGACAAGUUGUGGAUUAUGUCACAACCAUGGCUCCUCUGGUUUGUUUGUCUGUCAUCAUGGAUAGCUUACAAGGAGUCUUUUCAGGUUAAAUUAACUUCUUCAACUCUGUCAAUUGCUAAAUAGUUCUCUUUAAGUAGAAAUAAAAUUUUUCAGGUUUCUAAAUUCUUUUUAUUAUUUUUAAGGUGUUGCAAGAGGAUGUGGGUGGCAGAAUAUAGCUGCUUUUGUGAAUCUUGGGGCUUAUUAUUUGUGUGGAGUCCCAACUGCUGCCAUUUUGGGUUUCUGGUUAAAGUUUAGAGGAAGGGGCCUAUGGAUUGGGAUACAAGCUGGUGCUUUUACACAAACACUUCUGCUUGGCAUCAUAACAACAUUUACAGAUUGGGAAAAACAGGUCUGUUUCUCAACAUUUAAUCCCUUAAAAAUUAGAGAAGCUUAUUGGACUAUAUAUGUAAAUAUGUAGCAAUUUUUUUUUCCCAAUAUGUAUCUGAUACCUUUCGACUGAAAGUUCAAGAUUAAAAUCACUCAGCUUGAUCUGAAAUAGUUAGUAUUAUCAUCUUAUGCAGAAAUGGUUUUGCUCAUUGAGAAAAUGAUAUUCAAUAACACAGAUGCAAACUCAUUUGAAAAUUUUGCCAUUGAGAAAAUGAUAUUCAAUAACAGACAUGCAAACUCAUUUGAAAAAUUUGCUUUUUUGCAAGAAUUGAUAACCAUUUUCUAGUUUGUUAAUUGUUACAAGUUCUGUGUUUCUAAGGGGUUUCUCAUGUUGCAGGCAAGUACAGCAAGGAAAAGAUUAUCAAAGGGAAGAUCUUUAGAAGAUAAUAGAAUAGUAUGUGAGUGAGCAGAGUCAAUCAAUGAGCUGAUAUAUACAUUGUCCAGUUGAAAGAGAUAAUCAUUGCUUGAGAAAAUGAGCUGCUCAUAUGUCAAUUGAUGGCCAAGAAGGUUCCCCAAUCUGAUCUAUGGAGCAUCGCAUUUCAUAAAACUCUGUUUCUAGAGAAAAAAAAAAAAAAUUAACAGCUUCUUAGGAUUGGAGCAUCAGGUGACUUAGCAUUUCCAGUAUGAAAGAAUUAUAAGAUAGAUGAUGCUGCAAAAAUGAAUAGAGAUAAAAUUAAGCAAGAGAAAAUGUUUGAAUGUUAUUAAUGAAACCUUUUCCAGUGAUUGUAGAGAUAAUUUUCUUUGUAUUGAAACUUUCAGCAUCUGAAAGAUAAGGAAAAUAUUAAAAGAAAAAAGAAAAUUCUUAAAUCUUUUCCAUGUCACUCCAGCAAAGUUGAAUUGUCAUUCUAAACCCUAUACCAAAAUGUAAGGUGGCCUGUGGCCUAUAGGUAAUACACAAUUUGACAACCCCAUAUAUUUAGUAAUCUAGGUGGAUGCCAUUUAUUUAUUUUUUAUUUAAUUUUUUUUCAUUUUUAAUGCAAACAACGCCUCUUUCAUUGUGGCAUUGGAAUAUAUAGAGAUUUGUACACUGAUUUUGGACCAUAAUUCACAAAUAAUGCGACGCAUAUCUUUCUUUCAGUACUUCUUCAGGAGGAUAAGAUACAGACAUUGUUGUCUUUUUACCUGAAGCAAGUGCAUGUGCAUGAAUUGUUGUUGUCUGUUAAUCUGCUGCCACUUUGCUGCCAAAAAACUUGAAAAAUAAACCAGGAAAAUUUUCAAUAAGCAAAGUCAAACAACUAACCCCUGUUUAAGUAAUUUUCCGAAGAAAACUUUUAAACACUCAAAUAAAGCACUCAAGUAAAGUAUUUCUGUCACAUUAGCUUUCGAGUGAGGUUUGAUUUACAUUUAUAUCAGAUAUACCAAGUGUUUUUUAUUCUUUUAAUUAAUGUAUAUCACAGCUUGGAAAUUCUAAAAAUUAAUCAUGCUUAAUCUUGAGCAACAAUAUCUGUAAUCAUCAUACGAGGUCAAAGGUGAAGGAAAAGAAAAAGAAAGAGUUAGUUUUAUGUAUAUAAGUGAAAGGAUCUGUUAUAGAGUAUUUCUGUUGCAUGGUUUUCGGAGGGAUAGCAUUGUCCACAGCAUUUGGACUUUGCUUCUGAUUCAAUGGCAUUUAGAAUUUGGUUUCCGCUGAGAUCAUAUACAGCUUGAUUCUGAUAUCUUCCAUUUUGGAGGGAUUCAGAUAAAUUGAAGAAGUUUGAGGUUCCAGUUCAAAUUGGUAAUGCUGCAGAUAAUAUAUAUAAUUUUGUAGAGGUUUUCUAACUUUUAUUUUUAGUAAUGUAUUCAUGUCCUGUCAUUCUUCUUUCUGCUUAAAUCCAGUUGCCCAUGUUGGAAUUUCUUUUCAGCUUUUGUAUUCUUUUUCCUUUUUGUUCAAUAAUGCUAUAGACGAUGCUCUACCAUUUAAAAGAUAUAAAUAAAAAAAUUUAUAAAUUUUUACUUUAUCAAGGUGUGAAACCUUAUAAAAUUUAUAAAUUUAACUAAUGAACAGAAUAUUUGGAGUUGUUAUACGUGGCGUUGUUAUACCAGAACUACAACAGUUAAGAUUGUACUUUGGACCAGUAGUCCGCAAGUUCGGGUUUCCAGCCGAUAUACCUCUGUGAUUAAAACUUUAAAAACAUUUUCUUCUCGGGUUAUAUAACCCAAAACAGACUUUCCUUUAGUCUAAAACAGGGUACCAAACCAGAUAAGAAAUUAUCAAAAGUUUUCUGAUGCACAGGAUCCUUGCAAAAGGCAAGUGCAGAGCAUACUUCCUUAGGUUUCAAAAUGAACAAAUUUAAUUCUUUAUUCCUUUUCUUUCUCUAGAGAGCUUCAUUUGCAGAGAGAGGAGAGAAGUUUAAGGAUUCAUAGUGAUAAAAACACACGAGAGUUUAUUGCUUCGAACUUCUAUCUUACAAGAGAUGAGAGAACUCAUUAUAUAGGAGAAAUCUCAGGAAGAUAGGACAGGACCCCUAUCUUUUACAAAAGCAAAAGUAAAAGGUACAUCAUGACACACUUUUAAUUAUUACAAAGGGACAAGGAUGCUUUAAUAAUGAAAGCAUGACUUUGGACAAAGCAAAAGUAAAACUUAAAGUAAAAGCAAAGCAAGAUGCAAUAAUUAUAUAGGACAAAACACAAAGGGACACAGCAUUUAUUACAUGAAGACAAACUACUUUAUGGAGAGGAGAGAUUCAUGUAGUCAUCUUCAGAGGAACUUUCUGUUGUGUCUGGGUCCGUGUCACCAGAGUGAUGAGGGUUUGGGAAAAAAAGGUUUGGAGAGCUUUUGAUGUUUACAGGAGGGACCACGGCAAGGUGGGUGAGGGCAAUUAUAGUCUCUUGGAGUACACCUUGGAGUAUACUUUGGAGAGGUUUGGGUGGCUUUGUCAACUUUGGAGGUUUGGGCUGGCCUUUUGGAAGGUUGGGUUGAUGGACCUGCUUCGAAGGGUCCGGGUUCAUCCAUUGUUGGUUGGGGAAAUGGUUGUAAGUGUUGGCUUAGAGGAAGAAAUGCAUCCCAUGGAUCUUGGGAAUCCUGGAACAGGAAGUCAGUGUAGUCUGGUUUUUCUUCCUUGAUAAUGAUACCUGUGGACUUUGGUUUGGAUAUAGUGGACGGAGUAGGAAUCAUGAUGAGGUCAUGUUGUGGACCUAAGGAGGUGUGGAAGAUAUCUCGGUGUAGAGGAGUCUGGUGGUUCAAUUGACAAAGAUAAUUGUACAGGGUGGUCUGGAUUUCAUUGUCAAUGAUAGCUGGAUGAGGGGCAGUAAACCAUUCAUAAACUUGAUCUUGAGUCCAAAAGAGGUUUGUGUCUGGAUGUUGGAAAUAUGGUCGGUGAAUGAUAAAAAUGGAUGUGAACAUUUGGGCUUCAGAAGCUGGUAUACGGUCGAGAUUGUAGAUCUCUGUUAGUUGCUGUAACUUUUUUCUCCACCAUGGGAUGGGAGAAUACAAUUCCAGUAAUAUCCAGAUAAGAGAAGUGGCUUUUUUCGGGUCGAGGAGAUGGGAUAAGGUAGGAGCAAUUGGUAGGAUGAGCUUGGUAGCAUAAAGAACAGUUAGGCACCAGAGGUACCAUAACUCGUCUUCAGUGAUUUCUCUAGAUGGAUCAAGGGUCAAACCUGUCAGGAACAGAUUUUCUGGGUGGAAAGUGGAAAAUGGAAAGGAGUCGGCCAUAAGGUAGGCUUUCAUGAAGAAGCGAAAAACAGCUUUCCUUGCAAAUUCCUGGAUAGCAAAAACAGAGGAUAAUGGUUUGUUAAGGGGAAAAGUCUUUUUGGUGAGAGCUUCUGGUGGAAGAGAGGUAGCCAUGAAGAUGAUAGGAAAAUGGUAUGCUGUAGAGAUGACGGUGAGAGUGUGUUCUGGUUUGGAGAGUCUGGAGAGCAUAUCAGGGAUGAGGUUCUGGGAUCCCUUUAUAUGCUUGACAGAGAAGUCAUAUUUGAAAAACCAAUCUUUUAAUCGGAGUAGCAUCUUUUCUGGAACAGUUUUACCUUUGAAGUUGAGAAUAUUAGGGAAAGCUGAACUGUCCAUUCGGAUAAGGAAGUGGUGUCUAAUCAGAUGGUACUCAAAUUUCUUGAUGUCAUUCUUUACCGCUAAGAUUUCUUUGAACACGCUAUGGUAGUGUUUCUGUGUGUCAGAAAAAUGUCCACUAGCGUAAGCGAUAAAGUGUUCUUUUCCAUCGAGUUCUUCAAGGAGGAUGGCACCCCAAGAUUCAUCACUGGCAUCUAUCUGUAAGAUGCGCUUUCCAUCUGCAAUUAACUUUAAAGGAGGCGGAUUUUGCGCGAUUUGUUUGAGAGUAGUGACAGCACGUGUGUGGUCAUCAUUCCACUCAGCAGGUUUCUUUUUCAAUAAAGCCGAGAGAUGAUGAGUGUAGUGGUCCACAUGUGGGAUGAAGUCUCUGAUGUAGUUGAUAAUCCCGAGAAACUGUUGAACUUGCUUUUUGGAAAGUUGUUGAUCUGGAAAGUGAAGCAACUCUUGAGCGAUGUGCUUUCCUGGCUGGUAAUGGCCAUCUUUAAUGAUCAUACCAAGAAAUUCGAUGGUAUCUGUGGCAAUGGUGCUUUUCUUGGCAGACAACAUGAUUCCAUGACUGUGGACAAGAUCAUAGAACUGGCUUAACAGCUGGUGAUGUUCAUCAUGUGAACUUGAAAAAAGCAAGAUGUCAUCAAUAUAAAUCAAUGCAUGAGACAGGAUAGGCUGAAAGAUCUUGAUCAUGGAUUUUUGAAAGAUAGAUGGGGCAGUUUUGAGGCCGAAGGGUAAGACUGUCCAUUGGAAAUGGGCAUUGGGAAUGCAAAAGGCAGUCUUAUAUCGUUCAGAGGGUUCGAUGCCUAAUUGCCAAAAACCUGACUUUAAAUCAAAUUUGGAAAAGAUCUGGGCAUUUUUUAGAAAAGUAAACAUGCUUUGUCGGCGGGGUAAAGGAAAUUUGUCAUCUUGCAAAAACAUGUUUAGGGGAUGAUAGUCUAUGACUAGGCGUUUUUUCCCUCGAACAAUUUCAGAAUGCUUUUCGACAUAAAAGGCUUGGCAAGCCCAUUGGGAAUUUGUGGGCUCGAUGAGACCUUGGACCAACAAUUGAGAACAUUCAUGUUGGGCUAGGAGUAAGUCAGACGGACUCAUUCCUGGAUGGGUAGCCUUGGUUGGAUUGAUGUCUUCAUUGAGUUUGAAGGGUAACUUAACAAAGAAGGACUUAUUUUUCCACAAAGGAUUUGGAUGGGUGGACUCAGAAUGAGAUUCUGGACAAAAACUCAAAAGUUUGGUUGAAAGGUCCUGGUAAGACUGAGGGGUUUCGGACAGAUUGUAAAGUUUCAGGAUGUCUGUGAAUGGUUUGAACAUGGACUUGACUCGAAUUCCAUUGGGAAUGAUUUGAAGGUGUUUGAUCUGGUGGAGGAUGUCAAAUCCUAACAAGAUAUCCUUAUUAGGAAGGGUUGAACCAAUAACUUUGGUCCAAAUGACACAAUUGGGAAAGAUUUGAAUACCAAUGGGUUUUUUGGUAAUCAAUGAGGUGGUGAACAAUUUGCCGUUGACAGCUUUGAAAUGUUCUUCAGACUGUAUCCAAUAGUCUGGUGGAAGAAUGUGCGGAUUAAGCAUGCUGCGUUGGGCUCCAAUAUCAAUAAGACCAAUUGCUGGAAUGGGCCUUUGGAAUUUUGAGGGCAAAAUCUGGAGUUUGAUGGAAGGUAUAGGAACUGUAGUGUCAAGGGACAAUAACUGUUGAUGAAAAAUGACUUAUGACUGAUCACUGUCUAAAUCAUCAGAGGACUGCUGUAGUGCGAACACGGUUUCAUCAUUGGGUUCAUCUUGUUCAGAGAAAUAGAAUUCCAGUUCAUCCUUUUCUAGGGAGUAAUCGGUAGUAGCUUGAAGAUGUUCAACAAGGCGAAUGGAUUUUUGUCUUUGGUUGAGACACUCUUUGGCAAAAUGACCCUUUUUCUUGCAGAUAAAACAUCUGAUGGACUUUCGUCUUUUAGAGUCUCGGGAAGAAGAAGACUUCUUUCUGAAGAAUCUGUAAAGUUUUCUGGACCUGCGGGGUUUGGAUGAAAAUUCUAGGGUUUUGAAUUUUCGAAAAUGCUUUUUCUUUUUGGAACUACAAUCACAAUUCUUCUUUUGUUUGCAUUUGAUCUACAAAUAAGGCUUUUUGCAGGCACUUCUGAAUGGUUCAUUGUCUUUCAACAGGUCUUUGAAAAACUAUUUUUGUUCACAGAGUUUAUCAAGACAUGUCUUGGCAAGCUGAAAGAUUUUGCCAAGAGAGAUGUUGUCAAUGACAAGAUUGGAGGCGGUGAGCUGCCGCUGUAUGUCUGGUUGGAGUUCUUCUGGAAGGGAAGCCAGAAAGACAUGCUUUAGUGUAGGCUCAUUAAAUCCAUUAAGCUUAUAGAAUAACAAGGACAUGCGUUUGUAAUGGAAAUCAAGAUCCUUAGCAUUGAGGGAGCAGCAUUUCAUGUUAAGAUAGUCUCGUCGGGCGGCUUUAAAGGCCGCAGCUGGGUCUCCGAGAAAUUGAUCAUUAAGAAUGGCGAGAGCACUUGAGACUUCUGGUAAUUGGACAAACUGUAAUUGUCAGUAUUGGCCUAAUGAAUCAAACCAAUCUCUUAGAGCACCCGUAAAACGAGUAGCAAAUUCUCUAAGGACUGAUUCAGUUGUGGCUCCUAGGUGAAGCAUUUGGAGAUCAAUCCAGGCAGACAUUUCAUUAAGGCGGUCACGCCAUUUGUAAGAUGGGAUAUCAUCAAAGGUGAACCAUGGACCAUUUGAUGAUUUAUGACUAGAUGAACUAGUUUGGGCCGGAGGAGGCUGAUGUGUAGCAGAAGAUUCAGGCAUUUUUUCUUCAACAUCAGAAGGAAUGUCAACAUAUGGUUCUGUCCGGGAUGACUGACCUUGGGUAUGUUGAUCAGGUUGAGCCAUUAGAAUCUUGGUGAUAUCAGCAUAAGAGUUUUCAGAGUCACUGGUGGAUGCUGAAGAUUCUGUGUCAGUCUCAGUGUGGCUAUCUGAAACGGCUAGAUUUGAAUCAGAAGUUUGGUCAUCGGUGGAAGAUGAGUGGUCAACUGUGUGGGCACUGAACUGGUGCAUGGGUUCUUUAUCUUUGGAUUUAGUAGGAGGUUGAGAUAAGGGUGGUUCAGGUGGUGAUGGUGAGGCCGGUGUAUAUCCUGGGGAUUGGUGGCCAGAGGUAGGAUUGGAGGAUGGGUGAAUUGUGACGGGUCGUGGUUGAGGCUUCGGCUUUGAUUUAGGUUUUGAUGGUGGUGGCAAUGGAUGUUCUCGAAAGAGUGUAUGAGUCAUACCAAAUAACUUGGAAGGCUCAUAUUGUCUAACAAGGGAAAGUAUAGAGGCAAAAGGAUGAUAAGUGGGACCAAUGGAAGGAAUGAGAGGUGAAGAAGUAAAAAGGGACGGACGUUGUUUUUCAGACUCAAUUUGGCAAAGCUCAACUUUUAGGCGUCUGAUCUCUCUUUCUUUUUGGUCAAAUUUUGGGCCAUAAUAGCGAUGGGCAAGCAUGGUUCGUAACUCAGAAUCAAGUUGAGCAAUUUUAGACUGCAGGUUUUGGUGGAUCUGCUGCAUCUGUGUAGAGAUAGAGUCAACUUUUGUCUCAAGUUGUUCAGUUCGCAAACUGAUUUUUUCAACUUUUGAGUUGAUAUUCAACAAAGUAUCAUUUUGAGCUCUAGCAUUGUGAGUUUGCCAGUUGAGGACUGACUCAAAAGGUUUGGAUGGUUCAAGAUGACCAGUUGAAGUUAUGGGUGAAGGGAUAAAAGGUUUGGAUACAACAUUUCGUUGGGAAUCUGUGUGGGUGUCUAAAGGAGGGAAGGAAGAAGAAUAUUCUGAAGAAGUAGAUGAAAACAUCAUACAACUCAGUGGUGGAGGUAGAUCUGGGAUUGGUGAUGGAAUCUCAUAUUUGCAAUGCUUUACAAUCCAUUUGAGUUCUUUUUGGUAAAUUGGUAAAGGAGCUGGUGGCGAUGGAGGGUCUUUUGGUGGUUUAGGGGGACUGUGGUGGCAAGAGGUAGAAGAUUGUUUCUUUUUGGUUUUGCUUUUCCUUUUGGUAACAUAAUCAUCGUCCUCUUCCCAAUCAUCCCAGCAGGGACAAUCUGGGUCACAGUUGCCUGAUCCAGGGACAUCCCAUAGGAAAUGUCCAUUGUGCUUGGCUGGAUAAACAGGGUAACCUUCAGAAUUGAACCCUGUAAUAAGCAGAUCUUCCUGGGCUGUUUGAACAGCUGUGAUCAUGGAGGAAUAUGUAAAAGAGAGCCGAGGGGGCUCUUGAGGAGCACUGGGAGGUGGUUUAAAUGUCAUUCUGACCGUUCCAUCUGGUCGACGUUCAAACAUGCUCUCAGAUGUCUAAACUGGAGCUGUAUUGUUAUGGAACUGUUCAUAGUUGGAGAUCCAUUCAAGUGGCAUAAGCUUGAUGAGCUCAUGGCGAGGAAUUUGUCUUGGGAUCUGGAUGAUGGUUGGGAUUUGGUCAGAUUCAGCUAAUACCAUGAAGGCAUCAGAAUGGUGUUCUAGAGUGGGAAGAUCUAAGGCAUGAUUUUGAAGCCUAUAGACCAGUUGAUGGUGUAUGGUGGCAAUUUUGGCAGAGGAAAUCUGUUCAGCACCUUGGAUCUGAACUUGAACUUUCAAGGUUGUGGGUAGAUUGGUAUAUGUUCAUUAGUUAAAUUUAACUAAUGAACAGCAUAACAAAAUAUUUGGAGUUGCUUAAUACCAUAGAAAAAAAAGCAGAAAGAGAUGUUCAAGAACAAAACACAAAAAUUUUCAUCAAGUGGAGCAUCGAUCAUGCCAGCAUAAUAACAUAAUUACAUAAUGCUCGAAGAGCACCCAAGACCUUCUGAAAAAAUAAUAUAACUUAAAAUAUCAAAAAACACAAAUAAUUAAUUGAUUAUCCAAAUAUAUAAACAAACCUAGCUCACAAUGUGAAAUAUAUUAAAACAGCAACCAUAAGAUUUUCAAACAUUUAAAUUAACGGUGAUGAUAUUUCCACCCCGUGAAUUUUAUAAAUCCACCCAUUUUUAAAAAAAUUAUUAUAAUCAGUUCACAUUAUUUUUUAAAAAUUUAAAUUAAGAAGAAAUUAAAAAAAUUGAUAUAGAAUUUAUAAUUUUAUAAAAUAAUGUAAACUUAUUGUAAUUAUUUUAUACAGGUGGACUGGGUUUAUAAAAAUAGCGGGGUGAAUAUACUUACACCCUUGAAUUAAUAGUUAGUAUAAAUUUUAGAUACCUCCCCUAAAAUUUGACUUUGCUACACUUAGAGAGAAUGUAAACAUAUAUUGACAAUGGAAAAUGCUACUUUUCUCGGGUCAAACUCCGAAUUAAAUUAAAACGACGCUGUUUUGAUUUCUUUUUUUUUCUUUCAUUCUCUCUAAAACGACGCCGUUUUAACUGGCCUCAAAUUGCUCUCUCUCUUCGUCACACAAAUCCUUUUUCUUUGUCUCUCUUCCCCUUCGUUUCAGCUUGGUUAAGGUAAAAUCAACAACAGCCCAAAUUGCUCUCUUUCUCUGUCGGUGGUGGUGCCUUCUGUACAUUUAUCCUGGUACACGUCCCCCAGACCACCACCCCGUUUCCUGUGUUUUUGUUCCAGAUCUCUUACAGCCUCCUCUAUAUUGGUAUUGUUUUCACCAAUAUCCUUACCAUUAAUACCAUGAGAAUCAUUGAAAAGCUCUUCUGUUCCCCAUCGUAGAAUAUCUUCCACUUCCUUUUGAGAUCCAGAUUUAUUGACAAAAAUAUGAUCAAGCAUUAAUUUCUUUUUUGCAAGCUGCAAGAUGCGCUCCUCAACACUGGCACCGACAACAAGCCUAUAUACUAAAAGUCUAUUUGAUUGUCCAAUUCGAUUUGCCUGAUUCAUGGCUUGAAUAUCAGCAUGCAGAUUAAAAUCAGAAUCAUAAAUUCAUCUGUGAAAAAAUAAGAACUCUGAAAAAAUAAGAGAGAACGAAGAGAAAGAGAGCAAUUUGCCUUAACCAAGCUGAAAACAAGGGUUAAAACGACGUCGUUUUAGCUUGAAUUAAAAAAAAAAGAUAUUGAAACGACGUCGUUUAUUGUUUUCGGGAUUUGACUCGGAAUUUGACCCGGGGUAGGGGUAAAUAGCAGAACUCAUUGAUAAUAUACCCCCUAGUCGUGUAUAAGAGUUAGGCACUGGUUAGGUAGUUGAGGGCAAUAACGUACAUGUUGCAUAUUUUUUUAUUUUUAAAUCUUACAAAAGCUGUUGUACUGUAACUAAUUAGACAAGAGCAGCGAAAAUGCAUACAGUGCUUUGAAGCUGGGGAAGCCCAAGGGGAUAGUAACCCAUUUUCAUUGUCAAUGCCUAGCUUCAUUUCUUCUUUUUCUCAGCAUAACUUGAUGAGUGCUUAGCUUCAUUUCGAAGGUCGUGACACCAACUGAUUUUAGCAAAAGCAGAGAUACUUUGUGAUGCAAUAAGCUAACAAGUUUCUGAAAUCAACUAUGUUUUGAACCAAAUUCCGGCGACGACCAGCAGCUGAAAAGCCGGUGAUUAAAGGGCAAUCUAGGUGCGUAAUUCUAUCAAAGCUUAAAAUUGAAGUUAGGUUUUAUUAUUUUCUUGCAUUUUGUUGAAAUUGCUGUUAGUUAGGUGCUUUAUUUUUAGUUCAAAUUAAUUGAGAAAAAUGUUUAGGGUUUAUAGAAAUUGAAGUAGUGACCGAAUAUAUCGGAAUUGAUUUUUGAGUUGAUAGUCACUCGACAUGUUGUGUAAACUAUGAAAAUGAUUUAUUUUUUGAUGAUUUUGGACUCUGGUUUUUGAAUGCCUGCUGAAAUUUGCUUGAUCUGUUAUUAAAAUUGAGAAAAAUCCAAUCUUUUUCUAAGAAUGCAGAGGUGUUGCUGAGAAAACGCUUAUGGUGUUGUUUUGUUUCUUUUUUUAUUUUACAAGUGUGCAGUUCAUGUAAGAUUGAGACAGUUGCUCUUGUUGCUUUUUGAUGUUUGUAUAGACUAAUUCCAAUCACUGAUUUUUGUUGGAAAAUGGAUGCUAUUAUUUUUCCUUUUCUUCGUGUAAAAAAUUGUACUUCCGUUCCCAACAUAAAAUUCAGAUGCUUGCCUAUUACUUUUUGAGGUUGUUAUUUAGGUGUAAGAGAUAUAUUAGUUAUAGAGCUUGUAGGCAGUUGGUUUAUUGAAGAACUAGUACAGUUGAGAAAGUGUCUUUUAGGUCAUCCAUUUUAAUACACAUAUUAACAGAUUUAAUUACAUAAACACAAGACUUCAUUUGUUUAUCAAAGUAGUACUUUCUGAUGCUUUCAUAUAAUGAAUGCCAAAGAGAUGUCAUUUGCAAAAAGGUCAUUUGCAAAAAGGCCAUUUGAAUGUACCAACUGCUAUCCUUGUAAACCUCUAUUGUGAUUCUGUUAUCAUUAUAUGUUGUUUAAUGAUCUGAUGAUUUCGAGAUAUCAAGAUGAGUUUAUUCAUACAAUAAAUGUUGUCAUUAGGUUCAUAAUUAUUGUAGUACAUGUUCAUUUAGCUACUUUAGGUACUGCUACAUGCAUUUAUUGUAUAAUGCCUACUUAGCAGCCAUAACUACACCCAUUGUUGAAGCCACAGCAGCACAAAUGAGAAAAAAAACAUGUUUAGGAACAACAUUGUCUUUAUAUCAUUUAAUUUUACUCCAUUUUGUUGUGCUUUUUGCAUCAGUGACUUCAAAUCCUUCCUAUCCUUUUGCAUACUCAUCAGCAGUUCAUAAUUUGCUUGACAUGUUCCUAAACCAUCAAAUAUAACACCUUGGUCGAUAUCAUAGCCACAACCAUUUUUUCUAUUCAUACAGCAAUAAUAUAGCUUGUUUGGGUUGUCAUCUGAUUCCGCUACCUUCAUAGCAGCUAUUUUGUAGCAUUUACUAAUCUUGUUUGAAAAUCAAAUGAAUUUAAAAUAUUCUCAUUUAUUGUUUUUUGUAGCGUUCACUAAUCUUCUGAUAUUCAGUAUUGUUUUUAUAUAAAUUAAUUUAAAAUAAUAUCAUUUAUUUGUCUUAUUAUAUGAUUUUAGACUAUCAAAUUAUUUGUUUUAAGGGGCAUUUUGGUCUUUUCAACACUCAAUUGAGUUUUGUCUUAUUAUAAGAUUAUGUAAUGUCAACAACAAUUAUCAUAAGGGUAUAAUAGCCUUUUGACCCCCCCCCCUCCAGGCGCCAAAAAAAAAAUCGCCCCAAAUAUAAAGAUCAUCUACAGUGUCAAAUAAUUUUGAAGGGCAUUAUUAUACAUUCACUCAACUACCUAACGGGUGCCUAACCUUCAUACAUGGCCGGGGGUAUGUUGUCAAUAUAUGGAUACAUUCUCUCUAAGUGUAGCAAAGCCAAACCUCAGGGGUGGUUUCUAAAAGUUUUCCUAAAUUGUUAAUAAUUUUAUACAACAGAUUCUUGGAUACCCCUCAAGUUCACUUAUUCUACGUCAUGGCUGACUUUCAAGAAAUUAAAUUCUACAUUAUGACCCCUAGGGAAACAACGUCGCUAAUAAAAUUAUAAAAUACAUGUGUGUAAUAGUAGUCAAACCUAAACCUAUGUCGUUUAGCAAUUUACAAAAUGAGAAAGACGACAAAAGCCAAGCGUUAGAGUGGCAGCGAGCCAACGAGACAAGCUCAAGUUCACAGUGUUUUUGUUGAACCUUCUGAAGACCCAAAACUCGAGGUUUGUUUUUACGUUCCCUAAUCGUUUGACUACAUUUUUAUUCUGUGCUACGUUCGUUAUGAACUGUUCAGGCUAAGUGUUCGACGAAAUUCCUAAGUGAGUAUAUAUAAUGGUUUGCUCUCGUAUUUAUUCUGUUAUAGAAUGUUUUGCUUUGGGUGGUUAAAUAGAGGAGAUUAGACAUUGAACUUUAUGCACUUGUAUGUUUUCAAGUAAUUGUUUGCUGAGGCACAUGUACUUUGAAUGGCUUCAUUCAUCUACAGAGAUAUCAUAACAUUUUUUGCUUAGUGUGAGUCUUAUUGUUGUUAAUUUGUCCAAAGUGAAGGCUUUUUUAACUUUUAUUUCUUUGAUUUAUUUAUUUAUUGUUUUGUCGAAGUUCUGUGUCUCAACUUUUAUUUGAUAAGUUCUUUCAGACUACUAAUUAGAAGAAAAAAAUGCUAGAGAGUGAGUAUGAGAGGGAAUGAUGUUUGGGCAAGGGGUGAUUGGUUCACUUGGCUCAUAAAGGACCUCAACUAUAAUGACAUGUAUCAAUUUCGCAGCCUAAUUGGAAGGUAAGCUCAUUUCUUGAUUUCCUUCAAUUUUCACUUUCAUUUUACUGUUUUCAAGUAGCAGGUAAUCUAAAUAAAAGUAAAAUCAGUAGUGAUUUGCUUCAAGUGCAUAUGGAUAGUAUAUCACAUGUGAGAAGAUUGUAUUUGUUAUAUGAAAAUCCUUAAUAACUUUAAUUAAAAAAUAUAUUCUCAAACCUGAUCGUGGAAUGUACUAUUUCUUAAUAUCUGAGUUUGGAUCAACACAUUUUUUGCCAUGCAAUUUGACAAGUUGUCAUGUCCUCAUAUUCUGCACUAUUAUAAGUUUUGCCAAUCUGCAUAGGUGUUUAAUAGAUUGAGUUAAUCUAGUUUCGAGAGCAUGCCUAACUAAAGGGCAUCAAGUUUCUAAGUGAGGGCAAGCACAACUAUAAUUAUCUAUUUCAUAUCCUCCCUAUCAGCGGGGCAGGUCUGUUACCUCUAAAUUCUUUCAAUAACUUGGGGACGUUAAUCCUAUUAAUGACAGCCACAUAUUAUAAGUCAAGAAAACUGAUUUUUUGAUUAUUGAAAAAAUCAAAUUUUUUGUAUUAUUCUAUUUAUGAUCUCAGUAACCUACAUGUUGCGAUUGUCUUGUAUGGAUCAUUGUUUCUCUUUUAAGCUGUUAUAGUGACAAUUUUUAGCUCUUAUUGCAGUUCUUAAAGUCAUUGCAAGCACAUGCUCUGUCGAUCUCCAUAAAUUCAGAUACAUAUGCAUAGUUAGCUAUUCAAAUAACCACACUGGUAUUUAACUUCGAUAUUCAGAAAUAUUGCUGAAGUGAAGCUUCAUGGGGCAUGGGCGAGUGCAUUUUGUUACAGAGUGAUAUGGGCUCUGAAAUUGAAAGGCAUAGCAUAUGAUUACAUUGAAGAAGAUCUCUCUAACAAAAGUGCUUUGCUUUUGAAGCAUAAUCCAGUUCACAAGAAGGUCCCAGUGCUUGUUCAUGACGAAAAAUCAGUUUGCGAGUCCAUUGUUAUCCUUGAAUACAUUGAGGAGAUGUGGCCACAGAAUCCCUUAAUGCCAAAUGAUCCUUAUGAUAGAGCUCUGGCUCAUUUUUGGAUUAUAUUUGCCUAAGAUAGAGUUUGCUUCAGAACUCUAGCUAAUGCGUUUAUAAGUUCAUUAUUUUCAUGUUUAUUUGUUAUUAGAGAAAAAGAUCAGUAUCCCUGAUUGUAUGUCAAAAUUAAUUAUUUGUUCUUUUAUGUUUUAAAACCUAUCAAAAUCUCCAUUGUCGUUCAAAAGAUUCUGUUAACCUUCAAUUUUUUUGUCUUUUACUAAUUUUACCUCUGGAAAAAUUUUUAUUAAUAGGAAGUUGAAAGUUUAAUAGAAUUUUUUUAACGGCAAGGGAAAUUUUGAUGGCUUUUGAAAUAUGAGGGAGAAAAGGAUUAAUUUACCAAAACAACAUUGUGGUUUUGUUGUUCAUUUACCCUUUGUCAUUCAAUGUAGUUGUUAACCUCUAGUAUAAGGGUGCUUGACAAAUGACAAGGAUAUGUAUUGUCCAAGUCUUUUAGUUCAUACAUAUUAUUAAUCAUGUGGUGAUAUUUUGGCAGGGAGCUACUGUUUGGAAAAUGUUUCGUAGCGUACAAGAUCAAGAGAAUACAAUGAAAGAAAUCUUGGAAAUGCUAAAAACCGUUGAAGAACAUGGCUUAGGAGAGAAGAAAUUUUUUCAUGGAGACAAGAUUGGCUUAGUGGACAUAGCAUUUGCUUCCUUUGUUUAUUGGUUGCAAAUCAUUGAAGAUGUAGCAGGAGUGAAACUAUUUGAAUCUCACAAAUUCACUCGCUUGCACGCAUGGUUUGAAAAAUUUAAACGAGUCCCAGAAAUUGAAGAGAACCUUCCUAAUUGGGGUGAACUAUUGGUUUUUUUCAAACGUCGCCGUGAAAAGUUGGUGGCCUCUUCCUCAUUGCAUUAGCACAAAAUUCGUGCAAUUGUAUUGUUGUCAAGAGGCCGCUCUUUGCUUAGUUUUUGAUUAUCUUGUGUGCUCAAUUGGGAGGCCGCCGCUUUGCUGGGUACUUUCGUAUGGAUUUGAGUAAUAAGGGGGACUUGACUUUAUAUUUAUGAAUUAUUGCAUGUAUUUCGUUAAUUAUUAAUGGACUACUAACGGUUAUGUAUUGUUUGGGAGGAAGUUUAAAUGCUGAUAUAUACUAAUGACUUGAAGAAAAGUCAACUUAUUUGAAGUAAUAUAACUCUAAAAAAUCAGAAGAAAAACUCUUUGUGGAAAAAGAUAGUUCUGGUAAACAUGCCCAGCAUUAAAGGGUAUUAUCGAAACUUAAAUGUGAAUGGUUAGAGCCAACAUGUGAACAGUACACCAUUAUGAAAAGAAUAAUUUUUUUUUCGCUAAGAAUAACGAGCCAAUAGGACUUUAGUGAUUUUUUUUAGAUCUAAUUUCUUGAGAGACUUCUUCAUCUUCUUCUUCCUUUAUGGUUGGGGUUUCUUUCUCCAUUUUAACACCACCAUGGUAAAUUUUAACCAUCUAUCUCCCAAAGAAGCCUUUUCCCUUACUCUUCUCCUGGAAAACUCUCAAAUCUCUAUAAAACUCGUAUCUCCCUCAUGUCAUUAUUCCUCAUAAACAACCUUUAAUAAAGUUUUGUCGAUAUUAUAAUGCAAAUUAUGUAAUACUUCAUUUAUAUAGUGGAUUGGAGAUGAGUUACUCUUAUGGAUGUAGAUCAAAGGGCCGAACAAUGUAAAAUCUUAUGUGUUCUCUAUUGUUUAUGCUUAUUUUCUAUUUAUUAGGAUGAUGAUAAUACUCAAAUCGUAUUCCAUACAUGAGCUCAUAUAGAGGCAUAGCACGAGCUCUACUGAGCUCCCCAAAUAAGCUCUAUAGUUAAAGCUAUCCUCGAAUUCGCUAGAGCUACUUCCUAAACUCUCUUGAGCUCCCCAAAUCAACUCUUUAAACUAAAUCCCAUGAGCUCCAUAGAGCUUACCUCCCAAAACACUUCAAUUUACCUCAGUUCACCUUCCAGAUCACCACUACUAGAAAAAUAAGCUUUACUGAUACUAAUUUAGUGUCAGUAAUUACUUUUCCUGACACUUAUUAAUUGUGUCAAUGAUGCUCAAGCCAGAACACACUGACACUAAUUUUUAGUGUCAGUGAUUAUUGUGUUAGUAAUUAGCGUCAUUAUAGUAUCACUUAAAUAAUGACACGAUGGUGUUAGUAUUUGAUGAUAUUAUUUAUACGUCAGUGAUUUAUGUGACUAUAGUAUCAAGAGCACACUGAUUCAAUAACAUCAAAAGUUAUUAUUGUCAUUUUAAAUAUUUAGUGUUAAUAUUUAAUGAUAUUAUGCUACUUUUGGUUAAUAGUAUAUUUUUAUUUUUAUUUUUAUUUUCCUGAUUGUUUUACAAUCAAAAUAAAACUCAAAAUAUAUUAAAUAUACCAAAUCUCACAACACAAUUCAUAUAAUAAACAUCCCAAUACAUCACUUACAUUAAUAUAAUUUAACUACAUCAUUGUCUGGAAAAGAAAAAUAUAAGUACCAAAUUGAGUUUCGACCAGUUCUAAACAAUAGAAUACAAAAUUAAGUUUCAUCAAACAUUAACCUACAAAAUUAAGCAGAAGAAUGUCACUGAAUAUCCACACAUGGCUUCAUUUUUUUCCCACCUACAAGUACAUAAAAUCAAUUAGUACACCUCAAAAAAUAAGUCUUGGAUAUUUGGAAACAAUAUAUAAAGUGCAACCAUUUUUCCAGUACACUAAUAUUAAUUUGAAAUAUUUUUGUUUUUCGAAAAUUACAUGGCAUGCUUAUCUAAUGAAAACCUUAUAAAUUAACAAUGAACAUAUGUAUUAAUUUGAAAGCAUUCAACUUACAAGUAAUCCUGAUCAAUCUUAAAUUGUUGGAAUGUCCUCUAGUUGACCAGCAACUGAUGCUCCACCUAUAAAUUAGAGAGACAUUUAUAAGAAACUGUGGCAAUCUUAAACAAAGAAAUGUAAAUUUCAAAACUGUGUAUAAAGAAAAUCACAUAAAUCUAGUAGUGCAUUCCGCAUAUUACAUGAUCAUCCGGAAGCUGGUUCUGCCCAAUCAAAUGUUCAUCACUUAAUUAAUCUAGAGAAACCAAAAUUAAAAAUUAAAAAAUAAAAAUCUAGCUACCACUUUUCCAAUCACUAUUAUUAACCUCUCUUAAAACGUAAGCGAGUAACAAGCAGUAGAAGAUGGACGAGUAAAAUUAGAUAUUUAGAAGGUUUAUAAUUAAGCACUUAUAAUAAUAAUUCAGACAAAAUCCCAAAAUUGAAACAAAAGAAGCUUUGAAAUUAAAACAAGAGAGGAACAAGUUAGAUGAGCCAUAAUGACUUUUUAAUUAGCCAAGCUAAUUCAUAAGUUAAGUAACUAAUAAAAAUUAAGACUUAAAUUAAAAAUGUCUUCAUUUUGUUUAAUUAUCGUAUAAUUUUUUUUUUCUCAUGUCUAAAGCAUAUUUAGAGGGAGAGCUCAAUUUUACAACCUACUUAUGAAUUAAAUUUUAUCCACACAAAAGGGGGAAAAAACACCAAGCUAAAGUUUUAAUUAAAAGAAUAGUGAAAGCAGAAAGCAACGUGAUUAAUUAAGAAUUUCAUUUAAUUUUACUCACAAAUUGAUGUGUUAUAUAUCUCUAUGUGUGUGUGAGUGUGCGCACGCGCAUACAUAAAAGACCAUGCAUUACAGAGUUAGUUUUUUUACUAGUACUGUUGACGAGGGAACAAAUCUCUUUUAUCAUGGAUAAUGUGUAGAGAGAUGAGAGAGUAGUGUUGUGUUAUAAAUAUUAAUUGUCAAACAAAAUAUUAUUUCUUAAGAGAUCUGACUUUCUCAACAAAGUGCUCAAAAACCAAUAAUUGUCAAGGAACACGUUGACCGUUGAUAAGGCUUUUAACUAGAUGCCUUAAGCAACAACUUUAAUAAAUAUUACUUUUUCAGAUUUCAAUAAGUUGUAGUUGGCAAAAAAAAAUAUAACAUUUAAUCAUUAAAUAUUAUCCAAGUCCAACCCAACAAAAUAAAAUCAAGGAGCAUUAACAGAGGUCAACUAGCUCCCACCGCCCUGGGCAUAUUUUUUACAGUUUCUUGUGAUUAUACUUGUUACAACUACCAUGUCAUAGUUAUUGAAGAGAUAACUUUAGAUUCGGAAGGAGAGGGGAAAAAAGUCAAAAUUAGACCACAAAGAAGAUAGUUCUCAGAGGAAAUUAAAAAGGAAUUAUAAGACUCAUAUUAUGUAAAUGAGCGGCCUACAACACGUCAGAGUUGCAAAAUACUAAAAAGCUUGCAAUAAGGACCCAAAAAAGAGAGAGAGCGAGAGAGAUAUAAAAUUAGCAUCUCUAAACAAAAUGUUGAAUAAUAGUUUGAGAAAUAUUUCUUUCUCCUACUUUUCCAUAGUGAUGGGACUGAGAAUUAAGAUCAAGUAAAGAAAAUUAGGCAUAAUUAUUGUAAAAAAAAUAAAAGACCAUCAAAACAUAGCAGACAUACAGAGAUCACCAACAGCAAGCAUGGAUAUGAAAUUAAAACAACUAAACAAAAAGUUAAUUAUUUUAGUAAGUAGACUGAACUAACCAUAUGAUUCUUGCCACUAUAAUAACCAUAAGAACCUGACAGUCAUGAACACCAAAGCUUGUGAUUUUCUCUAGCCAGGAGCCCACCUGCACUGAAGUCCAUAGGUACAACAAUAUCCAAAAUAAUAAUAAAAGCCAUGAUGGAGUUUUAAAAAGUUCAUAAUUCGGUUUUAGAACAAUUGAUGGAUAAACUUAAAAAUUUGAAGUACACCAGUCAGUUUGAAGUACUUCAUACAACUUUCAUAUAUAAAAUAUAAAUGUGAAAUAACAUGUUCACAGUGGAGACCAGUCAGCUGCUGGAGAAACUAUUGCCUUGCUUUACAUAUACAGAGCAUCCCAUGCUCAUUAUCAUGGAAUGGUGUCCUAUUGUCUACUACUCAAAUUAUGGACUAUUACACAAGUACCGAUCAAAGCUUUUGUUCUCAAUCUUAAAACAUAUCACAUAAAGUUCAAACAAAAAAAGGGCCAACUCCUAACACAAUCCACCAAUAAACUCCCCUUUAAACUUCCAUCGUACUAUGGAAUGACAAAUUGUUGCAAACUCCAAAAUAAAAAGGCUCAACAGAGAACAAAAACAAGAACUUAUUAAUCAGGCAGCUAAGCUAAAACAUAUCCAAUUUCCAUAAGCCCACAUAGGAUCCUCGUUUAUAAAAUAAACCCCAUUUCGCUUAAAGCCACAAGACUUAAACAAUAAUUUAAAUCAAUACGUAAAGAAAAGUGCGACCUUCCAAAUAAACAUGAAUUUCUCAACAUCGUCAACAGCCCAGAAAAUUAAAAUUACAAAAAAUAAUCAUAAGCUAAAAUAAAACAAACCCAGUAAUUAAAUUGACAAAAAAAUAUUAAGCCAUUACCAAUUGUUAAAAUAAACCUCUCUGCCUUUAAAGUCGUUGAAAUCCUCCUCUACAAUUCUAGGCAUAGGCGAACCUUCUAUAGCAAACAAAUUAACUAACUUCUCAACAAUUAUCUCAAAUUCAAGCAAAUGGGUUUCGAGUAGCGAACAAAAAAAGUGAAAUUUGAGCAGGAAAAUAAAAAAACUCUGAUGAAAGAAGCCUCAAUUAGGGUUUCGCUUUGUUUUUCGAUUUGGGGAAAAAAAGAAAAAGGAAAGAGAAGCCUCAAUUAGGGUUUCACUUUGUUUUCGAUUUGGGGAAAAAAGGAAAAAGGAAAGAGAAGCCUCAAUUAGGGUUUCACUUUGUUUUUCGAUAUGGGGAAAAAAGAAAAGAGAAGCCUCAAUUAGGGUUUAGCUUUUCAUUAUCUGUCUGAAUUAAUUGAAUUGAGUUUGCAAAUGGACAACUGGAAACAAAAGAGAUCGAGAAGAGAAAAAGGAAAAAGAGAAGGAGAAAGCAAGAUAGUGAUAGGGUUUGGUUCAAAUAUUUGCGUCCAGAAACGAAAUAAAGUUUCCAAGUCUGGGUUAUAUUUUGCUUUUGUUAUUUUAAUUUUGUUUUUUAAUUUAUUGCUGCUAUUAUAUCUUAAUUCUACAAGGUCCAAUGGUGUAUUGUCCAUAUGUUAAAGCUUUGAAUUUUAAAAGUCCUAGGUUCGAGUUGGAGUUAAAGCAAAUUUUAAUGAUUUUUUUUUAAUCUUUAAUGCUUCAAUGUCAGUGAUCACUGAUGUUUAAUUUACUGACACAUCAGUAUCAAUAAUUUAUGAUACCUAUUUCUUAAAAGCGGAAAAUGGUGCAUAUGUACACAAUUACUGACACUUUUUACAAAGUGUCAGUAGCUAAGUGUCAGUAAAAGUCAUUUUUGUAGUAGUGCACCUUAGUUAUUUCUUUUGUCCUUAACAGCAGAAAAACACACCUAGAUUUUUACUAGCUCAAUCUCCCCUCAAAUAUAAAUUUAUUUAUUUAAAUUAUAUUUAACCUUGUUCAGGUGAGGACAACCACUAAAUGAUUCAAAUCAGAUCCUAGAGAAAAUCCGGUCAAAACAUGUAUCUAUGUAUAAUAUUUAACAUCACCCUAACAAUCAAUACGAAUGCACUUGGAUUUAUUCUUAAUAGUACACAAAGUGGAAAAAGCAUGACAAGCAACACUCGCACACUCGAGGCUCAAUAUAAGUACGAACGUCAUAAUUCCAAGCAACAAACAAUGACCAUCAUUACUAAUUUUUUCUGAAAGCCACCAAAUUGGAAAAGUACUGCCAAGUAAUUAAUUAACGACUGCGACUUGCCAGAUUAAGCUUAUCCAAUGCUGAGAGUUCAUUAUUCUUCGAGGUUUGGUUAUUGUAAAUGUCUUUUAGAGUAAUUGCAGGAUAGAGCGGAGGAUUUUCUUCUGAUAGCAACUCUUUAAUUGGACCAUAUCGUCUCGAGCAACUAUUAUUCAUGAAAAAACUUCCGAUUGAAAUUCUGGAGUCUUCCUUAUUUGAUAACACUCUAUGAUAGGCACUCUUGAACUUAUCGUUGGUAAUCAGCUGCAUAAACACGAACACGUUGGUAAUCAGCUGGAUAAACACACACUUCAUAUAAACCAUAAUUAAGUUAUCUGAUAGAGAUUCAUGCUCGGGUGUAGACGUUCACAUAAUUUUGUAAGGACGAUUCUUUCACAGUAUUGUGAAAGAAUUGUGUCCGCACAAGAUUUAGUGCGAACGUCCCACUUGAGAAUUUUCAAUUUGAUGGAUAGUAUUUCUUAAUAAGCUAUCUAACACACACUUGCCUGCAUCAUGUAGCCUAAGUUUACAACUAGAGUUCCCGGAACAGGGGCAAUGUCAAACCAUUGAUCUUCGUGAAAGACUUGGAGGCCACCAAUUUGAUCUUGUAUGAGCACAGUGACAAAUCCAGGGUCAGAAUGUGUUGCUAUGCCGAUGGACAAUUAUGGUUGAGGGCAUUCAGGGUAGUAACCAUUCCCAAUAGUCAUUUCCUCUACACAACCUAUGUCUUUCAGGUAAUUGGGGUCAAGCCCUAAAGCUUCGGAUAGAAGUUCAAACAGUGUCCCCUGUUUUCCACAUUAGGUUGUUGUAUGCGAUCAUUAUCUCUCUGCAAAUUACUAAAGACAAAAAAUAAUCACUACUAAAAGAAAGGGAGAAUGACAUUUCGACUUUUAGAAAUUAUUUUUUUAUUGGGGUAACAACUAGAUGAAAUGAGAGUAAUAAAAACUUAUUAGGAACCCAAGUGAUGCAAAAAGUUCUAAGAAAGAGGCAGGUGUUAUCCACUGUAAAAGAAAUAAAAUCUAUUGGUCAUCGUCCACAUACCUGCAAGCUUCAGGAAAAUCUUCAGGAUUUGAAAAAUCGCGACCCACAACACAACUCAAAUUAUCUUUCCAAAAGAGGGUUGGUGCACUAUACAAAUUUAAAUUUGAACAAUAUUUAAUUUUUUUGGAGUAAUCACGAGAAUAAUAUUUCUGCUUAACCUCAACAUCUUGUUGAAAAAACCAAUGGAUCCCAUCAAUGGCAUGAUCCAAAUGCUUGUUGGGAUUCCAUGAUUGAUCACUUGAAAGAAACCCCACUUCUCACGAGCACUUCUAAUUUGGUCAAUUACCUGAGAACGCAAACUUGAAUCCCUGUGUAUUCUUUUAAGGUCUAUGAUAGGGAUGCUGAUUUUGGGGUCCCUGCAGAUUGGCUUAUCAUCAAACUUAUGUUUAGUGUGAUGAUCUUGAAUGAUGAUCUGUGGAAUGGUUGUGAUCCCAGCAUCUACGAGUCCCUUAACACCAGCUUUCGUGUCAUCAAAAGCUUUCCACUCGCUAACUCUGUCACAAGUAAUGCUUCCCAUUGCUUGGUGAAUUGUCUUUUACCUGGUGAAUUAUGAAGUACAAAUGCUGACUUGCGGGUGAUUGCUUUUGGUAUAUGCCGUUUAUAUGAAUAUGAUUCCUAGCUUGCCACGUGCAACAUGUUGAAAUAUAACGAUAGCAUGAAGAUGUGGAAAUUUGUAAAAUUUGAUCCUGCGUUAUUUAUCAUGAUUAAAUUAAUUAUAAAUUAUCAAUAAUAGUCAAUUCCGGGGACCACCAACUACUGGGUGGCACAUCACAAUAAUAAAUUAUCAAUAAUAGUCAAUUCUGCAUUAUUUAAUAUUUAUGUGGAUAAAAUUUCAAUUAGCUACACUACAUUGUUGUUUGAUAGUUAACGUUUCACCUUCUCCAUUUGUAAAUAUUAUUAUGGACUUAUAGUGUGGCUUAAAAGCUAGAUCUUAAAUGAAAAGAAAGCUUUAAUGGUGAAAUAAAAAUUUAAAUAAAUGAUAAAGGGAUUAAAGGUUAACCUAAUGUUAACAAAAAUAACUGCAAAAUAUACAUGUUUUAUCAUGUUAAUUGAUGUUUUUCCAUUAUGCACAUAAAAAAGAUCUAUUUUACAAUUGUUUCUGUUGGCGUUGGGGCAGAUUUUUUUUUAGUCUAAUUAAGUAUAUCAUAAGUUAAUAAUAGUGCGUAUUUUAACUUUAAUAAAUUUGGCCACUUAGAUUUUUAAUUUUGACUCCUUCCCUAAUCAAUCAAGAAAAAGAAUGCUUUUCUCCAUAAAAAUUAAAAUAGAAAAUUCAGCAAGGACAUAACUGCGGAGAUGUUUGAUCCUGGAUUUAUAUAUCAAAGCAACAUCAAAAUUAUAAUAAUACUUCCUUGUUACCGAGAAGAGAUAUAUUCAAGAGCACUAGCCUUAUAAAGCCUUAACAAUACUAAACUACCUACAUGGAAUCUAAUGCGUACAUGCAAUGCUUUCUAAAGUGAAACUGUCGCUUGAAAAUAGAAUUCAUGUUCAGCAGCCUCCCUCUAUCCGAGCUCCAAUUUUAUAACAAGGAAGCUAAAUAAGAUGAUUUAGAUGGCAUCGGCAUCUGUAGUAUCGUUUGUCUGUAGUCCCUCAUUAUCUACGAUCUGAUCGCUCCCUAUAGUAUUGUUUGUCUGUAGUCCCUCAUUAUCUACGCUCUGAUCACUCCCUAUGUAGAGGAUCGACAAGAGAAAAUUGUAGCACACGUUCACAGCACUAAUAACUGUUAAACUCUUAUAGUACUUGUCAAUCCUACUAUAAUCCAAGGUUUCAGCAAACUCGCCUUUGUUUGCCAAAAUGAAAAAGAUGUUAAAAAUGCUUCCAAUUCCGACGAAAAAAUAACUUAUUGCUGAUCCAUGGUACUCCAUCCGUUCAGGAAAAUGAGAGCUCGAGUAUUCAUCACAUCCAUACCAAGCAAGCCCUUCCAUAAGACCUAAUAGACAGAAUUGUGGAACAAGCCAAAACAUGCUCAUAUUUUCCAAUUGUUUGAGCUUUUCCAACCUGCGAACCUCAACCUGCCAUGCCACUACACAGCAAACUGUAGUCAUCACCAUUCCAAUGAAUGUUCUCAACACUUGAGCUUGUCUCUUUUUAGUUUUUGGAACAAAAUUGGAAAUUAAAUUUUUUGACAGAUAAGAGAUCGUUGCACGAAUUAUCCCUUUAAAAGUUCGUAGAAAGAUUAAGUAUCUUUCAGAAAUCAUGUUGGCUCCCUGCUCAGGAAAAAAUGUAUUUCCUGCUGACAGAACCAAUCCAAACACAAUGAAGCUAGACCACAAUGGCAACAAUUUAAGAAGAGAUUUUGACUCCCUGACCUGGGCCACAGUGCAAAGUGUGCCUGCCUCUUCUUGUUCGUUAGAAGUACUUGAUGUCUCUAUAAUUGCCGCUUUGUCUAUCCAUCUGCAAUUCAAAGAAUUAAUUUAUUGGUAAUUUUUUAGGAAAAUAGAAAGCGACAGCUCAUGGUUUGGCAAAAUGAUCACACAGACGCGUUUAUGAAUACGCCCUUUUGGACAAAUCUUGGAGGUCGGUGUGACUAUUCCCGAACACAAAAGGGUAUUAAUGUGUCCAUAAAGAGGUUUAUAUAAUUAUUAAUAAAAAUAAGAGGGUCUCCCCGACAAUUUUGCCAGACCACGGGCCGGGUGUGGGUGUAUACAUGUUAGGCAUAUACCUGAGUAAUUUGAUUCUGGGUGACAAGUGUAAUACGUUUCCCUCAUCAUUACUGAAGAACAGCUCCGGAGAAAGAGGAUAAUUGAGAUGCUUUUUCUUCAGGGAGGUUUUAAUAACGCGGAUUAUAGCAAAACGGUCAAUAGGAGGUAUUUGUCUACUAUGAUAAAAGGGAAUACCCGACAACAAGAGGAUCAAACUGCCCCCCAUAAACAACAAUGUGAACAUGAAAGUCUUCUUCCAUGUCUUAAUAUUAUUUGCAUAGAAUGCCGCAGCUGCACCACAGCACCAGGCAAACCGCCACCACACUCUUUUCUGAGCCAUUACUUGAUCCUCAUUUGAAUUUUCUGUUCUCCCUCCUUUACCAUGUUCUCUUAAUUGAUCGGCAAGAAAUGGUCCCAAAAGAGGCGCCGCUCCAACUUCACCCACUGCUAACAGGAUAAUUCCUAUCAUGUUGAGUAGCUCAAAGUUGGUUUCUGAAAAUUCUCUGGACGCUGUACAGAACAAUAGCCCCAAUGCCUGAAACGAAAAUUGUUGGAACUAAUUCUAUAGCAUGACAUUAUGAUCCUAGAAAUGCUUUUCUUAAUCAUUAUUAUAAUCAAAGUGGAGCCAAAAUGAAUUAAUGUCACAUCAAUUGUAAUUUAACUAUUGAGAUCUCUAGCAUUAUUUUUAUAAGGGUAAAGCUCCUAAUAUCCUCUUAUUAGGUAUGUGUGUGUAUAUAUAUAUAUAUAUAUAUAUAUAUAUUUUUUUUUUUACAUGCUGUGAAAUUUAACAUUUACUGCAAAAUAAUAAAUUUUUAAUUCAGCUCAAAGUACUAUAAAGUCCUGGGUCCGCCCCUGAAUAUAUAUAUUGCUUGCAAUGAUAGACAUAUGUUUUAAUUUCGUCUCUGUUUAGAAGUUUAGCAAAUUCAAAACAUAUUAACUUACAAGGAUGUAGGAGACAGUUGAAAAAAUGAGGAUUCUGAGAGGACGAAUGGCAUAACACGAAAUCCAGGCGGCAACAAUCGUAAGAGUUGCUAAUAUUACAUCCUGAACACUCGUAAAUAUUGCAGCUUUCUGAAGUGUGAAUACUUUUGAAUAUUCGGAGUCGGAGAAGUAAGUUAUCAAGACGCCCACUAUAGCCAAGUCUACGAGUUUGCGGCUUAUCAACAAACCUGGAAUCAAAAUAAUCAUUAGAAAAAAUGUUCGUGCUCACUAAAAAAAGCUUACACAUGAGGACUGCAAGAACAACGUGAGAGAACUAUUGUCAUGUUUUUAUAAUUUAGCCCAACCUAAUCAAAGAUCUUAAGUACACCUCUCUUAACUGAAAUUAUUCUAGGGGAUUAUCUAUUUAGGAAUCUCAAAGUUCAUGAGCUCUUAAUACAUACACACAUACAUAUACAUACAUACAUCAUCAUGUUGUUAAAGUAAUGAUGUUAGUAAAAUACAAAAAAAAUAUAUGUACAUGUAUUAAAUUGUAUGGUUUAACAGUAUUAGUACAAAUAAAUAAAUUACAUGAUUUUGUAGUGCAUUGAAAAUUAAUUCUAUUAAACUAUACAAUUUACUAGUGUGUCUCCAUUAAAAAAAAUAAAGACCCUCAUAUAUAUAUAUAUAUAUAUAUGUAUACAAGUUUAUGUUCUGAAUAAAUACAUUUUUAAAAGAUAGGAUUACCUAAGGCCCCACAUGCAAAAUUACCUGACAGAAAUGCAGCAGCCUUACAAAAGCAGACGUAAUAUCGUACCCAAGUUAUGAACCUGUUUUGAAGCUUCAACAGCUGAGAAAAUGGAAACAUUGUAGUUUCUGAAACUGCUUUUAUCUGCAAAGACUUCUACUUGUGAGUUGUGAAUCCCGAGACGAUGAAGAUUUUGUAAUUAUGCCAAAGUCUUUUAGGUAGUUUAUUCAAAUUAAAAAAUAAUAAGUCGCACUUCAAGACCACCUAUUGGUCACAUCAAGACCACCAUUUGGUCACAUAAGUCUUCUUUUUUUUCUUGUGACUUUCAUCCAGCUACGGUCCAACAGGUGCACCGUGCCCCUCUUUUUGACAGCACCCCUUACUUUCUUCUGUAUUUAUAGUUUAUUAAAGUAAUUUCUUUUUCCUCUUUCUUUCACCCCUCACCUUUACAAUCUUCCAAUUUUUUCCAUUUUCAAUUAAACCUGUAAUCAACCAAUUGCAAGCAAUAAGAAAAAAGUUGGCAAGCUAUUUGCUCUAUAAUACACAAGUAAUUAGGGGUGGGCAAAAUAUCCGACCUGAUCCGACUCGAAAAAUUUUAGAUUCGAAUCGGAUCGGGUUGUUAAUAUAACCCGAUCGGAUGAAAUAUUGCAAACCCGAUCGGGUUGUGAUCGGAUCGGAUAAAACCCGAUCCGAUCCAAAAACCUGAUCGGGUUGCUAAAAAAAAAAAAAAAAAUCUAUGGCCAAACACACACACACGGCACACAGCACACCACACAUAAUCACACAAAUCAGUGAAAUCAAAUACUCAAAAGGUUACACUUUACAGUUUACACAAACACAAAACACACAAAAACAAAAAAAUCACAACACCCAACCCGUGAACCCACCCUCAAGAAGCAAGAAAACAUUCUCUCCUUCCCGCAAUCUGCUGCUGCCGUGUUGCGAGUCCGGCCAUCUGCUGCUGCGUCAGCGAUCUGCUGUUGCCGUGCUGUUGUCAUGCUGCUGCCGUGUUGCGUCCAGCCAUCUACUGUUGCGUCCACGAUCUGCUGCCGCCGUGCUGCGUCCACGAUCUGCUGCCGCCGUGCUGCGUCCAGCCAUCGCGAGGAAACUGCUGCGCGUCCAGCCAUGCGCAAGCUGCUGCUGCACGCCCACCGAUCUGCUGCCGAAAACCCAGCCGCCGAUCUGCUGCUCCAAGGCUCAAGCUCCAACCCGACCCGAGUUUCUCCCUUAGUCCCUUAUGUGUUUUGAAUUUUGAAGCUUUCAUGGUGUAUUGGUAUAUAUGUUUUGAAUUGACCCGUUUAAUUUGACCCGAAUUGGUUUAAUUUGACCCGAAUUUAAUAUGAUCCAUUUUUUAUUCGAACCGAUUCAACCCGAAUUCAACCCGAUUUUUGACCUGAUCCGAAUAUAUAUCGGAUCGGAUCGGGUCGGGUUGUAAGUUCGGGUUGUAUUCGGAUCAAUGUUUGCACAACCCGAAUAACUCGAAACCCGAUCGGGUUGACCCGAACCUGACCCGAACCCGAUUUUGCCCACCCCUACAAGUAAUAAUGAAUUGAAGUUUUUAUAUAAAAAAAUUACAUAGAUGUAAUUUUUUUACGCACACUAUUUAUCAUCUACAAUGAAAUUAACAUGUAAGUAAAUUGCUUUUUUUAUCUUUUAUUAUAUGUAUUCUUCCCCUUUCUCCCCCGUAUGUCUUUUCAUUUUCUCUUUGAAUAAUCUAACCUAAGGCUUUCUAAUAAUUGGUUUAUUGUUAUUAUUUUUAUAAGUAAACCUUCUCUUUGUUAUGUCAAUAGGUUUAUUUAAAAAAAAAAAAUUCGUAAAUGACCAAAAGUGAGAACCUUAAUAAAAAUUCAAAACCUAUCUUAGUUUUUGUUGUCUUUGUUAAUGCAUCUUGCAUGUUUGAUGUCUUAAUUAUAACUUGUGAGAGUAAGUACUGUAAUACAAUGAUGAUUAAUGAUUAUUACUAAGAGUAUUCAGAGAAAAAGAAGUUGGUGUAAAAUUUUAUAAACUUUGAGUUUUCUAAAUUUUCACUAAACAAUAGGGAUUGCAUUAUUAAUAACUAAAUAAACACAUCCAUAACCUUGAAACUACAUUUGUGUAAGUUCUUUCUCUUUGUAAUGGUUACGAAGACUGACAAUUUUCUAUUGAAGUUAUUUAUACAUGUAAUUCUUUUUCAGCAUGUAAUACAUUUAGGAAAUGAGUAAUGAUUAAGUACAAACACUUUUAGAUAAACAAUGUUGUACGAACUUAUGUGAUAUUUUUUAGAAAAAAGGAUCUGAACAUCCUUAAGAUUUUAAAAAAUGGUCAUUUAUACUUUGAGUUUUCAAUACAGAACAUCAAGACACUUUUUGACUAUAGUAUUCUUAAUAGAUAAUAACAAAAAAUAUUGAAUUUAAACAUUUUAAUAAAUAUAAAUAAAAUUUAAAUAGUUUAAUAUGUCUAGUAGACUAAUAAUAUUAGAAAUUUCUAGUAGACUAAUAAUAUUAGAACAUUUCUUAAUAUGUAAAUAAUUUUUAAAAGAUAAAUUAGUAUAUUUAUUUUAAUAAUAUAUUUUUACUUAUUAUAAAAAUUGUAAAUAAAUCUUUAGGUUAGAUAGAUUUUAAAUUUAAUAAAAUAAAUGUCAUGUACUAAUAAUAUUAAAACUAUUUUAUAUAAUAUUGAAAAUAAUUUAAAUUUUAAAUUUUAAUAUUAUCUUUCGAUUUAUUUUGAAAUUUAGUUUAAUAUAAUUUAAUGUUGUAAAGUAUUAAAAUAUUUUAAAAAUAUUGAAAUUAUUUUAAAAUGUAUAUAUUGUUACAUUUAUUUUAAUAUUAUACUUCUAUUUAUUAUAAAAUAUUAAAAAUAAUAUUUUAAUUAAAAGGGAGUUUUGGUGUCUCUUACUGAAAAAUAGAGUGUACAUAAUCAUUUUUUCAAAUUUUCAAGGGUGUACAUGUCAUUUUUCUUACUUUUUUAUAAUCAAUUGAAUAAAAAAAAAGUCAUUUGGCCACAUAAAUUAUUUCUAAUUUAUAUUUUCAAUCAACAAAUCAUAAUGUGUCAUAUCUAUUUGUAUAAGUAUUUAUGAACAUAAAAAAUUAAGUUUAGGCACUAGUCGGGUUGGAAAUCAACUCAUCCAAACCCAUGUAUAGUGCUAGUUGGGUGAGUUGGACUUAUCUCGAAGACCCAUUUUCUGUCUUUGAAAUAUCAAUAUGAAAUUAAAAUAAUUAAAAAAUAAUUUAAUUGAAACAACUAAAGAUAGAAUACAAAAUUACAAAUAAUAACUAUCCCUGAAACUUCAUUGUUAAUAAAAAUAAUUAUUUGUAUAGGAUCCUAAUUACACCAUAAAAAGUAAUAGGAUGAAUUCAAGAGUUGGGUUUGAAAAUUUUCAACACCUAGUAAAUAUAGUGCAUUUUCUCCACCCCUAUGAAAUUAGGGGUUGGCUUUCUACUUGAUUUUAAGUAGCGAAAAUGAUCAAAACUACCUUAUUGUUUGUUGAAACUAUAGGGUGAAUUUAAGAGUUGGGUUUGAAAGAUGCAAUAUGCUCAUAUGUAUAUAUGAACAUAUUGCAUCUUCACUAUCUUAUCCCCAGAAUUUUUGCACCAAAUCGUGGUAUAAGAAUAAAAAUUCGCAACUCGAAUCAACAAAGUAUAUCACUAAGUUAUUCUGCAAGCCGCCAAAUUGGAAAAUGUCCCAAAUAAUUAAUUAACCACAGCGACUUGAUAGCUUAACUUUUUCCAACGCUGAGAGUCCUUCAUUCUUCCCUAUUGAGGAUUGGUUAUUGUAAACGUCUGUUGGAGUAACAUGGGGAUAGUGCGGAUGAUUUUUUUCGGAUAGCAACUAUUUAAUUGGACCAUAUUGUCUCGAGCAACUGUUAUUCAUAUAAAAAACUUCCAAUUGAAAUCGUUGAGCCUCGCCUUCUUGACAACACUCUGUGAUAGGCACUCUUGAACGCGACACUGGUAAUCAGCUGCAUAAACAUAUAAAAGAACACUAUAAUUAAGUUAUAUGAUGGAUUCAUAAUAGUCAAAGUUGUGCAUAACAUCUACUUGCCUGCAUCAUGUAGCCUAAGUUUACAACUAGAGCCCCGGAAACUGGGGUAAUAUCAAACCAUUGAUCUUCACAAAAGACUUGGAGGCCACAAUUCGAUCUUGUAUGAGCAUAGUGACAAAUCCAGGGUCAGAACGUAUUGUUACGCCAAUUGUCAAUUUCGGAUGAGGGCUUUCUGGGUAGUGACUAUUCCUAAUAGUCAUUUCCUCUACAGAACCUGUGUCUUUCAGGUAACUGGGGCCAAACCCUAAAGCUUCAGACAAAAUUUCAAACAGAGUGAAUUAGCAAUUGACGUUGUUGGAGAAAAAUCAAUUUUUAUUUUUUUUUUAAAAAAAAAACUUUUUAGAGUCGAUCUCAUACAAUAUAUAAGAAUUCAUAAUUUAGAAAUUAUACCUUGAAAAUAUGAGAAAAUGAACAAUCUUUGCUUUUUCUACUGAAGUGAAACUAGGCUCCCAUAUCACGAUUUGUCACCACCACACCUGUUAGAUCAUAAUCUGUCACCACCACGCUUGUUAGAUCACGAACUAUCACCAAUGAUUUUCUAGAUUAUGACUCAGGUUUGAUCUGCACUUGACGUGUGGGUGCUUUUAUCACUACCAAUAGCAACUAGUAUGAGAAAAUUUUUCUCUCAAGAUUAAAGAGAAAUAUUCUUUUUCUCUUAUCUGUAUAAUGUGGCCUUAUAUCUUUUCAAGAGAAAAUAAGCCCUUUUAUAUCUUAUCUAGUGGAAAUCCUAAGCUCUAUAUUUUUUAUUUUUUAAUUCUAUUAACACAAGGCCCCUUACACAUAAGCAUAUUACAUGGAGCCUCCUACUAAAUAAUAUAUUUAGGCUUUUAACCCAAAUAGCUAAUUAUCUUACUUAUUAAUCCAGUAGCGGCGCAGUCAAUUAAAUGAGCUAACCCAAAGAUCAUUUGAGAACAUACAAUAGUGGCUACAAUAAUUAGGCAUGUAAUCAAACUAGCCCAAUUAUUUAAUUCUAAAUCUACUCCACUAAAAGAUUGGAACUGACUUCCACAAUUGUAUGCUUGAAUAAUAAUUCAUCCCAAACAACAUUGAUUUCUUUACUGCAUAAUCCUUUGUACCACAUCAUUAAUUAAAUUGAUAUCUCAACUGUCCAAUCAAUUUAACUACAUCUUGUUCCUUGAUUCUUACUGGUUUUCUCUAAUGAUCAUUUUCAACAUACUAAAUAUGUCGACACACUCUGACCAAAGAAUUCUAUGAUCAAGUGCCGAAAACCUAUCAAGAGAUGUGUUGUACAAAUUCUAUAUUGUCAAUCUAUAACUCCAAUACUCAUAAUUGGUCUCAUCAAGAUACCGGAUAAUCUUGACUACAAGUAUGUGUCGUGCCCAUUGGUAAUUCAAAUGGAAUAACAAUUAUAAUCAUGAAAUCAUAAUUAACUCAAGAUUAAGAUUGCAGUAAAAUCCACGUCUAUGAGAUUUAAUAAGUCUGACAGUAAUUACAAAGUUAAUUAAAUCUCAUAUGUUAUCUUGUUCAAUGUAGUCUUACUAUAUCAAUAAAUUCAUACAUGAAUAAGACAAAUCAUUCAAUGAAUUCAUUACAGUCUAUACCUAAAUAAAGUGCCCAACUUUAUUUAUCAACUGCGAAUUAAAUUUAUUUAAUCAUAAGAUAACUUGUAUUUAUGUCUUCUAUAAUCCACAUGGUGAUUCUUGUACAAAUUUAUUGAACUCGCAAGUGCACGAAUAUAUUGUAGAAUAGAUUAAUGGUGACAAGUGUCGAUCCCACGAGAAAGUGGAUUUUAAUUAUGUGUAAAAUUAAUUUUCUAUGAGGGUGGUUGGAUUUGUGGUGAAAAUGAUUUGGAAUAUUCUAAACAUUAAAUUAGAAUGGCAGGAAUAAAUUAAAGGAAAAUCUAUUGAAAUAAAGCACUUGGGUAUCUGGAUCUGCAUUAACAUGCACCAUGUGCUAAAUAUUCCUUAGUAAUGCCAAUUAAAUCAUGAGGGGGGUUUCUACUCCUCAUGAACCACACUCUAAUCAAUAUGGUGUUAAGGGCUUAUUGUGGCAAACAAUAAUAACCUUGUACUAGGGAGUCGGUUAAAUCAGUGCAGUAUCCAGACAAGAUUAUUACUAUUUGUCGACGAAAAGUCAAAAUAUCAACAAUAAUUAGAGGAGAAGAGAAAGUAAAUUUACUAAAUAAAGCCCAUGACACAUGUUGAGACUUCACCAACCCAAACUUGAAAGAAAAUUAGCUACUUAUAAUUGAACUAAGGGUAAAAUGAGAAUUUAUUAAAAUACAUAGAAAAUACAAGAUGGAGAAGGAAUUACAGAAAAUAGGCUCAAAAAUGAAUUCAAAAAUGCCAAAUUAGGGAGGAGCCCCCCUUUUAAUAGAUACACUGAGUAAAUCAUGGCCAUCAGAUUAAAAACAUUUUGGACGCUCAAGAUUGCGCCACGUCAUCGGUCAACAGUACGUGGUUUGACCACGUGGUUUGGUUGUAAAUAAUCUCGUGUAUAUGCAUGUACCGUACGCACUAUUUUUUAUCCACUAACAUGCUGCCACGUCACCGAUCAACAGUACAUAAGAAUUUUAGUCUAAUAAAAUCGUGACAUCUCAUCAGUCAAUACCACAUCAUCAGUCAAUGCCACGUCAUCAUUUUGUAUAUGUGAAUAGUGUCGUGAACAGUAACAUGGAUAGUAUCGUAUCUGUGAAUAGUACCGUACAUGUGAACAAUUCCAUUUUUCCUUUUAAACUCCUCCUAAGAUUUUCGACUGUCCUGAUCUCAAAAGUGAUGUCUGUUUUGCUGUAUGAUCUCUCGUUCAUUGUGAAAUGACCAUGAUGCCCCUAAAAUACAUAAAAUAUUUAAUUAUAAUAUAAUACACAUAAUUAAAUCAUAAGGAACUUAAAUACAUAAAAGUAUGAAUGUUAGUGAAACUUGAAGUGUAAAAUGACGAUUUUCUCCUUCAUAAAUAUACACUUUCUAACACUCAAAAGUGAUCACAUAAAUACAUAUAAUAUGAUUAAAUGGACUUUAAUCAAAAUAUUAAUGCAAUUAAGAUAUUUGAAUAAAAUACCUUAUUUAUUUUAUUAAUCAGAAAAAUUGUUUAUUACAAUUAAAUAAACACUUAUGCUUUUAAAGAGCAUAUUUUCCCAACAGGCGUAUCUCAUAAAGCCAACUUCGGUGGUUGGGGUAUCCUGCCGUGCAACACUGUAUCUCUUAUAGUCAACUUUUACGACUUGGACAAUUUGUAUUUUACCGAUUGUCCAUUGAAUUAAUUUGUUUUUGCUGAAAAUGAAUAUUAAAAAAAGAUUAAAAUAAAUAAAAUUAUAAAUAAUUAAAAUCACAGAUUGUCCCAGACCACCAAUAAAACCUCUAAAACUAAAAUUAUAAGCUCCUCCGUAAGAUCCACCAUUAUAUUUCUUAUUACCACUAGCAUUCUUUCAAGGAUUAAAAUGGUUUUGAGUUACAUUAGCUAACAAGUUAUGUGUGACAUCACUAGCAAUUUUACCUCUUGUCUGUUCAACUCUAUUCUCCUGAUUUAGCAGUAAAGAGUAAAAUUCAUCAAGGCUGAUCUUAUCACCUCCAGCUAACACACUGAUAACUAAAGACUCAUAAUCAGAUGAAUCUAGUCUAGUCAAAAUAUAUUGAACAAAAUCACUUAACUCAACAGAUUUUCUAGCUAAAGCCAGACUGUCAGACAAUCUCUUCAUUUUAACAAAGUAAUCAAUCAUAGACAUUGAUCUUUUUUUGAGUGUUUGAAUAUGCAUCUUAAAGGCAUUAUUCUAGCUUGAGAUUGUAAAGUAAACAUACUUGUGAGUGUAUCCAAAAGCUCUUUAGCAAUGGAGCAAUGAACGAUUGUAGCGAGUAGAUUUUGCUGAAUAGAUGACAACAUCCAACUCAAAACUAAUUGAUCUGUCUUCAUCCAGGCUGUGUAUGCUGGAUUGACCUUUCGAUUUUCAGUAAUAGUUGAGGACCAACUUCAGUGCUAGCUAGUGUGAGAAAUUACUCCGAACAAGUUUGAUCACCAUUAAUGAAAUUAUCCAGAUCGUUUCCUUUGAUGGAUGUUAAAACCUGAGUUUGUCAGACAAUGAAAUUAUUAUGAUCUAGCUUAACAGGAUUGAUAAAACUAUAGGAUCCAGAAAAUUGAUUAGAACUGACCAUUGUAGGCUCUGAGAUCAUGAUAGAAUUUGUAAUAUAUAUGUCUGGAAAGCAAGAAAAUUAAGGAGAAAAAGAUAGAAAGAAAAGAAGAAGAAUUUAGAAUAUGUUAAUUGUUCAUUACAUUACAAAUGUGAUUAUAGCCUUUGUAUUUAUAUUAAGUGAAAUGCUUAACUAUAAUUUGUUAUAACUGGAAUAGGUGCUAAACAGUUCGUUAGCUAGAAGGCUGAGAUGGCUAACUAAUUAUUCCACGUUAGCAAGAGCACUCAUGUAUGGUCCUCAUCCGUACUGUAAUUAUCAUACUCUGUAACAGUUCUUCUACAUCUUCUUGCUCUUCAGGACCAAGUGUACUUCGUGGGUCUAUAAUUGCUGCUUUGUCUAUCUAUUUGCAAUUCAAAGAAUUAAUUUAUUGGUCAUUUUUUUAGGAAAAAAGAUAACGAAACAUAGUUGUUUGGUAAAAUAGUCAUGUGAACUCUUUCUUCAAAACAUAUAUAAAAACAAACCUUGGAGAUCAGUAUUGUCUAUGUGAUAAUUUCUAAAAAUAAGAGGUCUACCUGACAAUUUUUUCAAACCAUGGGAUGUUGGUAUAUACUCUUUAAGUAUGUACCUUAGUAAUUUGAUUCUAGGUGACAAGGGUAAUUCAUUUUCAUCAUCAUUACAGGAGAAUUGAUCUGCAAAAGAAGGAAAAUUUAGAUGCCUUUUCUUCAGGGCAGCUUUAAAAAGACAGAUUAUAGCAAAACCGUGAAUAAGAGGUAAUUGUUUACUAUGGUAAAAGGGAAUACCCAACAGCAACAAGGCCAAACUGCUCCCAUAACCAAUAUUGUGAACCUCAAAGUCCUCCGUCAUGUUUCCAGAUUAUUUGCAGGGAAUGCUGCAACUACAUUACAACACCAGGCAAGCUGCAGCUAUACUUCUUUUUGAGCCUUUACUUAUUUCUCAUUUGGAUUUUUUGUUCUCCCUUCAUCACCAUGUGCUCUUAAUUGAUCGACAAGACAUGGUCCUAAAAGAGGCCCCAUUCCAAAGUCACCCACUGCUAACAAGAUCAUUCCUAUUACGUUGUGUAGUUCAAAUUUAGUUUCUAAGAAUUUACUGGACGCUGUAUAAUACAAUAGCCUUAAUGCCUCCAACAACAAUAGUCGGAACUAAUUGUAUGGCAUAACAUUAUGAUCCUAAAUAUGCUUCUUAAUCAUUACUAUAGUUAGGAGCGGAACAAAAUUGAGAUUUAGGGGGCCAAGUGUAAUUAAGGUAAUUAUUUCAGGAUUAGAGAGUAUUAGUUAUUUUCUGGGGUUAGGAGAUGGGGUUCACGUUUAUGAAGCCACCAUAUAAAGAAAAACAACUAGUUUGAAAGUUGAAAUUACAAAUUUAUAUAGUGUGAGAUUAUUUCAACCUACUAAAAUAUAUGUUAUUUUAAAGACUAAUGAGCUUGCGGCUUUGAAAAGGUUGGAAUGUUAUUUGGUUGGAGAGGGACUCGGUUUCAACUUUAACUUGUCUUACGAGUACCAAAUUCAAGCCGUCGUAGCAUCUGCAUAUCAUAUAGUUGAAUUGUUUGAGAGCCUAAAAGUCAAAUAUUGUGGAUCAUAUCAAAUGCCAAAUGUUGGAUAAUCUUUUCCAAAUGUUGGAUAACAAGAAAAGGGAUGCACACAAGACCGCUGACUGAAAAUAGAAAUAAUUGGACAAAUAAAGCCCAAACCACAACUCAUCAUAAUCUUUUUGUUACUAAUGGAAGCUAAAAGCACCUGAGUUAUCAACUAUUCACAUUUUCUAUUAGAUACUGAUGCUUGAUACAUUCAUCAUGAUAUCCAGAAACAAUAAAAUUAAGCUAGUACAAAGAUAUCUAAAUGAAGAUGAUAAUAUCAUAGGCAAGAUAUGGUCCAAUUGAUUAGGAAAAUCAAGCUAAGGUAAUUUUUUUUAAUACUAAAUGCUUAAUUAAAAAGGACAUCAUUAUAUGUUUUAUACAUGCACAAAUUGUCAUUUAUUUGAGGCAUGUCUAAUAUUUAGUAGAGUGACAAAUAUACUUGAAAAUGUAUAAAAAUUAUCAAAUAAUAUGUGAGAAAUAUAGUUAUUUUUGUUGUAAUAUUAAUGCAAUAAACUUUUAUCGUAUCAUAUCGGCAUGUUUAAAGAGGAAAAAAAAAACUCAGAGACUCAAAAAUUCCAAACUUUAAUGUGUAGCUGGCAUUUAUUUGUAGGCUCAAUUGAAGUACAGAAGUCACAAUUCCAAACAACAAACAAGCUAUCAUCACUAAUCCACCAAAUUGGAAAACAUCCUCAAUUAAAUUAACCACCGCGCCUUUCCAGCUUGAGUUUUUCCAAUGCUGAUAGUCCUUCUAUUGAGGAUUGGUUAUUGUAAAUAUCUUUUAAGGUAAUUUCAGGAUAGAGCGGAGGAUUUUCUUCGGAUAGCAACUCUUUAAUUGGACCAUAUUGUCUCGAGCAACUGUUGUUCAUAAAAAAACUUUCGAUUGAAAUUCUUGAGCCUUCCUUUUUUGAUAACACUCUGUGAUAGGCACUUUUGAACUUGUCAUUGGUGAUUAGCUGCAUAAACACACAAUAAAAAAAUCCACUAUAAUUAAGUUACAUGAUGGAUUAAUAAUAGUCAAAGUGAUGCAUAACAUGUACUUGCCUGCAUCAUGUAACCGAAGUUUACAACUAGAGCUCCGGGAACUGGGGUAAUUACGAUCUGCAGUUUUCUAAUUUAACUCAUGCACGCUCGAGGCUUUUGUUUACCCUAGUUUUCAGUAUGAAAAGAGGCGCGCAUCACAUAAUACGGCGGCAAAGAAUUAUCAUUAGAAAAAUUGGAGAGAAAAAGAAGAAGAAGAUCAUAAUUCAAGGGAACAGCUGCAACAUCAUUGAAGAAUCCAGCAGAGUUAUUUGGAUUCACUUUUUGUCGUUCUCGACUUAUACCUUUCUUCUUUCUCUAACUAAUCUAAUGUAUCUCAUGAACAAUAUGUUGCUGAUUGUUUAUCUCUUUCAGAAUAUGAACUAAACUCGCUUGUAUUUGAGUGACAAACAAUCUAAUGGGUUCUUGACUGUUCUUAUGAGUUGCUAUGUCAUUGCUGUAGCAUUUUACUCUAGUAGCUAUUAUUAUAACUUUUAUUUUGGUUGACCACCCAUUUAAUGGUUCAAGUUAAGAUAGGACCAUAAAAGGGCAUGUCUUACUGGAUAUUAUUAUAGUAAUACUUGAUCUUAAUUUAAGUUUCCUAGAUUACGUUUAUCUUGAAUCCCAUAAGGGCCAUACUUAAAGUUAAGAUUUGUGAUAAACUAGACAUAAGUAUUCACCUUGUAGGGUGGAGAGAAUGGAUGUUCAUAAUGUCAUGCCAUAGGUAAAAUAGCAACUGGCCAUUGUUAAGAUGUUUACGGGUAUGAGACUUCCAAUAUGCGACAACUGAGGAUGCAAAUUAAAUUCUGUCCAGUGCUAUAGAAAUUAUUGUAGCAACUGGUGUUAACUUGAUGAAAAGCAGUUAACCCAUAAAAAGAGUUUGAUCAUUCAACUACCUUAUUCUCAUUUGAUUCUUCGACGCAUUUUAUUUAAUUUGUUUCAUUACUACAUUGUUUAACUUUAUUCUCUCACAAUUAUCAAUUUCAAUAGUAACCAACUUUACAUUUGUUAAUUUAGGAAUCAAGUUAGAUUACACUAUCGUGAUUGCUGUAGCAUUUCUAGUAAUAUCAAUCCUUGUGAAGACGAUCUUAAAUAUUCAUCACUUUAUUACUUGUUCUGUACACUUGCACAUUGACAUAAAUAAAAUUUGAUAAAAAAUACCAACAAUGAGAUAGGGGUAAACUUCAGGAUGUGCUGCGCUUUUUAAUUGUUGUGUAGAUUCUUUUGAUUCCUAUCUCUAGUGGAGAACCAGAUGUGAUUUUGUGAGACCUUUCUCCUGAUGGUAGUUUUUCUUUGAGGACUGCUUCAAAUAUUGUGCAUUGGACAAUGCCAAGUGAUGAGGCUUUUUUUGUUAUUUGACAGCGACAUCUUUUCCUGGAUAUCUUUUUUUCUCUAGAGGUUGUGACACAAAUUCUUGACCACAGAUGAUGCCUCGUGUUCGGGGGAUUUCUGCAUAGUUUCUUAGUAUCUUUGUGGUCGGGCUUAUGAGACUUCUAGGUAUUUUCUUUCUUGGUUGCCCUCGAGUUAGGCCAGUUUGGGUCCAUUUUCUAUGUACUCUUGGUUUGCGCUAUGUUGCUUUUCUAUUCCCCCGUACUUUAUUUCUUAAUUGGUAGUGAUGUGCCCUUUCUUGGAGCCAUAUUCGAGUUCUUCUUCCUUGUUUCAUUUUGUGGCGAGUUUAGAAGGCCUGUAAUGCAUUGAAGUUUGACUCAAUGGCCUUUUUUGUUGAUGCUGUUAUUUAUUGGGCAAUGUUGGAUCUUAGGCUUGCUGGUUCUGCCUUUGGUCUUAAACCAUCCCAACUGUGAGGAGUUCUAGGUUCUCGAUUUGUAAAGUUCUUGAGAGUUGUUGUUUCAUCCAAGAGGCUGAUUCUUUUAGUUUUUUGGCAGUGGUCACCACCUGGGGCGGUGAAGCUGACUAUUGAUGGUUGCUUUAGGAGUAAUCCUAGGAUGGCUGCUUCAGAUAGUAUUUUACGUGAUGAUUAGGGUGUGGCUUUGGCUGCUUUUGGUUCCUUCCUUGGGCGCUCACUGAUCUUUCAUGCAGAAUUCAUGGCUGUUUUUUAGGGGUUAGAGUUGGUGCUCAGCUCCAUUAUUCUGUGCUUGACGUAGAGUUGGACUCAACCAUGGUGGCUUCUUGGAUUCUUUUCUAAGGCCUUGUUCAUACGGACUAUACCUAUUCUUUGCAUCGGGUGUGUAGUUUGACAUUUUCUUCUACUUCGUGGUUAGUCAUGUGCUUCAGAAGGUUACUUCUACUGCUGAUUUCUUUGGCCUGCACUCUUCAAGGUCAUUUGUGUUUCUUGGGUUCUCAGGAUAUAUUUGCUAGCUUAUCUAAUAAUCUCCGUUUGGAUAUGUGGGUAAUUUCUCGUAUCAGGCAAUAGGAUUGCUUAUUUAUGUAUUCCAUUUUUUAUCUUGUAUUUUUCUCUUUUCCAUUCUUAUGUUCUUGCAAUUGCGGUUUUGAUUUAUAUUCACCUCCUUAUGUAUUUGAUUCAUUCUAUGAUUUAUAUGAAAGAUAGGAGUUCCACCUAACCCCACCUUUUUGUGGUUAAAAAAAAAAGAUCAGGAAUUCAACCUAGAUCAUCAAGGUAAAACAUCAAAUAGGUUGUAAAUUUAACAUAUGAACGUAAAAGCUUAACAAAACAUUUGAAGUUGCUUGACAACAUAGAAAUACAAGCAAAAAGAGAUGCUAAACAACACAAAAUUUUGAUUGGGUGGGAGUAUUGUUCAUGCUAGCAUAAUAAUGAGGUGCCUGAGAAUACCUAAGACUUUCUUGAUAAAUAAUAUCAUCUAAAAGGUUAGGAAUCACAGAUAAUUGUCCACGUAUGAACAAACCUAGCUCAAAAUGUGAAAUGUGUUAAGAUUUUCAAACAUUUAAAUUAAUAGUUAAUAAUUUCAGACAAAGGAUUCUUGGAGACCUUAAAGUUCACUGAUUCUAUCUUAUGGCUCAUUGUCUCUCUCAACAAUUUAAUUUCUAGAUUAUUUGGCUCCUAUCUAUUAAAAGACAACACCGUUACUAAAAUUAUAAAUUAUAACAGUUAAACCUAAACCUACGUCGUUUAGCAAUUUACGAAAGAAAAAAAUAUAACAAAAGCCAAUUGUUGGAGUAGCAACGUGCCAACGAGAAAACCUCAAGCCAUGUAAUAUCAUGUGUCAACAACUAAAGAAGAACAAACCACCACCCUCUAGGUCGUCGCUGCACUAACGCUGGGCCCGAUUUGAAUAGUUAGAAGUUGUAACAUUAAUUAGGGAAUGAGGGCAAAAUUUUGGACUUCGAUUUAAUAAAAUUGAUUUAAAUGAGUCCCAAUAGAAAUAUGAUUAUAAAUAUAUCAAUAAAAUUAUGACAUGUUUAAAAGAAAAAAAUUAUUUUCACACAAAACAAAAAACACAACCCUUGGAUGUGGGAUGUGUCUAAAAAAUAAUAGGGUGGAAAAAUUAUCACCCUCAAAUUAGAUAUAUAAAUAUUUAAUGUUUUACUCUUAUAAUUUUAUAAUUGUUUUUUUAAAUAUUAGUAAGAGAAAGAUAGAAAUUAAUAUAUAGACAAAUCGAGUCCUUUAUUUUAUUAUUCAUAUCCAUAAAAAGUAACCACUAUGCUAGUCCCACGAACUUAGCAUAAGACGGUAAUUUAGAAAAAAGAAAAAAAAAAAGGAACGUUUUUAGACACCAAAACAAAAGCAAAACAAGCACAAAGCGAGACAUACAAACAAAUUUUAUGCUACUGCAUAGGGGUGUUCGUGGAUCGGAUUUUACGGAUUGGAUAUCAAUCCAUAUCCGAUCCAUGAUUUUGCAGAUUAUAAUUUUUCAAUCCAAUCCAAUACACAGAUUGAUAAAAUUCAAUCCAAAUCCAAUCCAUACAUCUGCGGAUCGGAUGCGGAUUUGACUCAAUCCAUAUCCAAUCCAUACGUCUGCGGAUCGGAUGCAGAUUUGACUCAAUCCAUAUGCAAUCCACCAUUUUGCGCAUUAGUUUUCGAAUUAAAAAUUUUUAGUUCUCUCCAACUAAUGAAAUAAAAAAAAUCUAAUAUAAAAAUAAUUUUGCUACUAAUUAAAUUUAAAAUUGAAUAAAAUUUAAAUAAAUUAAUUGUUUAAAUAAAGCUAAAAUAAUAUAUUUAAAGUUUUAAAAUAUAACACAUCGAGACUAAUUAUUCAAAUAAAGCUACAAUAAUACGUUCAAAGUUUCAAAAUAUAACACACAAAGCUUAAUUGUUCAAAUAAAGUUACAAUAAUACGUUAAUAUAACACCAAAAUUAAUUAUUCAAAUAAAGCCACAAUUAAUUGAAAAUGGCGAAGUUUUGGAAACCAAACACAGUUUGAUCCUUCACCAAGGCUGUUGUGCCUGUCGAAAAGUGGUGAUUACGGAGCCAUUCACGAUGGGAAUCAGGAGAAGCCGUACGGGUGGCGAUCUUGAAGGUUGUGAUUGUGAAAUUGUUCAAUUGGAACCAAUGAAUGUGAAGUGGCUCGAUGGACUUGGGAAAGAAGAUGGCUUGCUCUCGCCAGAAUCGCGCAGCCGAUGUCCUUUAAAUCCGUGUCGAGAGUGUAUCCAACCAGUAUUAAGUGUUGCUAGUGUGUAUGACGGUGGGGAAGUUUAGGGUUUUUUGUUUGUAAAUUGGUUGUAACUUUACGUUAUGUUACUUUGCUUUUGCUAGUGCGUGUGACUUUGCUUUUAUUUUGUUUUACAAUUUUUACAAGUUAUAUUUGUAUAUUUGAUUAUUUAAUUAUUUUUCAUUUUAUAUUAUUAUUAGGUAAUGGCUAAGAUAUGUUAUAAUGUUUAGUAACUAUGUAAUGUCAUAUUUAUAAUUUUUUAAUUAUAUAUAUAUAUAUAUAUAUAUAUUUUUUUUUUUUUUGCGGAUUCACAGAUUUCUGCGGAUUUACAGAAGUAAAUCCAUAUCCAAUCCAUCGACUGCGGAUUUUUAAAUUUUCAAUCCAUAUCCAAUCCACCAAUCCACGGAUCAGAUUUAUACGGAUCAGACGGAUUGAGCGGAUCGGAUUGGAUUCUGAACACCCCUACUACUGCAUUCAAGCAGAAGCCACCAAUUGUUCACGACGGCGUUUGAAAACAACCAACAUUUCAUCCUGAUUGGGAAGGUUUUCUUCAAUUAUAGGGACUUGCUUGAAAGUUCAAGCCACGCAUGCAAGCGAGGGAAUUUGUGUGAUACAAAUAUUUUAACUCCUACUACAUCUUCAAUGACUUGCAACCAAUAAACAAUUGAACCAAAUGCUAGGUCCACUAAGCCAAUAUUGUCUCCGUUGAAAAAUUUCUUCUCUCCCAAGCCAUGCUCUUCAACGUUUUGUAGCAUUUCCAAGGCUUCCUUCGCUGUGUUUUGUAGUUCUUGUCCAGUGCUACGAAACAUUUUCCAAAUGGCAACACCCUGCCA